rnacentral:lncRNA from 1 species
GUGUUAGGACUAGUCGAGCAUGAUUUGACUUCCACUCUAGCUAUAUGUGCUAGAGCAAAAGGCUGACUGGACCCUAAGGAUAUGUGUUAGGGUUAGUCGGAUGAAUUCUAAGUAUAUGUGUUAGAGUUCGAAUAAACUUGAUAUCAUUUGACUGAAUUCUAAAUAUAUGGCUUAGAACUCUGUCGAUUUGGAGAUGUUUUGCCUUAGUUAUAUGUGCUAAGGCGAUCGACUUAGCCCUAAGUAUAUGUAUUAGGGGUAGUAAAUAUUUAAUUUUCACUCUAGGCAUAUGUGCUAGAGUAAAAAAUGUUCAUGAUGAACUUGGGUUUAGUUUAACGACUUUACGGUCGUUUGAUUUUGGGUUUAGUUUAACGACUGUACGGUCGUUUGUAUUUGGGUUUAGUUUAAUGACUUUUCGGUCGUUUGAUUUUGGUUUAGUUUAACGACUUUUCGGUCGUUUGAAUUUGGGCUUAGUUUAACGACUUUUCGGUCGUUUGAAUUUGGGUUUAGUUUAACGACGUUUCGGUCGUUUGGAUUUGGGUUUAGUUUAACGACUUUUCGAUCGUUUGAAUUUGGGUUUAGUUUAACGACGUUUCUGUCGUUUAGAUUUGAGAUGCUUUGGAUUUUGGGGUUUUAUUUGUGGACUUUAGGUCUUGGGAUUUAUUUGUGGACUUUGGAUUUUGGGAUUUAUUUGUGGAUUUUGGUUUUGGAAUUUAUUUGUGGACUUUGGUUUUGGGAUUUAUUUGUGGACUUUGGUUUUGGGAUUUAUUUGUGGACUUUGGGUUUUGGUUGGCUUAAACCUCUUGUAUUUGAUAUGGGAUGAACCGUUAUGUUUUGGUUCGGGACCCAUCAAGACUUGGUUUGAGUUGGGCGACCUUAAGUUUCUUUGGUCGCUUUGGAUUUGGUUUGGGUUGAACUGUUAUACUUUGGUUCGAGACCUAUGAAGACUUGGUUUGGGUUGAACCGUUAUGCUUUGGUUCGGGACCCAUCAAGACUUGGUUUGAGUUGGGCGACCUUAAGUUUCUUUGGUCGCUUUGGAUUUGGUUUGGGUUGAACUGUUAUGCUUUAGUUCGAGACCCAUCAAGACUUGGUUUGGGUUGACCCGUUAUGCUUUGGUUCGGUACCCAUCAAGACUUGGUUUGAGUUGGGCGGCCUUAAGUUCAUUUGGUCGCUUUGGAUUUGGUUCAAGUCGAAUCAUAUUUGGUUCAGUUCAGACAGGAUCCGGUUUGGUUCGGAUCUAGUUCGGUUCAGCUCUGAUCGGAUUCGCUUUGGUUUAAGUUGAAUCCUGUUCGGUUCGGUUCAGACAGGAUCCGGUUUGGUUCGGAUCUAGUUCGGUUCAGCUCUGAUCGGAUUCGCUUUGGUUUAAGUUGAAUCCUGUUCGGUUCGGUUCAGACAAGAUUCGGUUCGGUUUGGAUUGGAUUCACUUUGAUUCGGGUUGGAUCCUUCAUGAUUUGGUUCGGAUCGGACCACUUCGGUUCGGGUCGGAUCCUUCAUGACUUGGUUUGGAUCGGACCCACUUCAAUUCGAGUCGAAUCCUUCAUGGUUUGGUUCGGAUCGGACCACUUCGGUUCGGGUCGGAUCCUUCAUGGUUUGGUUCGGAUCGGACCCACUUCAAUUGGAGUCGAAUCCUUCAUGAUUUGGUUCGGAUCGGACCACUUCGGUUCAGGUUGGACCCUUUAUGAUUUGGUUCGGAUCGGACCCAUUUCAAUUCGAGUCGAAUCCUUCAUGAUUUGGUUUGGAUCGGACCUACUUCAAUUCGAUUCGAAUCUUUCAUAGUUUGGUUCGGAUUAGAGCCACUUUGGUCCGAGUAGGACCCUUUGUGGUUCGGUUCAGAUAGGAUCCGGUUUGGUUCAAUUCAGAUCAAAUUCACUUUGGUUUAAGUUGAAUCCUUUAUGGUUCAGUUCGGACCAGAUCUGGCUCGGUUCGGAUCCGGUUUAGUUCAGUUUGGUUUGAUUCAAGUUGAAUCUCAUUCGAUUCGGACCGGAUCUGGUUUGGUUCAGAUUGGUUCGGUUUAGUUCAGAUCGGGGUUUACUUUGGUUUAAGUUGAAUCUUGUUCAGUUCGGACCAGAUUUGGUUUGGUUCUGAUCCGGUUCGGUUUAGUUCAGAUCGGGUUCACUUUGAUUCAAGUCGAAUCCUGUUCGGUUCGGAUUGGACUCAUUUCGGUUCGAGUCGGAUCCUUUAUAGUUCUGAUCGGAUUGGACCGGAUUCGGUCCGAGUGGUUCAAGUCAAAUCCUAUUCGGUUCGGUUCAGAUCGGAUUCACUUUGGUUCAAGUUGAAUCCUUUGUGGUUCGAUUCAGAUCAGAUCCGGUUCGGUUCAGUUCAGAUCGGACUCACUUUAGUUCAAGUCGAAUCCCUUAUGGUUCGGUUUAAGCUGAACCGACUUGUAAUUUGGUUUGGUUUGGUUAAUAUCUUUAAUGGUUCAAUUUUUGAUUGGUAUGAGACUCAAUUAAAAUUAGACCGGUUAGAUUGGAUCGGCUUAUCGUCCGAUUUGAUUUAUCAUUAUGGCUUGGCUCGCUCGGGUCAAGCCUAUCACGAAGACGACAACACGGUCUAAUUGAGCCGAACUCGGGUCAAGCCUAUCACGAAGACGGCGACCCGGUUUAAUUAGCCGAACUCGGGUCAAGCCAAUCACUAAGACGGCGACCCGGUUUAAUUAACCGAAGUCGGGUCAAGCCUAUCACGAAGACAGCGAUCCGGUUUAAUUAACCGAACUCGGGUCGCGUGCCAGUAUAAUAAAUCAGUAUAAUAAAUUCAAAUGUUUUUUAUAUGUUAAUUAAAUAAAUAAAAAAUUAAUUAAAAUCUAUUACGAUGGUUUUUAAAGUUGUAGAAAAAUCUUUUUUACCUCUCUUUUAUAUCCAAUCUCUCUCUCUCGUAUUAAUUUAUUAUCCUUCUCUUUAUCUCAUGAGCUCUAAUCUCCCUCACUCCCUCAACUUUAAAAUCUUUUUCCCUCCUCUCUCUCGAAUCAAAUCUCUCUCUUUUUCUCAACUUCAAAUCUCUCUUUUUCUAUUCAAAUCUCUUUCUAUACUCCAAUCUCACAUUUCCUAUUAUUAUGAUUGAUCGGCCGCCCAUCCCUCUUUCUUUCUCUAAUCUGUAUAAUACUAAUGGGUUAAGUAAUUAUACUCCUAUGGGUGAGAGGACGUUCCCUUACUCUAAUCAUGAAACCCUACUUAGAGUAAGGGUUCACUUAGAUUAUAAUGGUUGAUUUAAUGAAUCAUGGAAAUCAGUUUGUGGUAGUAUAAAAAAAUAAGGGUAACGUAAUGAUCCUUAGAAUUUUUCUAUCGUGCUUGGUUUGCGUGGGAUUACCACUAGACUCUGUAUUCGAGAUAUACAAUCAUGUGAUCAGGCAUAUCGUAUGUGGUUUACCAGUUCGAUAACUAUUCCUGAACUUGGAACGACUCAACUUUCAUACCUCUUACUACGUUUGGUCAAACGGUGAGUUAAGAUCUUUUGAUGGUUAACUUGAAGUGUCGUUGGGAUCCUAGGACUUCAUUUAGUCUUACCAGUUAGUUUAGAGAAAAAAAUUAAUUAUAUUAUCUCUUGUUAAAGUAAUCAACGCUUCGAAGUAAAUUUCUGGAUAUAUUUCGGGGUACGUAUGUACGUCCUAUGUUGUGAGUUGAGUGGAUUAGAUUUCAUAGGAAAGGGAGUUUGAAGAGGAUUGUUUCUUUAAUACUUCAAGGGAAGUAUUAAGAACUGCUCACAACUUUUCCACUACAGUUUAAUUGGGUCGUUUGUUAUCGUAGUUCUACUGAACAUUAAACUAAAGUUUAUAUAUCGUAUGAUCUUUACUAAAAGAAGUAUACGAUUCAUACUCUCUUACUCACGAACAAACGAUUCGAUGUUAGUAUUCACUGAAUAAACAAAUAAAAGAAAUAAUUUAAAAACAUCUAAGAUGUUCUCACUCCUUCUUCCCAGCCCCCCACUGAUUUUUACAAUUCACCAAAUUUUUCAAAUUCGGCCCUCUUUUCUCACGUCAUUGCUAGCUAUUACUGAAUUCUUCUCAUCACCGUUCACUACAACAUGUAAAAACAACCCUAGUUUUUUAAAACUUUAAACUUUAAGUUUAACUCUUAUAUCUUCCUUCCCCUAUUUUACUUAACUCCACUAAUUAUCAACAGAAUCUACUGGUUGAUAAUUUUCUUUUUCUUUAUUUUUAUAUAACAGUGGAAUAAAAAUUUUUAUAAACUUAACAACGGGUUUUACUUCUCCAGGUUUUUUUGGUGAUAUUUAACCUGGUACUCUAAGUUUUUAUUUAAGAGAAUCUCUUCCCCCCUCCCCCCCUCUUUGUUUUUUUUCGUUCUCUUUUCUUUUUGUUUUUUUUCUUUUUCUUUUUCUUUUUCUUUUAAAAAACAAGUAGGGGGGGAAGAGGACGGCACGUAGUCGUUGUUUCCCUCCCCCGCACGAGUGUCGUGUGGGGGGUUAGGCAUGUGUUUUCUUGUUUCUUUCUUUCAGCAGAGAAAGUAAAACGCCGCCGCGCUGCUACUGCUGCUGCUGCUGCUGCUGCUGAAGCUGUUGCCGCCGACACUGCUGAAGCUGCUGCUGUUGCCACACGCUCCUCCGGAGUACUGGAGGAGAAAGAAGAAGAAGAGGCUGCUGCCGGCUAACCACAUAUGCACGUUUGCAUAUCAGUGCUAAAUAAACAACCAAACUAGUUGUGCUGGCAGAAGUACUAUCGAACUGGGCUAGUUUAGGCCGUAACCUAGCAAUGAUAUAGCAUGCGUGCAUAAGUGAUUUGCAGGCAGAGGAGUUGUAGCUGCUUUCUAAAUGUGCUCGCACGCUUACUGCGCUGCUGCUUGGAGGUUGGCUAAACUAACACGCCGGCAGAAGCACUAUCCGAGCUGUGAGAGUUUAGAUUUUUUUUUACUAUUAUUUUAUUUUAUUCUAUUAUUUUAUUUAUAAACCUAGCGGCAGAAGCACUAUCCGAUCUAGGUUAAACUGUAUUUGGCCCAGCGGCAGAAGCACUAUCCGAACUGGGCUCAGGCUAAUUAACUCGGCCCAGCGGCAGAAGCACUAUCCGAACUGGACUCAGGCCAAUUAAUUUGGCCCAGUGGCAGAAGCACUAUCCGAACUGGACUCAAGCCAAGUUUAUUUGGCCUAGCGGCAGAAGCACUAUCCGAACUGGGCUCAAGCCAAUUAAUUUGGCCCAACGGCAGAAGCACUAUCCGAACUGGGCUCAAACCGAUUAAUUUGGCCCAGCGGCAGAAGCACUAUCCGAACUGAGCUCAAGCCAAGUUUAUUUGGCCCAGCGGCAGAAGCACUAUCCGAACUGGGCUCAAGUCAAUUAAUUUGGCCCAGAGGCAGAAGCACUAUCCGAACUGGGCUCAAGCCAAUUAAUUUGGCCCAGCGGCAGAAUCACUAUCCGAACUGGGUUCAAGCCGAUUAAUUUGACCCAGCGGCAGAAGCACUAUCCGAACUGGGUUCAAGCCAAGUUUAUUUAGCCCAGCGGUAGAAGCACUAUCCGAANUGAUUCAGCCCAUCUAGUUAAGCUUUUUGAGAUCAUUGGAACUAUCAUGGAAGCAUUACGAGUUACAACAACACAAAGCCACGCACAAAGUAAACAUUACAAUAAAGUAAAACAAAACCUAAUAAAACACCAACACUCGAGAUAUAUAUAAAAAAGAAAAAGCACGAAAUUGAAAAGGAGAAACUAAACAUUAGUUAAUUACGCAGUCCAUCCUCAUAAGAAAUGACUACUAAAUUAUUAUAUUCUUUGAUAAACCAGCUUUCGAGUUUGAGAGAUUCCUGAGUUCAGAUCAGAGGUGGGCAGGGUGGAAAGAAUCCCCAAAAAGAAAAAAUUAAUACACCUCACAAAAUGCGAUUAUCUUACUUGCUAUAUCAGGAGGGGAUGAAGGUAAAUCAGACCCAAUUGAAGACGACCCAACAUGACUUGGUGUUGUCGUUGCCCGUGACGAAGAGGCGCUUGAACCCACCGUAGUACGUAAUGUUGAAGCUCUCACCAUCACCUUGAAGAAAUAAAAAUACAAUAUAUUAUUCCAACCAUAAUAGAUAUAUUAAGUAUCAACAAGUAAUAUACUUUAAAUUAGAAAUAAAUCUAUAUUGGCAAUAGUAGCAAAAUUGAACAAAUGAAAUCUAUAGAUACAUACCGGCAAUAGUAGCAAAGCACCUAUUAACUGGACGGAUUCGAAAAAUUGCUUGAUUAGGUCUAGGCAAAACUUCUUGUCUAUAGAUACAUCAUAUGCACAAAACUUCUUGUCUACAUGGACACAGUCUUUGCUAUGCAUGCACGACAGCGGGAUACAAAGCAUACAAUAAUUUAUCAAAAUAGGAUAUACACAUCCUACUGUUACAACCAUCAAGCACAUGACUCACACUACAAUAACCAGCAGCAUGAUUGAUAAUGUUUCCUCCGAACCCUAUAGACAUGACAAGCCCUCCAAUCUCCGAAUACACUGAACAUAUCACUCCAGUCCCCACAAUCAAAAUACAAAUCACCUCCAUUCUCUGGUUCCUUUACAUAAAAGCAUUUUUUUUAAAUCCGAGAUCACGAGAAAAGAGAUAACUAUUCUAAAACAAAACCAUUACAUAAAACCGAUUAUCAUGAUCCAGGCACAAUGAAAGGAAACUUAACUAAACAAAAUAAAUCGGUACAUAUAUCCAAAUUAACCAUGUGAAUCCAUGACUGAACAUAAGACAACCCAACUCUACAUAUAUAUAAAACAAGUUAUUUGCCUACUUGUCAUGUGUCAUAACCGAUAAUAUGAUGUCUAUAAUCAAGUACCUGUGAUACUACCAGUCGAGAAUCAUAGUCAAUAUGAACAUGUCUACCAGGAUGCAUGAUAACGAUCACAAGUAGUGAGGCAGUUUAAGGGCCAUGUAAUCACAACAACAGGUAAUAAGGCUAGUAAAGAACGAUACUAAACAUCUAAGCAUGGGUAGAGUAUCAGGUAGAAUAAGGAAAUGCCAGCCAAGUGAUUAUGUACCAAUGCUGAAUUGAAUCACCCACCUAUACUUCAAAGUUGCUCGAGUCUUCGAUUCAUUCCAAGUCCACGACUACUACCGUUGCCUGCACCUAAUCAAGCACACAAGUGUUAUACCCAGCCUCUAGUUUAGCACACAGACUUCUCCUAUUCAGACAACAUAUGCCUAAUUGAUAUUAGCUUUAAUAAAUGCAAUUCUAAGAAGACAAAGACAAGCUUGCAAACCUGAAACUAAUUAAUAUUAGCUUAUUCAUCUAAACUAUCUUUGAUAUUAAGCAAAUCAAUAUUCAACACAUCAGCAUCUAUAGUAAUCCCUUCUGUAUCAUUUCGUAUUAACUCAAACCCAUCAUCUUCAUCCUCAAUGUUCAUGUAUCCACAAUGUAGCCAUAUGGUGUGUCCACAUUGGCGGGUUUUAAUUUAACCCGAUCCACUUAAGAUGUGGAUUGGAAUUUAUCUUAAUAAGUUUAGGAUAAGAAUCUAUAUAAGAUUCAGGAUAUUUAGGAGUUCUGUUAUUCUAUAUAUACGCCCCAUUUUUCUCUCCGAAAAAGAGACGAUCGCAUACGAUCAAAUUCGUAAGAACCCACGAAAUAUCUUCCUUUUUCUCUCUCUUCUUCCUCUCUGGGAUUUCCACCUACGUUCCCGGGGUUUUGGAGUGUGGACAUAGAAGAGGACUCUGGUAGCCCUCUUCGAUUGGCAUCCGUCGCAUUAGAUCCGCAUCCAAUCGGUGGCGUAAAGCGUACGCGAAGGAGAAGGCGAGAAACGUGGGAGAUCCAGAAGUUUCAAGGCAAGGACGAUCCAAGAAGGCUUGUAAAACAAGCAAUCCUAUCCGAUUUGGGUUCCCGGAUACGUUGGCUAUCCAGUUUGUAAGUUUCCGCUGCUUAUAAUUUCCAACACACAAGAAUUUCCAAUUAUCUCAGCUUCUUGGAUGAUCUCCUCCAUUAUUGAAGAACUUUGAACGCCAACUUCGUUACUCUCCAUCGUUGGAAUGUCAUACAAAUCACGCGGUAUUGUCUUAAUUACAAAAUGCCACUUUGGAUCGUUAAUAUCUUCCACGUAGUAAACUUGUUGCCAAAGCCUUAGGAGCUAGUUGUGUUUCCUUUUCCCCAUUAAAUAAUUUUUUAUCUUUUCGCCAUUUAUGACCAGGUGGCAAAAAGCGACGACGACCCAUAUAGCAAAAUUUCUUGCCAUGCCUUAACUAGGAGGAAGCAGUGUCUUUAUUAUAGCAAGGACAUGCUAGUUUUUCUUUUGUGCUCCAACCUAAUAAAUUGGCAUAUGCUUGAAAGUCACUUAUGGUCCAAAGUAUUGCGGCACGCAUUUUGAAAUUCUCUUUCUUGGAUAAAUCAUAUGUCUCAACCCCCGUUUCCCACAACUCCUUCAAUUCCUCAAAAAGAGGUGCCAUGUAUACAUCUAUGUCAUUUCCAGGAGCCUUUGGACCAGGAAUAAUUAAAGAUAUCAUAAAAAAAUCACUCUUCAUGCACAUCCNNNNNNNNNNNNNNNNNNNNNNNNNNNNNNNNNNNNNNNNNNNNNNNNNNNNNNNNNNNNNNNNNNNNNNNNNNNNNNNNNNNNNNNNNNNNNNNNNNNNUUUUAGCGCGAAAACAACCGCCGCUAGCUCAAGAUCGUGAGUCGGGUAGUUCUUUUCAUAACUCUUCAACUGGCGCGAAGCAUAAGCUAUGACUCGGCAAUUUUGCAUUAAGACACACCCGAGACUAAUGUAUGAAGCAUCACUGUAUACGACAUAACUCUCUACCGACGUCGGCAAAGCAAGCACCGGAGUAGAUGUCAGUCUAUUCUUUAGCUCCUCAAAGCUCUGCUCACACUCGGGGCUCCACACAAACUUCACCCCUUUGUGCGUAAGGCGCGUUAGUGGAGUCGUUAUCCUGGCAAACCCCUCCACGAACCGCCGGUAAUAGCCCGCAAGUCUAAGAAAGCUACGAAUUUUCGCUACACUUGUCGGGCGAGGCCAAUCUUUAAUCGCCUCAACUUUCUUUGGGUCCACCGAGAUGCCAUCUCCGGAUACAACGUGACCCAAGAAGGUAACCUCCGAAAGCCAAAACUCACAUUUCUUUAGUUUUGCGUAGAGCUUUUCCUUCCGGAGUAUCUCCAAUACGAGUCUUAGAUGCUCAUCGUGUUCUUCUUCGGUCCGAGAAUAUACCAAUACAUCGUCGAUGAAAACCACGACGCACCGGUCCAAUAGCGGACGGAAGAUUCGAUUCAUUAGGUCCAUAAAUGCCGCCGGGGCAUUAGUGAGCCCGAAUGGCAUGACCGUAAAUUCAUAGUGGCCAUACCGCGUACGGUACGCCGUCUUAUGCACGUCCUUGGGCCGUAUCUUCAACUGAUGAUACCCCGACUGCAGGUCAAUCUUUGAAUAUACCCUUGACCCCUGCAACAGGUCGAAUAAGUCAUCAAUUCUCGGCAACGGGUACUUGUUCUUGACCGUCACUCUAUUCAACUCGCGAUAGUCAACGCAGAGUCGGAGUGUGCCGUCUUUCUUCUUUACAAAUAGCACCGGAGCUCCCCACGGGGAUACGCUCGGCCGCACGAAGCCUUUGUCGAGCAAAUCUUGCAACUAGGCUUUCAACUCCUUUAGCUCCACCGGUGCCAUUCUAUACGGUGCCUUCGAAAUUGGCGCCGCCCCGGGAAUCAGGUCAAUAACAAACUCGACUUCCCGAUCCGGGGGCAGUCCCGGUAACUCUACCGGAAAUACAUCCAGAUAUUCCCGCACAACUCGAAUACUUUUCAGUUCCGGGUAUUCCUUUGGAGGGUCUACGAUGGUCACCAAAUAAGCCUUGCAACCACCUUUAAUCAUUCUCUUUGCCCUCACCGUCGAUAUGGUCGCCGCGAAGGAUUUGCCUUUGCACGCCCGAUACACAAACUCCUCCUGAUCAGGCUCACGGAACGUGAUCACCCUUCUUUCGCAAUCUAUAAUCGCGUAAUACUUGGAGAGACUAUUGAUCCCCAAGAUCACCUCGAAGCCCGACAUUUCUUUUAACACUAGAAGGUCAAUCGGCAUAAUCCAAUCACCUAUCUGCACUGGGCAGUCCAAGCACUCAUCAUGAACGUCGAACGAGUGCUCGGGGGUGUUCACCGACCAAUACUCCUCGCUAUGAGUGAUCUCUAUGUUAUGAGCUUGUGCAAAAGAUGAUAAUAUGAAUGAAUGAGAUGCACCCGUAUCGAAUAUGGCUCUAGCUCUAGUGCCUCUGAUAAGAAUAAUACCUGCCACGACGUCGUCGGGAGCAAUAAUUGGUGUCUCCUCCACCUGAGUGGCAAAUACCCGCCCACUAGGUGCUCGAGAGGCCUCCGGCUGAUGAGGCGCCGACGAUCGUCGAGCAGAUGUUGCAGGUGGCAGUCCCGCUAGCUGUCGCUGAGUGUACUGGACAGAUGCUGAUGACGGGGCUGGGGACACGCCGCCCGGNUGCGAGCCAUGGGUCGGAACACUGUCUACGACCCUCCAAAAUAUCUGGAAUAGCUCGGAACACAGACCAAACACUCGAACCUCGCAAUUUGCAAAGGUCCAGUGUGUUACAGGUGCUUCGGCGGCCUCCUAAAGUGCGUCUCACUCGCACUCUCAGCCGCGGGCCUUUUGCCCUUACCCUUGUCCUAGUCUUCUCUCCUUUCCUGCACCUCAGCCGCGCCGCUCUCCACGACGAGCGCGCGAUUCACCACUUUUCGGUAGGUUUGGAGGUUAGAGGAUUGCACGAACCAGAAGAUAGACGGUCGCAAUCCCCGCUUGAAGAUGCGGUCCUUGUCCUCGUCGUCCCGCACAACAAAAGGCACGCAAUGUAGAAGCUGCAAAAACUCCCUCUCGAACUCUGCUACAUUCCGAUCUCCCUGGCGCAAGUUGCGUAAGUCCUGCUCCAUCUUCCUCUUGAUGAUGACGGGGAAGUAGUGCGCCAGUAGAAGUUGCUUGAACUUCUUCCAGGUAAUGGCUGCAAGGUCGGUGUUGGGGUUCUCCUGGAUGUCCAACCACCAAUGGUAGGCCUCGCCGUCCAAGUGGUGAGUGGCGAGCCAAACACAAUCCCUCUCCUCCACGAAGGUGUCGCGGAAGAGCUUCUCCAUGUGCAUCAACCACUUUUCCACGAUCCAGUGGUCGACCCUCUCGCCGUCGAAGAUCCAGGGGCUGCACCUCCUGAACUCAUUGAGGCGCUCCAUCAGUCGGUCCCGCUCCUCUCCAACAGCCGUCACGGGGAAAGCCGCCCCCGCCAGAGGCACCUAAGAUGGUGGUGCCGCAAUCACCUCCUCCCGUGGCGCUACCGCAGGUGUCUCCGAGAUGUGUCGAGAGCAGGGGACGACCCUCGGGGUGCAACCACCUCCACCGGUGCGGGUGGUGUAGGAACUUGAGCCUCUCUAGCAGCCGCCUGCUGCAUCAGUAAUUCCUCCAGGCGCUUCAUCUGCGCCUCCUGUGGACGCGCUGCCUCUGCCUGCUGCUGAGCCACCGCGGUCUGCUAUGCAACCAAUUCGGUGAGGGCCGCAAGUUGGCCCCUGAACUCACGGACCUCGCUGGAUCCGAAGGUAGCGAAGGUCUCAACCUCCUCCAAGUGUGCCGUAUUAUCGCUCCGGCAGAUUGAGAGCGAGUGAUCAGCAUCUCACUACAACAUCAUAAAAGCGUAAGUUAGUAAAACCCACGCUAUCGAAUAUCCACUCAAGAAGACAACACCCAAAUCAUGCGAAAGUAGGGAAGGGUUCUUCACUACUAACUCGCGAUGUUACGUUGUCGGCCGCCAACGUAACCCUCCGCGAAGUUAGAAGCCAGACACUUCGAUUAAACUCUAACUUUUUAGAGUUAUAAAGAAACCCAAUCAAGAUACUUUCGCUUACAAGUCAAAUAGACAUCGUCUCUCACGAGCCUAUUUCCUAUAGUGGCCUAAGGUCUGCUAGGUCCACUAAGACUCAACCCUAGGCUCUGAUACCAAAAUAAUCUAUCACGCCCCGGGACCCGGCGGAAGCCCGCCCUGCGCGUAUCCAGACCCGUCAUACAUCUAAAACAUAUAAGGCGUCUACAACAAAACGAUAAAUAAAGCAAUAGAAGAAGAACAUCUAGGAGUAUCAGAGCAAAGUACAAGUAGAUUCUACAAUAAAGGAAAGAACAUAAGGCUAAACUCCACUAAAUAAAACCAUAAAGUGGUACAUCAGAAAUCCAAGUACAAGAGCUAAGAAUAAUACAAUUGUAACACACUGGGCUUUCGCAAAUAGCAAGAUUCGAGUGUAUUCCCAGUUUUUUCAAAUAUUUUGGAGGGUCGUGGACAGUGUUCCGAUCUAUGGCUCGUAUCCCGAGAAUUGUAGUAUUUAUAGUAGCGCUAAGGUCACCAAAAUGAUGGACUUAGGCUGCUCUCGGGUUGCUGUUUGCACGGCUGUGUACCGGUACAACAUUAAUGUUGUACCGGAACAGAUGGUGUACCGGUACAGCAUCGAAAGUGUACCGGUACACAUGGAGAUUUUUUGCAAACCCGAGGCUCAGGUUUGCUGUCGCGCAGGACUUGUACCGGUACACUUUCCCGUGUACCGGUACACUUUGCUCUGCGGGCUGAUGUUGUGGGGGGUGUAUUUGCAAUUGUUGCAAACCCUAUAAAUAUCACCCGAGCCCCCUUAGAAGCUCUUUUGAGCCCUAACCUGUGGAGAAGUAAGGUGAGACUCUUCCCCUUUGAUUUCUUCUUCAUUUUUGGUGAAUUUUGGUUAGUUUUGAUCUCUCCUUUCUUCUCCUCCUUACUUUUUGUUGGGUUUCCUUCUUUGUUGAAGACUUGGAGCUUGGAGAGGAGUUUGUUUGAGAGGAGAUUUUCAACCCUAGCUGGUUUGGGAGCUUGGUUUGGGACUCUUGGAGGGUUAGUGAGCUUAAUCUCCUCUUUGAUCUAUGUUUUAGUGGAUUUUACUUGUUGGAACCCUAGAAUUGGAACUUAGGGUUUAUUUUGGGAAUUUUGGAUUUGAGGGUUUUGGAGCCCAUUUGAUCUUAUUAGGAACCUUUGUUUAGGUUGGUUUGGAAGGACUCUAACUCUCAUUUGGAGAUCGAGAGAGUUUCCUUCGCAUUCGGUGAGUUUUCACCCUUUUGCUUGAGUUGUUUAAUGUUCGAACCUAGGAUUGUUCGUAACGUUCGUGUAUCUCUCUUUUCUAUACCUUUAGGGUACUAGGAGAGUGGUGGACACCUUCGUCGGAGCAAACGAAGGGUUUUUAAUAGUUUCGGUGGGUUUGGCUUCAUUGGAAUAGGAGAAAACUUCUCCUAAGUGGUUAAAUGUUUUUGUUUCAUCGCAUCUCAUGCAUAUUCAUGCUAAAUAGAAUUUAUGUGAAUUUUAGAAUGCUUAAAAUGCGUGUGUUAUGUAUUAUGAAAAUUCAUCUCUGUAUAGUAGAGCCUUAUGUGGAUUAAACAUGCAUGUGAGUAGCAUUCUUCUUGUGGACUGGAAACAUGUGUCAUAUGACGAAAAUGACUUUAAUGAUGUAUUCUUGAACACUAAACUCGUGCUUGGACUUGAUGAACAAAAGUGCCAUAAAGGGGCACUCGAACUAGUAAAUUGUUAAAUUGCAACAUUGAGGACUUGGUACUUGAGAUAGACUUUUACGCUUGCUUGCCUUUGUGCUCAUUCGCACAUGCUUGUGAGGGUCGCUCCCUACAAGCCGGCACUCCGGAGAUAGCCAUCGCGACAUAUGCUCCCCCGUGCGAGAUUGGGUGCCGAAGUGGAUUGCCGUGGGGGAGGCUUAUUCCUAGCGUGCGGAUGUUGACUACCACAGGGCCAUUAGGCACGGCGCAGGCCAGACAGCCUUCGGGUGGGUCUUACAAGAUUGAAACUAUGAGAAGUUAAUAUGCCAAGUGAGCUUGGACUAGAAUAGUAAACAAUGACAUCUUACUAUUUGCGUUGUGGACAUUAUAUUGGUUAUACAUUCAUGCUUAUUCUUGCUAGAAUAGCUUUCUUACUUAUUGUGUAUGACAUCUUACUAUUUGCGUUGUGGACAUUAUGUUGGUUAUACAUUCAUGCUUAUUCUUGCUAGAAUAGCUUUCUUACUUAUGCAAAAUCAUGCUAAGUAGAGACAUCAUGUUGUAGUAAGCAUUCAUGUUAUUUACUUGUUGUUAUCUCGUUUAUACUCGCAUCUACUUACUUGCUUAGUUUUGGGCCUAGUGGUGCACUUAUUUUAAGUCAGUAAUUGCCCACUGGGAACUAUUAUCUAAUAGUUUUCACGCCCUCUGUUCUAUGGUUUCUUUUCAGAGCCUUCCACUCCGGGAGAGGCUCGGGAUCGCGGGAAAGGUAUCGCCUCGAGUUAGCUUGCGAGGGGUUCGGCGAUAGGUGGUCCACCUCUCUUUUGAGUUUUGUUUUGGAGAGGUUAAGAGAGACUUGUACCUUUUUGUAGAGAUGUCACGCCCCGGGGCCCAGCAGAAGCCCGCCCGGUACGUGUCCAGACCCGCCAUAUGUCUAAAACAUAUAAGGGGUCUACGAUACAGCAAUAAAUAAAAUAAUAAUACAAAGAGACCUAGCGAUAUCAGAGCAAAGUACUACUAGAAUCAACAACAUGAGAGUACAACAAGAGCUAAAAUCCACUAAAAUAAAUCAUGAAGUAGAACGACAGAAUUCCGAGUACAAAUGCUAUAAGUGGUACAAUGGCGGUCUCUAUACAUGGUAACAAAACUCUCUCUCACCAAAAACACAAAAAGAAAGUAGACCACCUAGGAGCAAAGGCUGGCUUCGCACUAACUAGCUACGCGACUCCCUCGCCGCGAUCCCGUGCCUCCGCCGGUGCUGAAGGCUCUGAAAAAGGUAUCAAACAGAGGGCGUGAGAACUAUUAAAUAAUAGUUCCCAGUGGGCAAUUACUGACUUCAGUGAAAUGCACCACUAGGCCCAAAACUAAGCAAGUAAGGUAAGCGAGGCAGGUAAGAAUAAUAUGAACAAUUAAAUCACUGAAAUGGAAGCUCACUAUAGCAUAAUGUCACUACUUUCAUCAGUAAUAAUCUACCACAUGAUCUCUACUUAGUAUGGAUUUGCAUAAGUAAUAAACUACCAUGGCAUAAUUGCACAAAUAUAAGCCGAACAUAAUAACCACAAGCUAGAAUGGUAAUGUGUCAACAUUUACUAUUCUAGUCAAUGUCCAAAUGGCAUAGUAUGUCACUAGUAACCCAAUCCUGUGGAAGCUACCCGUAGGUAGUCCGGUCUGCGCCGUGCCAACAAUGGCCCCGUGGAAGUCAACAUCCCCACUCUAGGAAUGAGCCUCCCCCACAGCAUCCCAUUUUAGCGCGCAAUCCCGCACGGGCGAGCAUGUGUCGCGAUGGCUAUCUCCGUAGUGCCGACUUGUAGGGAGCGACCCUCAUAAGUAUGUGCGAAUGAGCACAAUGACAUGCAAGCGAAUAAGUCCGUCUCAGGUCCCAGUGGUUCAUCACUGUUUCAUCGGAUCUAAAAUCCGGAAUACAGCACAUGUCCCAAAGGCCUGCCUCUAUGUCAUCGUGUCUAACACACGGAAUAUAGUAACUGUCUCAAUAGCCUACCUCUAUGUCAUCGUGUCUAAAACACGGAAUAUAGUAGAUUUCCGAUGGCCUAUCAUCAUGUCUCUAAGUUGCAGUUCAACAUUUUUCUAGUUCAAGUGCCCCUCUCGAGCUAGGCAGCUGAUCAGCAGAGGCUGCGUAGCCUAUUUGGCUAUGUCACGCCCCGGGGUCCCUUUGAGUUUAAAAGAUAGCGGGAAAGCGUCUGAAUUUUUUUUUUUUUUUUUUUUUUUAAAUCCUGACCCCAGAGUAUGCCAGACCCGCCACAAAUACAGAGAUUCCACUGUUCACACGGACAGAGUCUCCCCUGUAUUUGCACGGCGUCGCACAAGUACAACAGUACAAACAGGAUACAACCACAACUAUAUGAAUAUAGAAAUUACCAUACAUUCAUACAUUCACCAUUCAUAUCACAGAUAUGCAUUCAAUGUCUAAAUAUAAAUCCAUAGAAAAUCUUUUGAAAACUGUUCCCUACACAGGAACCUUUAUUCUUUAAAAAUGCUACCACGAGGGGUAGAAAACUUUUUAUUUUACAAAAUCCAGAAAUCCACAUUUUCAAAUGUAAAUGAACACUGAACCACAUAAACCAACUAGACUAUUCAUCAGCCAAAAUAAGAAGGGUAAGAAAGUAAACCGAAUUAACCUGGGUCGAAAGCUCUAUCGACCGCUACAAACGUACCUCACGUCUCGUCCCAAAACCCAAUGCCUGCAAUACCUGAAAAACAGUGGGGGAGGUGAGAACAUGUAAACAUGUCUCCCCUCCCAGUGGGUACCGCAAGCCGAAGAAGGCGAGGAGUACUCACCGGAUCAGGAAGAGAUAACCAACAGUAUGGGUAAGUAAAAUACAGUAGCAACGAUAAUGAACGAACGAGAUAUAUAUAUAUAUAAAGCACAACUACCGCUACUGUAAUGUACAACUGCAAGCAUGCAAGGAUAUCAAAACUAUAGUAGCAAGACAACUGUAAAGAAAGAACUAGAUGUACAUAUGCAACAACCGCUACUAUAGCUAUAUGCGUCAACCGGACGAGAAGUCCCAAAAGUACCCAAUCUAAACCGCCGUGUCGGUCUAAGGACCUCAGGCAAAAGCCACUAUCUGCUCACACCUGGCAUGUAACCCUAGCACAAAGAGAACACCGCUGGGCUCACGGGUCGGAUGUACGACCACUUUUCCGGAAAAGAACACCCUCCUGCGGGGGAUCAACCCGCUGGUGUACGUGAAAUGCACUCGAGCUGUGGCGAUCAAUGCGGAUAUGAUCAAUAGCCAACCGUCGGCAAUCAGCCGACAAUCACUGCCCCUCGAGGCUAACCGACCGUGUAGGUCAUCAAGUAACAACGUGAACCGACCAAGAGAGGUCAAUAUACGGAAAGUAACGAACGACCAAACAGGUCAUCGAUGCAAACAGGAGAACCGACCAACCAGGUCACAAGUAUAGUAUAUACGAAUGCCAUCUAUUCUACCCCUAUACAGGAUACUACACAUAGAACAACCAGGCAGAGUAAAUAAAUAUAAUAUGUAGAUACUGCUCGAUGUCAACUAAAAGUACGAACGCAAGAACCGACCGAUAGGUCACAGGAGUGUAUUCGAUAUAGUCCAGAACUACCGUCAGCACCAGCCGACAAUCCUACCCCUCAGGGUACACCGACCUCAAAGGUCAUCGAACAACAGAAGUCAAGAAACAGACCAACCCAAUACAUAAUGCAACGACCGACCAACCAGGUCAACAGAUAUAAGAUAAAAGCACCGAUCAACUAGGUCACCGAAACGAAGUACGAGAACCGACCAAUUAGGUCACCAAAGUACGAGAACCGACCAAUCAGGUCACCGAUAUCACAUAUGGAUAAACUACUCUACUCCUACACAUGAUACUAAGCAUAGAACAUAUGAGUAGAGCAUAAUAGAAACAACGGGGAUGCAAGCUCAAUAUAUAAUACGAAAAUAGCACAGAAGAACAGGGAUAGAAGAAUAUCACCGAGCGUGCACCACUGUACCGACUUCGGAUCGAAGUACCCACCUGUCACUGUCGCGUCGGAACACUGGGUACGCACAAGUCAACCGGACCUACGAAGAUCCCACGGGUCAGUAACCAACCCACUCACCUGAAGUACACUGUCUCACAAACCCCACACAGAACCCCGUAUCGGUUUCCCAAAACCGAUCAUCGUAACUCACCGGAAGUCUCGAAAACCACACCGGGACGCCGUCGGGACCCACUAAGUGUCCCGAACUCACCGACUCGUGCCACGAGUCACCCGCUGCCCCAAAACACUCCGAUUUGGAUGCCUUGGCAGCGGACACGAGGUGACACAACCAUACGAUCAUCGCCGGAUAAUCGUACGAAUCCGGGUUCCCGGAAGUGUCUAUUUCGACACCGGAACCUACCGUCGCUCACCCAUCAUUUCAGAACCCUCAAAAUGAUGCCAGUGACCAGCCGACAAGGCUCAGCGACUGCACAAUUCCUCACGAAACACUGUCGGAAGGAAAUCGAACCGAUCCCGCGUUCCGUCGGCGGAUUUCGCCGAGAAACGCGCCGAAAGUCUCAUUCUGACACUUGCAAAGGCUUGGGGCCUUGGACGAUCAGUCCAGAGGUUAUCCUCAGCCCUAACUCGCUGCCAGCAGCAGCUACGACGAAGCAAACGGCAUAAAAGCCCCCAUCGACACAUGAAAUCACAUUAUUUUAUGUGAUUUCAUGGCUUUUAUGGAUCGUACACGCAAAGCAGAGGUCAAACAGCCAAGACAAGACUCCCGCUGACUGGUCUCGGCGUGCCGGAGGCCGUGCUCACCUUUCGGAGCACUGCCGGCCACUGUGGCACGCGCACGGGCGACGCAAAAUUAGUGAAACAGCGCGCACAGUAGGAAAAGCAUGCUUAUCUCGCUAACCAGGGGCUCUCAGACUCCAAUGAAGGUGGCCACGAUGAUCAGCACUGAACCAGGAUCAUCGUGCUCACCUUCAGAAGACUCGGGGUGGCGUCGGUUCACCGGAACAGUGACCGGAAGCCCAAGACAAGGUGCAGAAAGCUAACUAAGCUUACCGGAGCUAGGCAGGGCACGGGGUGGCCGGCGGCGGCCGGACGGCGGGCAGGCCGGCCAGGGGAAGGUGCUCCAGGUCAGAGGAGGCCGGGGCUCGCGUCAGCAGGCGACGGGAGGCGGCGGCGACGACGGCCAACGAUGCCCUAGCCACCAAACCCGUGGGGAGCAUGGGCUCAUUCCGGCGGACAGCGAGCUCCGGCGGCAGCGUCUCCGGCGGUUGACGGGCACGGCCGGCCAGGCGGAGUUGGUGCUCACGCCGGCCGGCGGCGAGAGGCGGCCGCGGCGGCGCUGGAGCAUCCUGAGCUCUCACGGGCUCGGCUCGGGCUCACAGGGUGGCGACGGCCACGGCGGCGUCCGGGGAAGGCUUGGGACAGGGACGACCCGUCGCCGGAGGCCGAGGGGAAGGCGGCGCGCACGGCCUAAGGCGGCGGCGGCGCACGGAGGCAGCGCGGGGUCAUCUCGGCCCGAGCAGACCUGGGGCGGCCGCGGUUGACAGAGGAGGCGACGGCGGCCCGCAAGGACGACGGCGACGAUGCACGGGGGUCACCGGGGCUCCGGGGAUGGCGGCGUUGCCGAGCUAUGGCGGCGGUGGUGCGAGGAGAGGGAGAUCAAACCAUCUCGGCCGGAUCUGCCCGAGCUUGGCCGCAGGAUUGCCAAGGCGGCGGCGGCGGCGCUCGGGGUGGCGGCGGCCGACAGAGAUGGUCGCCGGGGUCGGGCCUGCUGUCAGAGGUGAAACCCGAGGGUGUGGGUUCACCCUGGUAGCAGCACAAGUGGGGGUGAAGGAUGGUGAAGCAAGGAGCAAUGGAGGAGGUGGAGGAGCAGCCAGCUCCGGCGGCCGGCGGCGUGCUCAGGUGGCCGGAGCGCGCGCACGGGCAGGGCGCGGAUGCAGAGGUGUCGGCUAGGGCACAGAUGGGGGACAGGGUCGGCCAGAUCUAGGGUUUCGUGCAUAGAAACCCUAGAUGCACAUUGUAUACAAAGUGCAAUUUUGCACAAAAGUCUACCUAAGCUUGGUAUUUCUUACCCAGUCCCUCACAGCACAAGUAAAACGCGCGAAUACCCCUCUACGUGCGAUUUCACGCGAAACGGUACAUAAAAUGUUGCGACUUUUGCGAAAUUACCGUUUUGCCAACACCGACCUCUCCUCGAUCAACGCGCGAUCUCCGUAGAUUCGUCCGUCAGAUUUGCGAAUGGAUUGCACCAGUGCGAUCAGCACCUCGGAGACAACAGAGCUACGAUUUCGAUUCGUCUCGAUCGACCACGGAUUCACGACAAAAUCCACCCUUUCGUUCCAAUCGAAAGAAACACACAAAAUACAUAUAAAAUAUGUAUUUUUGGAUUUUCUCGAAAUCCGUGCGUCAAACUCAAAAUCCGUCAGCGCCAGUAGUUCCAGAAUAGCUGAAUCCUUCGAAAUGAGCUAUUGGACUGAUACGAACGGAGUCCGAUACGCACCAGAAGCCAACUCUACUCCGUGGCUUUACCGGAAAACCGGAGUUACCAUUCACUUAAGUGAAAACUAAUAAUCGCGUGACUUCUCCGUUUUAGCUCAUUUUCUCCUGAAACUUGACGAGUGCUUAUGUAAUUAAAUUACACACAUAAACAUCGUCAACAGAGAGUUUAGUUGCACUGUAAAAAAAAAUCUCAGUCCUUACAUAACAAUUAUUAUUAGUGAUGUGAAGGGUAUUUUAGUAAUUAUACAUGAACCGACAAAGUAAGAGGUGAGACGAAACCAACAAACAUAUUUGCUUAUUUAUAAAGAGGACAUGUGAAAUGUUUUAGAGAUAUUUAUUAAUGGAUAAACUUAACGUACUAAAAUACCCUUCAUACAAAAAGGUGAGGAAAAAUUAUUAAUAGUAAUUAACUAUAAUAAUUUUAAAUUUAAACUACAACUUUAAUCUUGAAUUAAAAUUUGAAUUUCUAUUCUAAAUUUUAACGUACAUCAAAAUUGUAAAUCUAAAUUUAAGUGUAAUUUUUUAAUUCAAAUUUUAUUUAUAGUGAAUUGAGCUAUCCGACUUUAUCUGAAUCCAAAAAUUAAACUCAUAUUUAAAUUUAUAAUUUGGUAUAAUAUGUGAAAUUAGAAUAUUAAAAUUAAAGAUUUAAAAAUAUAUUUUAAUCAUUCAAUAUUAAUUUAUUAGAUAUGUUGUUAACAAAAAGAUUUUAUUUAUAAGACUAUCUAUGAAGUGUUAACAAUUAUUAUUAGUGAUGUGAAGGGUAUUUUAGUAAUUAUACAUGAACCGACAAAGUAAGGGGUGAGACGAAACCAACAAACAUAUUUGCUUAUAAUAUAAAUACCUUAAAAAAUUAUAUUUUUUGAACGCUCUCAUCUCCCUCGCCAGAGAGUAGGACUCGGAUGGCGAUCUUAGGUGAGGUCGCGUCUCGCAUCGCCCAGCUCUACUACGGCCAAUAUCGCCGCACCAGCGACUCCUCCUACCUCGCCGAGGCCUUCGUCUUUUACGAGGCCGUCCUCGACCGCGAGUACCUCCGCGCCGCUGCCACCGUCGCUGAGGUCGCGCUCGCGCACAAGCAGCUCUCCCUCCUCAUAAGGUUCCAGAACAUGAGGCGAUCCCCGGCGUGGCGCAGCGCGGCGCCGCCGCGGAGGUGAGACCCGGGACGAGCCCUAGACGUGCGGCGCAGAACUCGUUGAGGGUGAGAUCGGAAUAGGAGGGGGAAGAGAACGAAGAAGAGGAGGAGAGGGGAGAAAGGAGGAGGGGGAUAAGAGAGAGGAGUUUGGGGAGGGACGUUUUGGAAAGGGCCAUGAUUGGUGGGGGGAAGGGGAGGGCGCUACGGAGAAGGAGAAGGCGGAAGAAAAAAAAAAGAGAGAGAAAGAAAAGGAAUAAGGGUAUUUUCGUCCGAUGAUAAAAAAUUCGGUCCGAAUAUGCAAAAUUGGAAAAGUGACCCAAUUUUGCAAAAGCUCAAAAUUUGUGGAUUUUUUAUGCAAAUUGGCCUUAAUUUUAUUUUGAAUAAUUAAUUUUGUUUAAAACCUCUAAAUUAUUUGGCUAAGUUUGGAUACAAAAUAAUAUUUUUGAACUAAUUUGGUAAAAAAAAGAUUUGCUAUUUGCAAAUAAUAAUUUGUGAAGAAAAAAAAAAAAAGGAGGUGCACAAAUGGUCCAAAAGUCUCCCUCGGGCUCCCUUGUAACUUUUUUUUUGCAAUUAGCCCCCUGUAAAAAAUUAAUUUAAAAUUAGCCCAGCAAAUCUAUAUUUACCAAAAUGGCCCUGGCCCUGUGACGCAAGCGCUACGUCAACCGCAUGCGGGUGGGGCUGGGGCCAGGUGGUUAUGUUGAACACGAUGAACGAUUCACUGUGUCUAAAUCUCUCGCUCGAUCUCUCUCUCUCUCUCUUUCGCUCUUUGAUGAUAGAGAAUUAAAAUAGUCGCAUGAUUGCUGAUCCUCUGACUAAGCCUAUUGUUAGGAUUUGAUUGUGUAGAUAUUUGAUUAUUUUAACCUCAUUUUGUAUUAUUUUUAGUUAUUUAAUUAUAAAUUAUUCUUUGGGCAAAGAUAUUUAUUAAGAGUAGCACAUGUGCAUAUAUAUCUUAUAUUAUUGUAGAACGAAUUGAUAGUAUGUCGUAUGCUGAUUGACCCUCUCACACGAGCAAUCAUUAUUUUCAAUGCUGUCGAGAGCGAGAGAAAAUUGAGGCAUUAAAAGAAGAAGCUGCCUCGAUUGGCACCAAGAUGAAGUCAUAAGUGUGACUCGAUACGAAUAGUCCCACGAUUUGUAUAGCCUAUAUAUUUGAGAGCCAAAUGUGAGCUUACCGUUUGAUGCUUGAGAUAGCGAGCAAAUGGAGGACUCAAACUAGACAUUCCAGGAGUGACUGAGCUAAAAUCUAUAUGACAUUAAGAAAGACAUACGCUCAUUGAGAUUCUCUAUCAUAGUAUGUAUUUUAUACUAUAUGUGCUAAGCGACCAAACGAAGAAGAUGAGUGAAUGGAUCCCUGCUUCCUCAUCGUGUGAGUUCUUAUGGACAUUAUUUUGUGGUGAUGUCCCACAUAUGUCAAAUGCCCUUAGUGACUUUUAAUUGUCAUUACGUGAAAGAAUUGAUAUUGCUAUUUUGACAUAUUUCCUACGGCUAUGAGUGAUACGGCUUUAUAGGGCAUUGUGGGAAAGCAAUCAGUUCUCAACUUACUGGCAUAAGGGCUAAAGGAAGACUAGUUGGAUUAUAUUGAGACACUUUGACUCAUUGUCGACAAAUUGUGUCACUUUAGUAUAGCGAGACAAUCAUAAGUAUAAUGUCAUAAUGUACACAAUAGAGGUUAACAUGGCUCUUUGAGGGAUUAGAGAUGCUAAACCUAAUGUUCUUCAAAGGUCUAGGGUAUCACGAGUCUAAUAUUCCUUUUUUUUGAGAAUUGAUGUCUCUAUGCUUGCCAUAUGCGGUUUUUAGUAUAGAGCUCCCAAAAUGCAGGUUGACUCGGUGGUCGCACUGUUCAUUUCCUUGUAUGAAUAAAAUCAAUAGUGAUGUAAUGUUGAGGAAGUGGUUACGAUGGCUCUUGAUUCCGUCAUAUGCGUGUGAGAGAUGUUGGUAUUCGGUUAAACCGAAUAGGGUGCGCGCCGAUAAUCUGGCUCGAUCCGACCGUUAUUAUGUUGUAUAAUUGGACUAGACUUAAUUUCGCUUUUAAAUUGGAAAUCUAAUUAGAGAUAUAUUCUAACCAUAUUAGGAUAACAAUCAUAAACUGAUUAGGCCUAAUUUUUUGCUUCCCUAUCAGGGUUCCAUAAUCCCUAAUAAAUAUAUGGGUUAUUCUCUCAUAGAAAGCACUAGAAAAAUAGAAAAAAAUACUUAUAAUUUCGUGAGUAAUUUGUGAGCCAUCUUGUUAGAGAGAGAAACCAUAUCUUCCAUUAACCUAUUAUUUUGAAGGGUUUUAAACAGUGGAUUAGAUAUUGUGCUCAUUUGUAGUUCAAUCUAUCGCGGGUUUAGAGUGUUAGAAGACCUUCAUGGAGGAUCCAUGGACGCAUAAAUCAACAUCUACGAUCCGGACUCAUCGUGUUCUAGUGCGAGUCGCUUUCACGAAAAGGUACGAACAAAUAUUUCUGCUGCAUUCUAGGAGAAUAAAAAUCAGAAUCGAUAUGGUUGAUUAUGCUUUCAAUAUUUUAAAAAUUUUAAUUAUAAAAAAUAAUUAAAAAUAAGAUUAAAAUUAAAAUUAAAAUACAAAAUAGAAAAAUAAUUUAAAAUUGAGUUUACACCUCAAAACAUAAAAUUAAAUCUAUAAUUUAAAUUCAAACUAAAACUUAAAUAUGAAAAAUUAACAUCAAAAUUGAAAUGAUAAACCUAAAUUUUAAAUAUAAUUUUUUAAAAUUUAAAAAAUUAAAAUUAAGUGGAAAAUUCAAAAUAUAAAACUAAUUUUUGACUCGAUUCAAAUUCAAAGUUACAAUUAAAUUUAAAUUUAAAUUUAUAGAUCAAAUUCAAAAUGCUUGAUUGAAUUUAUAUGUUAAUUAAAUUUCUAAAUCAAGAUCUUGAAUAAAAAAUUUAAUUUCUAAAUUUAAAUUAAGAAAUUAGUGCCUCCAAUAAUAAGCUUGCAUAGCUAAAGCUCUGGUUGUGGCAAGAAGCCGCAAUAUGUUUGUAGCUUCCAAAAACAGAAAGAAUUUGAAGCUUUUUCUUCUGCAUUAACAAGAAACUAGUCGUUAGUCUUAAUUGUUUAAAAUAACAAUUUAAAACUUUAAUUUGGCCCACUUUCCGGGCAGUCCAACUCUCUAUAGGUGUCACGCCCCGGGCUGCACAGUCCCCCGGGCACGCCGACAAAUCCGNGUACCGGUACAGCUCACUGAAAAUCUGCUAUUUCGCAGAUCUUCAAGAUACACGCUGCUCUCAAGUUCCCACAAGGCCCGUUUGGCGUCCACUUCGCGCCAACGCGACCCGGACUUGUCCCGACACUCUCCAGAGCUGUCGACAAGCCUCAGCUAAAAUUCCAGGUCUCUACAAUAGGUCUUACCUGGGAGCCCGUGCCUUGGUUUGCACAUAUGGAGUUUUGUCCCACAUUGGAAACCAAAGGCAUUCUACUACACUUUAUAUACUCUCUUACUUUCAACGUAAUUACUUGGAAGAAUAUGAGAGUGAAGCUCUCGACUAAACGCACGAGCAUGAGCACGAGCCGGGCCGGGCCGGCGACGCGUGUGAACCCGGUUCAUUUACACCUUUUUCUUUUUCUUUUUAUUAGAUUUUAAUAUUAUUUAAUCAACCUUGGGAAGGCCUUACCUUGGGAAGGACCCAAAUGAGACCUUGACCUUGAUAUUGUCCAGAUUUGGUCCAACCUUCGGAAGGAACCAUAUCUUGGUCCAACCGCGGAAAAGAGCUAGAUCUUGACCAAGAUCUUCCGGUUGGACUAUUCAUGAGCCUCUCCUAUACAUAGAGAGGUGAUGGUGCACUUGUGAACAUAUACAGUGGACUCAAACCCGAGAUUGCACCUCCUUAAAAAUCUUUUCCUUCCUCACUUUCUUUCACAUUGAUUUUUACAUCUAUUGUACACAUUGAACUUUACAUUGCCAUUUUUGCCAGAUCUUUGAAAGCUUAUUGGGUUCAUGUUGCGCCACUCUAAAGACGUGCAAACGAGAUGGAUAAUGGUCGUUGUAUCGCUAGGAGUGAUUGCCGAAGUCUCGCACGUGGAGGGGCAAUCUCGCUUUUAGGAUAGUGCUUUCGCAUGCCUCGACUCGCAUGCCUCAUCUGAUCUCUUAAUCUCUAUAGUAUUAACUAUUUCAUUUUUGCUUCUGGUUUUUAAAACUAAAGUUAAAUUGUUUUUCAUUCUAAAAUUGAUUAAAAUAAUAUUGUACUAAGGAUUAUUUAGAAAAGAUAAUUUAGAAAAGAUAACAAAUCCAACACUAGUAAGGGGUUCUAUCAAAGUUCAAACAAGUAAACUUUGAAACCAAACCAUUACAGAAUGCACUAAACAAGCCAAAGAGGUCCUUAAGCAGUGUUUAGUCGGAGAAUAAAGCAGGACUAGUGGCAGAUAUUUCCGUUAUCCCACAAAACACAAUAGAUAAUUGUACUAUCCCUAAUUGGAACAUUGUAAGGAUGAUAUCCCUUUGUAGCGAGGAUAGCUAUUCCAUGGGGUAUCGUGGAAUAUCUUACUUGCAUUGUCAGUUCAACCUUGAAACUUGAAAAUUUGUAAAGAAGUUCUGGAUCCUAUGUUCGAGACGCUCAAGUCAUUUUACUGAUCAGUGAGAUAUGACAUGGUUAAACCCAACGAACGCCAGCGAUAUUACCGGUUCUUGUUGUGAUAAAACAAGUUGGCAUGUUUGCGUAACAAAAUUUCUCCCAAGAUUAAAAAAAAGAAAAGUCAAAUUCCCUGUUCGAGACGAAGAUGGCACAAAGUUGACGACAACCAUGCUGAGAUAUGUAAUUGUUGGCAUUCGGUUAAAUCGAAUCGGGUGCGCCCAUAAUCGGGCUCGAUCCGACGGUUAUUAUAUUGUUUAAUUAGAUUAGGAUUAAUCUCACUUUAAAUUGGAAAGCUAAUUAGAGAUAAAUUCUAAUCAUAUUAGGAUAACAAUUAAUAACCGAUUUGGCCUUAUCUCUUACGCACCUAUUAGGAUUUUAGAAUCCCUUAUAAAUAUGCGGGCGAUCUCACAUAAAUUAACGAAUAAGAAAGAAAAAAGAGAAUAAGAAAACUAAGAGAAAAUCGUAGAAAUCACAUCCUCCAUUAACCUAUUAUUCUAGAGGGUCUUGAACUGUGGAUUUGCGAUCGUACUCGUUUGUAGUUCGAUCCAUCGUGAGUUUGGAGCGUUAGAAGACCUUCAAGGACGAUUUGAGGACACGUGAAUCAACCUCUACGAUCUGGGCUCGUCGUGUUUUAGCGCGAAACGCUUCCGCAAAAAGGUACGAACGAAUACUUCCGCUCCGUUCUACAUUGGUAUUAGAGCCUUAUUAGGUUGAUUUCGUGCCCUAUAUCAACUCUUUAACGAGAUCGCAUGCUUAGAUUCAAAUCUAUCAUUGUUUAAAUUUUUUCUUGUAUGUAUGUGAGCGUUAAUGGCGGAUUUUUCAAAAGUGGAUAUCUUUGCUUGAUUUUCUCACAACUUAAAGCACCUAUAUUGUAGAUUAAAUCUACAAAAUUUGAUUUAAUAUGGUUUUGUAUUUUGAGAGAAAAACAAAACCCUAAAUCAAAACUUUGGGGGUGGUUUGUUUGAUGUGUGAUAUAUAUUCCAUUGUGAAACUUGCAUGAUUUGGAAAAGCACCUCACAAGUUUUCUAUUGAUAUAUUUCUUACAAGAUUCGGAGUUCUAAAUCAUAAGUUAUGAUUUUUUGAAGUUUAUUGUCACGCCCCGGGACCCAGCGGAAGCCCGCCCGGCGCGUGUCCAGACCCGCCAUACGUCUAAAACGUAUAAGGCGUCUAAAAACAACAAUAAUAAAAGCAAUAAUACAAGACAUCAAGGAGUAUUAGAGCAUAAUAAGUGUCUAAAUGCUACAACAAAGGAUAAGGGUAAAACUGUAAAUCCACUAAAUAAAACAUGAAGUGAUACAAGAAAAUCCCAAAUACAAGUGCUAUAGGUAGAUACAUAGGUGGUCUCUAUACAUGGAUACAAAACCUCUCACUCUCUCAACUAUAAAAGAAAGAGUAACCACCUAGGCAAAGUACCGCCCCUCGCUAGCUAGCUAAGCGAUCCCCUUGCCGUGAUCCCGUGCCUCCUUUGGUGCCGAAGGCUCUGAAAAGGAAACCAUAAAACAGGGGCGUGAGAACUAUUAAAAAUAGUUCCCAGUGGGCAAUUACUGACUUCAGUGAAUGCACCACAAGNGGUCCCCGAGAGUAAAAACUCUCAGGAUUCUGCCAAAACUCUCGAGAUCGAACUUUUAGGCCAGUAUACCAUCGACGGCCCUCCACCAAGUGUGGAAAAGUUCGAAAUACAAAUCGAACACUCGAACCUCGCAAUUUGCAAAGGUCCAGUGUGCUACAUUUAUUUAUCUAUUUAAAAAAAAAAUACUAUUCGAUGUAUACCACGCGGCUUGCAGCCGCGUGGGUGCGCACGCGAAUAGCGCGCGGGCCGCGCGGGCCACACCCACGUGGUAGCCCCCGCAGGCCAGGCGGGCAUCUCACAGGUUGCACGCCGGGUGCAGGCCGCGGGCCACGCGUGGUGUAAGGAAGUGAAUUCUCGAAAAUCCGAGAGUUGUACUUCGUCCAGAAUCAACUAUUUGUCGAGAGAAUACCCUUUGGGAAAGUUAAAAAUGUCCAAAAUACAAAAAGUGUAUUGGAGUUGAGUCCGCGAGAGCAUAUAGUGCAAAACCUGCACUGGGCUGAAGUUGCUUUCGGGGACCGGUCCCUAGCAGGGAGAGACCGGUCCUCGAGGCUAGUGGUCGCUGGAGAUCCUUGAUGCAACCGGUCUCUGGCUGAGGGAACCGGUCCCCCGCUGCGACCUGAGCGAGAAAAACCGAAAAUCGGCUAAGUCCUGAAAAUUGGGGUUUUAGGAACCAGUCUUUCCGAGAGGAACCGGUCUCUCGAGGAUCGGUCUCUGUAGCAUACCGAAUUUUAAAAUAAGGAUAAAAAUAAAUAAAAAUAGUGUGAGAUACUAUUUUUAUUGAACUUAUAGAAGUAAAAUAUAAGUCCGGAACGACUCGUGUGGAAAUCGAAGCGAGAACAGAAGAUUUUGAAUUUUCUGUGUGAAUCGUGGCUGUUAUUUUAGCAGAAAAUGCACAGUGUCAGAAAAUUUCGAAAAUCUGGGAAUAUGUCAGAAUUAUUUUUAUGAGGCUAGAUUUAAGGUUUCAUGUCAUUCUGACACCCGGAAGGUGAAAAAUAAAAUCCGACAGUUAUCUGAUAAAGAUUACAGUCCGGUACAGCUUUCGGUGACCAAACGGGGUCGAAACUGAAAGAUUAAAAUUUCUUCCGUUAAGUAAGGUUAGACCAAGCAUGACUACCAAAUUUGAGCUCAAUCGGACGUUCAGAAGGGCAGACGAAAAAUAUCUAUACCUGAGCUACAAUCUGAUGUGAAUAGUAUUUUGGGAGUAUAUAUAGGUAAACUUGCACUCUUUUUUCUCAUUUGUNAAACGGCAUCAUAGUCGUCAAAUAUUAAUAGAUAUAGUCGGAAUCUUGCAAAUUCAGUUUCCUCACAGCAAUUUCAGCUUACCCAUAGUUGGAACACCUUUUAACUAGUCCCCAAGGUCACCAAUUAAGCUUAAAUUAAUCCGCAAACCUGCUGCGAAGAGAACAAUCCAAACUGCAUCAAUUCGCACUAAUAAACUUCAUAUAGUUUCGAAAGUACAUCAUAACUAACAAAUUAACUUUGUCCAACUUUGGAGCAGCUUAUCCCUGGUCUAGGAUGGUUCAAUCACAGCUAAAUAACCUCUCUUUAGCUGCUGAAAUUGCCCGCGAACUCAGCUGGGAGCAACAAAACCAAAACUACUUGAAAUCCAAUACUAAACUUCCAAUUAAGCUACAUACCUUUCAAAAGCUGCAACUCAGCUCUUUCUGGUAUUAAAAUCCCAGAAAAGUCAGUAAAUAUCCUCCUCCCCACAUUCCGAAAGCUUUCCUUGAGUUUCCAAACCAGCGAGUAACGCGCGCGGCGCGAAAUAAGCUCGAAUAGGCGAUUUUUACUCGAGGAGAGAGAAACCCUAGAGAGAGAAAAUGAGGGAGGUGCAAAGCUCUUCCUCUGAGCUCUAGCAUGCUCCACCAGGUUCCAGGAGUCGUGCUGGGGGAGAUAAGGAUGGUAUAAGAAGUGAAAUUACCAAAGUAACCUUGCUGCCACGUAUCUGCCAAUGUGUACCGGUACAAGGUGAUGGCUGUACCGGUACAGCAAGCAGAAAAUGCUGAUUUUCGUCAGAACAAAGCACUUUCAUGCUUUUAACUUCCCAAUCACCCUCUAACUUGUCCAAAAACUUGUCUAAGCCCUUUAGAAUAUGUAGGGUAGUUCCACAUACCUUUUCCCAUAUUCGAACUUCAUAAGUGACCAAAUUCAAAGCAUUGCAAUAGAAUAAUGCACUUGCAAUGCAUUUUUCCAUUUCCAGUUAUCUUCUUGCUCCAGUAAUUUAUUGAAGCCUCUCAACAAUCCUACAAAAAGUGUAGAAGAGUUCGAAUCACUAUUCCAACCCUCAGAUUCACAGUUUGCCAAAAUUCAGUGUAUUACAGAACCGCCGCCCGAUCGCUUCUUCCCCUUGUCUUGGGAUCCGGCCAACAACUCACGUUCCUCCCGCACGUGGGCGUCCCCAUGCUCCGCCCACAGCGCCUUGUUGAAAACCUCGGCGAAAGUCGUUAGCUGGAACAGUUGCACCGCCCUAUAAAUCCACGGCCGAAGUCCUCGCAAGAACCACUCGGCUCGAUCCGCGUCGUCCUUGACCACGUCCGGGACACAGUCUAGGAUGUGGGAGAACUCCUGCUCGUAGUCCGCCACCGAAUGAUCUCCCUGUCUCAAUUUGCGAAACCUCUCCUUCAACUUCCGCUUCUCGAUGUCCGGGAAGUAAUUUCCGAAUAUCUCCUUCUUAAACCCCUCCCAGAGCAUUGGUGGAAGGUCAGAGGGUCGAUCCCGCUUCAACCGCUUCCACCACACCUUCGCCGCCUUGUCGAGGCAAUGGGUGGCGAAAGGCACCUUAUCUCUCUCCGGGGUGUAUAGGUCCUCGAAGAGGGUCUCCAUAGAGUCAAUCCAAGACUCCACCACCGACGGCUCCACUUUCCCCCCUUCAAAAUUUGGUGGCUUAAACUUCAUAAAUUUCAUUAAAGCCGUUAGCGCACGCUCCCGCUCCACUUUAUCGGCCGGCGUAUCAAGCGUCGCCGAACCCGAAGCUGUCGGAGGCGCACUUGUCGGCGGGGGAACCGCCGCCAUCGGAACCGCCGCUAUGCCCUCACCCUCGGCCACUACCGGCGUGCGUGCCGAAGGUGCGGGCGGAUCACGAUCUCCUGCCGCCGUCGCGGCCGCCGCCGCUGCCGCUUGCCGCUCCACAACUUCCUGGCGCUGCUCGAACCGAGCCUCCUGGCGCUGCAUCGCGCCCAUCAUUGCAGCGACCUGCUCUCGCAGCUCCUGCACUUCCUCCGAUCUUGGCUGCUCGGGCUCCGCAGAAGGCGGUACCGGAGCAGACCUACGCACGUAACGCCUUGGGGACAUUUGCUCCUGAAAAGCAACNCCAUUCACAUUAGUGGAUGUUGCUACACGUCAAUACUUAUGUUCAGACAAAUUCCAUUAAUGUUGUCUCUACAGCUUUACUGCUUUCCUUUACACCAAUCGUAAAGUAACUCAUGACCAUUUAGAUAAACUUCUUUGAUACUGUUCUGAGAGUGUGGGGCUCAAAGUAUUCAUUGUCCCAAAUCCAAUUUAGGCAAUAGAGGGGAAUCAAUUUAUACUUCACCCAUAAGUUCUCUAUUGCUGUUACUCUACAUAUUUUUCCAUAAAUAGGGAAGAAAUCUGAACAAAACCUUUCGUUAAUUCACAAUUAGAGCAUCAUCAAUUGCUUUCGAACUGUAAGAGAUUUAUCCUGAUAUCACUAUCAGUCAAGAUAUUAAUUCCCAAAGACUAACCUCAUGCAGUUUGUUCCCUGAAGCUUAGUUCCAAUUAUACAUAAUUAGAAUCAGAAGAGAAAGAAACAAGUAGCUGGGUAAUCUCUUUUUCAAUAUUCCAAGAUGCUUAGUUCCAUUAGGAGAGUCUCAUCUCAAUCCUUUUAAUUCAUCCUCCUGUUCAGUCAAUAUCUGCCUUGCAGGAUUCACCGAACAAACAACUGGAUAAAUCCUUCAUAACCUUUUUCUAUCAUAGAAGAAUGCAGCUUCCUCAGACUGCUACUCAAUCUAUAGCACGCAUCCAAUACUAAAGGCUGAUCAAAAGAUCAUCCGCUCUUGACUUAAUCAACCACUAAAUUGUGUUUCACUUAAAAUCACGAUAUUCGACACAUAGUCGAAUAGCUCAUUUAAUCUCACCACAAGUGAAAUUAUUUCACCAAAAUGAAGCCCUAGGCAUAAAACAUUCUCUAAUUAUCAAGUUCACAAUUUGUGACUUGUUUAGGAAUAGCACAACCACUACUCAAGAACUACCCUUCACUUUGAGGGUUCUUACAAUUUAACAGUAUCAGCCAAUUAGGCUCCAACCUUUCUAUAAUUACCUAAUUUAGGUAAAAUGACCAUUCUCGCAAUCAGCGAGGCUAAACCCUUCAAGAUGUAUUGCAUAAUGUUCAAAGUUCCAAGGCGAAUCAAUUUAGUUCGCACAAACCAUGGUAUAAAGUAUCUCCCAACUAAGUUUCAAUCCAAACCAUUCUGUUCAAUCAAUCCUACAUGCAUUAAGGAGGAAAUUGAUGCUAAUCGACUCGGCCAACAGCCGAUAAUAGAUGCAACUAAAGCAAUCAUUAUGAUCAUAUCGCAUCAUAGGAACAUUGCAUAAAGUACUACCUGCAGUAGUUAUCCCUGCCGUCGUAUCUGACUCUAUGAUUCCGUCGGCGUACCUCCAUUGGGUACUUUUUGCAACAAAGUCGGUGCAGAGACCUUAGUCAACAUGUUAUUUCUUGGGCACUCAGAGCGAAAAUGGCCAUCCUGACCACAUACAAAACACUUUUCUUUCCGCUGAGGACACUUUGGGGGAACAUGCGGACCUCCACAAAUCACACAUGGCCGAGGUAAUCGUCUCCUCAAUCUUCUUUGCUUAGAAACAGAACCACGUUUCCAAGGUUGAUUCUUCUUUAAUUUUCUUGAUGAUUCUCCGACAUGUAAUUGAUCGCCCUUGGUAGCCUCUUUGGCUCCUUCAGUGCAUUCCACACCUUUUCUUACGGUCAAAGUACGAUCCGAAACCUCGUAGAAUUUCUUGAGAUCAGCCGUCUGUUGAAUCAACAGGUUCUCCAACCGUCUGAUUCCUUCAUCCUGUCGGCGCAAAGCCUCGGCUUGAAGUAGCGUCACAGUCGCUUGUCGCUCCACCACUCCAACUAGAGUAGCCAGCUGCUCUUUUAAUUCCCGAAUCUCACUAAUCAGAGGUGGCACCGUCCUUUCUGGGCUCGAUGUCUCAUCAGCCGUAGGGUGCAUCUUUGACAUGCAAGCUGAACAAACAAAAUAGCACAGGUUAAAACCAACGCCAUGGCUAUCAGGUAGCCGCACUCAAAAUUGUAAAAUCCAAUCAUGCGAUAGUAAUUGAAAUGACCGCCCACUUAUCCCAAUAUCACGUUGUCGCCGCCAGUGAUUUUGAAGGACAUAGAACGUUUAUUCAUAUUCAAUCGAACCACCAAUCAAUUGUUGGAGUUAUCAAAGUAUAGACCUCACCAAUCAUAAUACUUUCGCCUCAUAUAUGUCGUCAAAGAGCCGCGUAAACACCUCCACGCUCGCUAAUCCUGAUCAUAUCCACUGCACUAAGGUUUACAAUAGGUCCACUAAGACUCAACCCUAGGCUCUGACUCCACUAUAAUCUGUCAUCGCCCGGUACCCAGCAGAAGCAUAUCGCGGCUCGCGUCACAGACCGCCGUGUAGCACCACCAGCUCAAGUACUACACAAAGGCGUCUACAAACUAUAUAGUAAAAGCAUACACUUCUAACAGGUAAUUAAGCACGUACUUUAAGUUUAAACUUAUACAAUCCAAACCGUUAAUACAAAUGAGUUAACAAAAGCUUAAUAUACAACACUGUAGUUAAACUAUAAUAACUGCUGGGCGGUGAUCUAGUAUAUCGUCCAAAAAAGCUCUAGCUAGCUGUCGCUGACCCCCUCGCCAGGAACCCUAAGCCUUUCCCAGCUGUGGAAGGCAUCUGUUAAAACAACAACAAAGAGGCGUUGAGAACUACUUUAAACAAUAGUUCCAGCGGGUAAGAAGCCGCGAGAGUGGCGAAGUACACCCAUAGGUCACUGUGGCAUGAGUAGAUAACAUAAAUAAGCGAGUAAGAAUCAGAUAAUCCAUAAGCAUUAUAUGCAAUCAUGAUAUGGAAGUAAACUAUACUCAUGCCCUAUUUUGCUCACCAUAAAUGAAACAUCAAUAGAUUGGGCAGGUAUCAGUUAUCAUGAUAGAUUUCUCACUCAUCAUUAUUACUUGACAAUUUAAUCAACAUAUAUAGAAUGUAUGCAAGAUAAUUCACUUUAUCUGCCAAAUUACAGAUGAUAUCAUGUAAUUACCUUGUUUCCAUAGCAAGAAAGAAACAUAACUGUCAUUCAUUAAUGUUUGCUAAACCAAAUCAUGAUGUCAACUUUCUAGGUUGUUCAUCAGCUAAGCUGCACUUUAGAUGUCAAACUUCUAGUAUUUUCAUCAAUAAAGUUCACUUAACCCCAAGACAUAUAGUAACUUUACUACUCUGUCCAUCAGGCUAUAGGUCAAAGUACUUGACAUAACCAAUUUCCAACGGUACUUACACAAGGUAAGUUCAAGUCGCGCCGUGCCUGAAAAAUAAUGGUCCCGUGUAGUAAAACAUCCCGCUGACAUAAACCCAUUGUCCAACGGACUUACACAAGGUAAGUUCAAGCCAGCGCCGUGCUAAUCCCCGUGUAAGUCAACAUCCCACUCUAAGGAAUAGUCCCCAGGCCUCCCCCCGGCAUUUCAUUUCGGCGCGUCACGUCGUACAUUUUGCGAGCAUACUGCUCGCUAACUGUUCGGAGUGCUGCUUGGGGGGAGCGACCCACAAGCUCGUGUGCAAACGCGCACAAUGGCAUGCAAGCCGUAGUCCACAGUAGCCAGUCUCACAAACCAACAUCAUGCCCCUGACAUGGAAUCUUUAACUCAAGGCCACUCCGAACGCGGGGCUUGGGGGGCGCGACCCCCACAAGCAUGUACGAAAGAGCAUAAUGGCCCUAGCCACGCUAUAGUCCCCAGGAUAAAAUAUCCAACAAACAUGCCUUUCUCUGACAUGGAAUCUCAACUCGACCUCAAGGUCGGCACUGUAUACCCAAUCUGAAGUCACUAUCACAACUGUUGACAAUGAUUCUAACAAGUCCGUUAAUAUAACUUGACAAGUGUUAAGAGCUUUACAUCAACACUAGUGAUUCUAUCAGGCUAAUACUCGGUCAGUCACUCCCAAUCAUCUCACUACUCCUUACACAUAAGGAAAGUGUUUCUAAGUUCUAUUCAUAGACUCAUGGCACAUACCUGUAGUCGCAAUAUCAAAUCUCUAAUCUGAUCUAUACAAUACGUUAUCAUAUCCAAAUCUAGUUAUUUACUAGAUUAUAUUUGCAGGUCCGAAAUAAUCAUUCAAGUUAUGCCAUCAUAUAAAAGUCUAGUUACUUACUAGAACAUAUACCCAUAAUACAAUCUAUGCAUGUAAAGUAAACUAACAAGGUAAUUGCAAGCAUAAAACAAGCGAUAACACACUCUUCUCUUCAGAUGAUCUCUAUCAUUCAUUCUAACAAAUGGAAAUGCAUAUGCCAAACAAAGGCCUUUAGCUAGAUCCUUUCAGAGUAUAAGCCAUAUACUUGCUAUAUAAAUUGCAUAGGCUCAAUCCUAAAAUACAUCAAUCUCUAUUGUUGUUCAACAGAAUUAAUUAUCCCUUCACGAACCUUAUCAUUAUAUCCUCUUGGAUAAGCAAUCAAGCUAAAAUUGCAUCGCAGCUACUAGUAUCAUGAGCACGUAGUACUUUAACAGGUAAACCAUAGUAAAGUGAAACAAGUCAUAAAUCUUUCAUUACUGUUUAUAAGAUGCUACAUAUCCAAUAUGAUCUACUCAUCAUCAUGUCGCAAUGCCUUUGCACUAGUACAUAUAUUUCACAUGAUAUCGGAAUAACUUGCAACUCAGAUCGUCAAAGGAGACAUAUGAGGAAAAUUCACGCACCAUUUCGGAAGGGUCGAACCCACCUAUCAACAAGCGCAAUCCAGCAAGAAAGCUUGAAACUCAGCUCAGCGGACCCCAACUCUGUGAAAACGAAAACACGGAAGGCGGCAUCAAACUACGACCGAAAUGUCCAAAUUUCGGCACACAUUGUUCUUAGUACAAGUAAUCAGCUUGACUCGGCCUGUUUGGUUCAGGUUAAUACUCAAGUAUAGCUCCUAAAAGCCUUCACGCAUCAACCGGAGAUAAAAUCCGAAAGUCGGCGUCGCAAGCCGCGCUGGCGAACAAUUUCCAAAACAGGCAAUCAUAUCGUCAGAUUAUUAAUAGAUAAUAGUCGGAAUCUGCAAAUUUAGUUUCCUCAACAGCACUUUCAAGCUUACCAUAGUGGAACACCUUUGUUAUACAGUCCAGGUCACCAAUUAAGCUUAAAUUAAUCCGCAAACCUGCUGCUGAAGAGAACAUCCAAACUGGCAUAUCAAUUUCGCACUAAUAAACUUCAAAUAUAGUUUUCGAAAGUAACAUCCAAACUAACAAAAUUACCUUUUCCAACUUUGGAGGCGGCCAGUUAUUGGGUCUGGAUCGGUUUCAACUCCCACUAAAUAACUCUUUAGCUGGGCUGAAAAUUGCCCCGCGAACCUCAGCUGGGAGCAAACAAAAACCAAACUACUUCAUGAAAUCCAAAACUAGCCUCUUUUCCCCAAUUAAGCUACACUACUUCACAAGCUGGGCAACUCAGGCUCUUUCCUGGUAUUACAAUCCCGAAGAAAGUCAGUAAAUAUCCUCCCUCCCCACCGUUCCGAAAGCUUUCCUUAGUUUCCAAACCAGCGAGUAACGCGCGCUGGCGCGAAUAAGCUCCUGAAUAUGCCAGAUUUCUUAUAGCUCGAGAAAGAAAACCCUAGAGAGAGAAAUGAGGAGUGCCAAAGCUUCCUCUUGAGCUCUAGCAUGCUCCACAAGGCUCCAGGAGUUCGUGCUGGGGGAGAUAAGGAUGGUAUAAGAAUGAAUUACGCAAAGUAACCUUGCUGCCACGUAUUGCCAAUGUGUACGUACACAGGUGAUGCAUGUACCGGUACAUCAAGCAGAAAAUGCUGAUUUUUCGUAGCCAGAACAAAGCACUUUCAUGCUUUAACUUCACCAAUGGCACCCCUAACUUGUCCAUAAACUUGUCUAAUCCCUUUAGAAUAUUAGGGUAGUCUCACAUACCUUUCCCAUAUUCGAACUUACAUAAGUACCAAUUCAAGCAUUGCCAAUAGAAAUAAAUGCACUUGCAAUGCAUUUUCCAUUUUCAGUAUCCUUCUUGCUCAGUAAUUUAUUGAUAGCCUCUCAAACAAUCUACUAAGAAGUUGUAGCAAGUUCGAAUCAUCAUAUUCCACCCCUCAGAUUCACAGUUUUGCCAAAAUUCAGUGUUUAACACUAUUUCACAUUUUUGCUUCUGUUUUGUCAACUAAAGUUAAAAUUGUUUUCAUUGUCUAAAAUGAUUAAAAUAAUAUGUACUAAAGAGGAUUAUUUAGAAAAGCAUAAUUUAGAAAAGAUAACAGAUCCAACACUAUAAGAUGGGUUCUAUCAAACUUCAAACAAGUAAAACUUCUGAAACCAAACCAUUUACAGGAAUGCACUAAAGCAAGCCAAAGAGGCCUUAAGCAGUGUUUAGUCGGAUAAUAAAGCAGGACUAAUGGCAAUAUUCCAUUAUCCCACCAACACAAUAAAGAUAAUUCCGUACUAUCCCUAAUUGGAGAGGCAUUGUAAGGAUGAAUCCCCAGUUUACUAGCGAGGAGUAGCUAUGUGCCAGGUAUCGUGGAUAUUCUUUACUUGCAUUGUCAGUUCAACUUGAAACUUUGAAAUUUGAUAAAGAAGUUUUGGAUGCUAUGUUCAAGACGCUCAAGUCAUUUUACUGAUACAGUGAGAUUUUGACAUGGUUAAACCCAAUACGAACGCUCAGCGAUAUUACCGUUCUUGUUGUGAUAAAACAGUUGCAUGUUUGCGUAACAAAAUUCUGCCCAAGAUUAAAAAAAAGAAAAUCAAAUUCCCUGUUCCGAGACGAAGAUGGCACAAAGUUUGACGACAACUAUGCUGAGAUAUUGUAAUUGUUGGCAUUCGGUUAAAUCGAAUCGGUGGCGCCGCAUAAAUCGGCUCGAUCCGACGGUUAUUAUAUUUUUAAUUAGAUAGGAUUAAUCUCACUUUAAAUUGGAAAGUAAUUAGAGAUAAAUUCGAAUCAAUAUUAGGUAAAAUUAUAAGCAUUUGGCCUUAUCUCUUACGCACCUAUUAGAUUCUUAGAAUCCCUUCAAUAAAUAUGCGGGCGAUCUUCCCCAUAAUUAACGAAUAGAAAGAACAAAAGAGAAUAAGAAAACUAAGAGAAAAUCGUAGAAAUCAGCAUACCUGCCAAUUAACCUAUAUUCACGAGGUCUUUGAACUAUGGAUUUGCGCGAUCGUACUGCGUUUGUAGUUCGAUCCAAUCGUGAAUUUGGAGCGUUAGAAGACCGCUUCAAGACGAUUUGAGGACAUUGAAUCUAACCUCUCCGAUUCUGGGCUCGUCGUGUUUAGCGCAAAACCUUCCGCAAAAAGGUACGAAACCGAAUACUUCCGCUCCGUUCUCAGGAUAUCAUUGGUAAUUGAAGCCUUAUUAGGUUUGAUUUCGUGCCCUAUAUCAAACUCUUUAAACGGCAGAUCGCAUGCUCUUAGUUUCACAUCUUACCAUUGUUUAAAUUUUUUCUUGGCUGUAUGUAGCGUCAUGGCGGCUUUUCAAAAAUGGUAUCUUUGCUUGGAUUUGCUCACCAACUUAAAGUGCACCUAUAUGGUAGAUUAAAUCUACAAAAUUUGAUUUAAUAUGGUUUUUGUAUUUGAGAGAAAAACAAAACCCUAAAUCAAAACUUUGGGGGGUGUUUGUUGGAUUGUGACAUAUAUUCCAUGUGAACAACUUGCAUGAUUCUGGAAAAGCUCCUCAACAAGCUUUUCUAUUGAUAUAGUUUCUUACAUAGAUUCGGAGUUUCAAAUCAUAAGUUAAUGAUUUUUUUGAAGUUAUUUAUCUAUUUUAAAAAAUAAAUAUUGUUCGAUGUAUACCAUCCGGCUUGCAGACGCGUGGUUGCGCACCGAAUAGCGCGCGGCUCGCGCGGCCACACCCACUGGUAAAGCCCCCGCAGGCCUAGGCGGCAUCUCACAGGUUUUGCGCAGCCGGGCGCAGGCCAACAGGCCAGCGCGUGGUGUAAGGAAUGAAUUCUCGAAAAUUCGAGAAAGUUGUAACUAUCCGUCCAGAUCAACUAUUGGUCGAGAGAAUACCGCUUUGGGGAAGUUAAAGAUGUCCAAGAACACCAAAAAGUGUAUUGGCAGUUUAGUCGCGCAGAAGCAAUGUAGUGCAAAACCUGCAGCUGGGCUGAAGUUGCUCUCGGGACCUGGUCCCCUAAGCAGGGAACGACCGUCCCCGGAGGCUAUGUCGCUGGGAUCCUUGAUGCACACCGGUCUCUGGGCUGGGGAACCGGUCCCCGUGCGACGCCUCACGAGAAAAAAAACGAAAACGCUAAGUCCUGAAAAUUGGGGCUUUUGGGAACAGUCUUUCCGAGAGGAUCCGGUCUCUCUGGGAGAGACCGGUUCCCGAACGUGUGCCCCGAGGGAGGUCUCUCGAGGACCGUCCGCAAUCGGGCAGACCGGUCCCCUCCGAGCUGAUAUUCUGCCCAGUUGAGGCAAGUGCAAUGGGGGGGAGGGGAAUUUAGGGGAUUGAAAGGUGAGGUUUAAGUGCAACAUUGCCCACUCAUAUGAGGUGUAUAUGGCAAAUUACCCCUCUCCCUGUCGUUCUCAUCCCCUUUCUCGCCUCUCAGUCACUCUCCCCUCUUUCUCUCUGAAAGAAGAAGAAGAACAAGAGGAGCGGGAAAGGAAAAAGGAUAAGAAGAAAAGAAGAAGAAGAAAAGAGAUCAAGAGAAGGCCCUUGACACCUUCAUCUCCCUCUCUCUUCUCUUUGGAGUAGCUCAAGAGAUAAGCCUAGCUAAACCCUAGCUUCUAACUUAGGUUUUGGUUUUUGAGCCUUUGAAUGGGGUCAAAUGGACCCUAGCACCACUUGUUGGUGAUCACAGCUAGAGUUAGGGUUUCAAAAUUGUAAAAUGGGCAAAUAGGAACCCCUAGGCACGCCAAAAUGGGGUUUUUCGUAAAGUAUGAGAUUGAUCAUUUUGAGGCCUCGGUAAACCUAAUUGGUUAGGUAAAACGCGGGGUGGCCCGCCGGCGGAAGUUCGAUUUCGCGAUUCGUCGAGUGGGAUUGGAGGCUAUCGACGAAAUAUGGCCGAUUAGCGCAUUGUCUUGGCCAAGACGGCCGAGACCUCGUCGUAAAGUUCGCGCGAGCAACAUUUUCUAAAGCCUUCUACGUCGAUAAAAGGUGGGGGUGCCUAUCUCCCGAAAGCUUCUCGAACCAUCCUUUCUAUGUCUUAGAAUUGGCAUUAAUUUAGAUCUUUUAACAUGUGUAAUUGUAAAGAUUGCAUAGUAGAACCUUUGCUUUAUGCUUUAAUUGAAUAACCUAGUGUGCUUGUAAUACGCUUGUAACCUUAGAUAGGUGAGGACUUGGUUGGCAACCGUGGAUCCUAUGAUGCGAAGGAAGAGAUGAACCCGGUGGGGUUGGUGACAUAGAAAGUAGUGUUUAAUGUUAAAGAACAAAUGUGAGUGGGCAUCCAAAUGUUAAAUGAUAACGAGUGCAUUAAUGUAGUGGUAAAAUGACACUAGCCGGUUUUGAGAGCCUAGGGAUAAGUGGAUCUUAGAAAAUGCCUUAUGGAUAAAGAACUUAGUAAACCUAAGUACCCUCACAUGGGAGGUUCGCAUGAUUAUGAUUGAGAUAUUGACCCUACAGUUUAGGCGCAUCCUUCACUUGGAGAAGGAUUUGAUUGGGUUGUUGACGCCUAGUGUAGGGCAUCUCAACUUGGAGAGGAUUUGAUUGGUGUUGACCCUAGUUGUAGCAAUCCCACUUGAGAUGAUUGGAUUGGGUUGUUGACCCUAAUGUGUUAGGGCAUCCUCACUUCGAAGAGGAUUCUGAUUGGGUGUUGACUCUAGUGGUAGGGUAUCCUGCACUUGAGAGGAUAAGAUCUAGCUCACAGUCUGCUUUGGGUGUGGUAUAAGCCAUCCACAUCCCCACAUGGCGAGGGAGAUUGUCUGUCGAGUAACUUACGAAUGUCGUGCAGAGUAGAACCACUUGGAGUCCGGACCCAGGAACAUUAGGUCCGCAGACGUCCCCCCCCGGCUUGGGUGCACUUGGAGCUCCCCUCCCCACUUUGGGAUUGAAGGUGAGUAUUGGGCGAACCCUAGGGCUUCGCUACAGAUUGGGUAAAGAGAAACAGUGAACAAUAAUCAUUGAAACAUUAUUAUUCGAUACAUGGAUCGAAUUUGUUAGCUUAAUAGUUAAUUCCUUACUAAGUGAUGGCAUGCAUUCAUUACACCAUGAUUAUGGGUAUAGUAGCCAUAGUUUCCUACUAUCGUAUUUUCAAAGCUUUCAUAGAUAUCUAUCUAUCUAUCUAUGCUGUUGUGCUUGUGCCACUGAACCUAGUCGGAAUCGGCGGAGUCGGCGGCCGAAGCCUCCUGGAGACUAUGAAGAUAGUUCUCACCCCACUCUAUUUCCUGUAGUACGGUACAGGUGGCCGAGAGAGGACCAACGCAAGGGCAAUCGCGCCCAUGACUCAGUGAGACCGGGGUAGUAUAGUAGCUUUCCUUUUUGCAUUAGCACACCUAUCGUAUUGAGAGAGAGAUUCAUUGUAGGUGAGGAAUUUGGAAGCUAUGUAUGUUGGAUGAAAAGAUGUAUCCAUUUAAAGAAAGAUGUAAAUGAAAAGGAUGAACUAUUGUAAUAGUUAGCAAAGUACUCUCUGUUAUUUCAACAUGUUAUUCCUGUGGGGAAUUUUUUUUUUUUUUUUAAAUUUGCUUCUUUUGUAGUUGCUGUCAGUAUUUGUGCCCGCGUGGAAUGUGUUAUGUUUAGAAAUUUAAAUUCCUGAAAAAUUCUUGUACACAUUUUGUUUGUGAGCCUUGGGCGGAAACAGGAGAGUGCUGUCGUUCGCGGUCCCUCCGCCGCGCCUGAAUCGGGCCAAAUUGGGUAGUGGUUUCGGGGCGGGGCGUGACAGUCGGUGUUAUCAACCAUAAAGAGAAAGUAAAAGAGAAAGUCGCUAGGAUAACCUAGGAGACGGCCUAGGUUGGUAAGCCCUAAUAGUUAUAGUGCGUGAGCGAACGUUAACACUAUAACGAUGGCGACGCUGAUGUCGUAUUGGGUCGAAGUUGGUAAUAUGUCUCUAGUUUGACUAUAGAUGGAUUUCAAGUGUAUUAGUUCUUGAUAUUGAGGUGGUUGUGGUCGCGGCCGAGCGACAGAUGCCAAAGUCUAGAAUGAGUGACACUUGUGUGGCUUUCCGCCCGAUUUUGUUAUUGAGUUGUUCAUGUGUGUAAUUUCGACAGAGGUAAUUGGUUAAGAUACUGACGCAAAGUAUUUCGUUUCAGGGACUAAUGUCUCCAAGACGCUACAUCACGUAGAUCUACUACCCGACCAACUCCUGAAGGUCCCGGAGUAGGAUGAACCGAGUGGUGAUGGCAUCGGUUGCAGGCGCACAAUGGCCGCAUUGACCAUGCUGGUGCAGCAGGCACCAAGAGACCNNNNNNNNNNNNNNNNNNNNNNNNNNNNNNNNNNNNNNNNNNNNNNNNNNNNNNNNNNNNNNNNNNNNNNNNNNNNNNNNNNNNNNNNNNNNNNNNNNNNAAGAGAAGAUAUAAUAUAGUAGUAGUGAGGCUACUAUUCUACUGAAGCACCGGAGCCUUCGUGCUUCCAGCCUCGUUUUCGUGCUGCGACUUUCGAUAUCGUCGAUCGAUCCAAUUAAACUUGAUCUAAAGUAUUUUGGAGUACCUAGAAAGAUAAAUUUUAUUAUUUGUCGAGUAUCAUUUGCCCGUAGCCGUAGAUCGAGAAUGCGGGCUCAAAUCAACAAAAAUUUCAUAUUGGGCCUAUACGUGACGCCUUUGCAAGUUUAAGCGGUGUAGAAAUAUCCAAAUCACGAAACUUUUGAUAAAAAUUCUUAUAUACUAUAUAAAACAAGAUCAAAUAUCUUUGAUUUAAAAUCUGUGAGGAGAUGUCAUAUAGAAAUUAAUUUCGGAGCAUUUAAAUCAAGAAUUUUGGUAUUGUUCAGGUCGUGGUGAAGAUGAGUUUGAGCAUCUUCGGUUCACAAUAGGCAGCAUGAUAUGAAAAAUAAUAAAAUUUAUUUUUCUAGGCUACUGCCAAAUACUCUAGAUCUAAAGUUUAAACGGAGCUCGAUCGACGAUUCGAAAGUCCAACAGAAACACGAGCUGAAGCACUCCGUCUUCCGAUAGCAUAGUACCCACUCCUAUAUAUAGAUGAUAUACAGUGUAUAUAUAUUAAUAAUAUAAGUAUAUAUAUAUAUAUUAUAUAUAUAUAUAUAAAUAUAAUAUAGUAUAGGUUAUAGUAGAUAGCUAUAUACCAUGAUAUAUAAGUAUAUAUAUAUAUAUAUAUACAUAUUAUGAGUUCGACACCGGUUACUAUUAGUAGCAAAUCCAUUAUUGCUACCGCUAAUUUUUUAGCCUUUGGAUAAGCUCUUUCCACAAUCAUUGUCGUAAUCAUGGACUUAAAUAGCUAUAUGAUGUUUAGCACCCGCGUCAAUUAGUUGGAGUGAGCGGAUGUAGAGGACGAUCUACUACUAGGGGGACCACUCAACUCUAAACUAGACAUAUAUAUUCACUUCUGACCCUAAAUUUUUCAUCCCAGGUUAAAACUUGAUAGUAAAAAGAGCGUUUUAACACAUUAAUAGUAUUCCAGCAUAUAUAUAUAUAUAUUAUAUAAGUAGGGCUAGAAUACUUUACACAUAUCACGAGACCCCAUGCCAGUGAUACUUGUGCUGUUUUAGCCCUUGAUGGAGGAUGUUAAGGUCUGAAUGAUUGGUGGUAGGUGGUGGUAGGGUGAAUAUGUUUGAUCCAAAGGCAUUUGUAAUAAAAAAGUAGUAUCGUCAAUGGCUAAAAACGUGCAUAGCAACUAUUGGAUGAGUACCUUGAAAAGUAUCUCUAGAUGAACUAUAUAUAUAUAUAUAUAUAUAUAUAUAUAUAUAUAUAUAUAUAUAUAUAUAUAUAUAUAGAGCUAGGCCUGGUCAUAGACACAUGGUAAACACGGAAGACCUCCGAUGCUACCAAGUUGUUUUUCAAAUGAUGUGGCUCCUUCCAAAUCGACGAUCGGCUCCGUUAGACUUGAUCUACACUAUAAAAAAUAUUUGGAAACUAAAUUUUAUAAUUUUUCGGUAUCAUUUACCUAUCAAACAAGUAGUCUAAAAAUGAACGGCUGUGAAUAAAAAUCUCAUAGAAAAUGAUGAUAAAAGACUUGAAUUUAAGAUCAGAGAUAUUGAUCUUAGUCUAAAUAGUCAAAAGAAUUUUCUAUAAAAAUUUCAUCAGAUUUGGAUUGUUUUACACUGUUAAAUUUACAAAUGUAUCACAUCUACCAUUAAAAUUGUCAAUUUUAAGACCUUUUGAUCACUAGCCAAAUGAUGUCGAAAAAUUAUGAAAUUUAGUUUCUAACUACUUUCAAUAGAGUAGAUCAAGUCUAACGGAGCCGAUCGUCGAUUUGGAAGCCGCAUCAUUGAAAACAACUUGGUAGCACGGAGGCUGCCGUGCUAGCGAUAGUAUACCACCCUAGCUCUCUCUCUCUCUCUCUCUCCUCGUCCUCCGUUGGCCACACCUCGAUCUUCGGGCGACCGCAGUGAGAGAGAUGUCCGAGUGGCUGUCGUCCAGUCGAUGGCGAGACCCUGGAUUCGGCGGGUGGGGCUGGCUGGGGGCAUCAUCCAUCCUCGGGACAGCUAUCGGCAAUGGGUGGGGCGUCGAUCUCAUCCUCUCUCCUCUAUAUAUAUUAUAUUAUAUUAUGAUAUAUAGUAGGCUACUGAUGCCGUUUCGGAAGCUAUGGAGCCUUCGCUGCGUUCCAGCUGCUGGUUUUCGAUCGUUGGGGGCAACUUUCGAACAUCCGAUCGACUCCGUUAAACUUGAUCUAGAGUAUUUGAAGUACCUAAAAAAUAAAUUUCUUAUGAUUUUACGAUAUCAUUUGCCUAGUGAACGAAGGGGCUCAAAAUCAGCGGCUGAAAAUAAUAAUCUUACCAAAAUAUAAUAAUAUGACAUUAAAAUUUUAACAUCAACUAAGAUAUUGAUGCUUGUUUUUAAUAAGUAUAAAAAUUUUCUAUGCAAAAUUUCACGUGAUUUAAUAUUUCUACACCGUAAACUUGCAAAACGGGCUCACAUAGCCGUGCCAUUGAAAAUUUAAUUGAUUUUGAGCCCAUCUCGAUCACUAGCAAAUGUAUCGAAAAAUAAUCAAAAUUUAAUUUCUAGUACUCAGAAUACUCUAGAUCAUAGUUUAACGGAGCCGAUCCGUACGAUCCGAAAGUCGACAAGUCGAAACAAAGCUGGAAGCAUGAAGCUUUCAUCGUUUCGAGUAGCAAGUAACCUCACUCUCUCUCCUAGUCUCCAGGCAUCCUGAGCAGCUCUGCUCAUCUCUCUCUCUGUAUCAUAUAUAAUAGUAUAUAUAUAUAUAAAAGAAGUAGAGAAAUGAGAGGGGAGUCCACCGGUGGACCUCGCCUCUCAUGUGUCCACGAGGGCCACUUUGCCUCGUGGACCCCCCGUGCUACCCACCACACCAAGACCGCCAUUUUUUUAGCGUCCACGCAGACCCCGCGCGCGCGCGCUCGUGCUGGCACCGCCCACCCCCCCCGGCUCGCCCUCGCCCGGCGGCCACAGCGCCGGAGCCCACCCCCGCGCCCGCUCCAUCGCCCGCCCCGCGCUCGCUCCUCGCACCCCGCGCCGCCCCCGCGCCUCGCGCCCUGCGCCGCGCCGCGCAUGCGCUAGCGCCUGCCCCGCACCUGCUCUCGCGCCUCGGCCUCCUCUUGACACGUGUGCAGUUAUUGAGGAAUAAUAUAUAGUUAUAGAUAGAUUAUAGAUGAGCACCGAAAUAAUCUCUUAUUUAAUAACUUUCUAUCUCUAGGUAUCAUGAAAAUUGGUGAAAAAUAUUAUAUUUAUUUAUAGAACACCCUUUUGUCAAUGAUGAUCUAACCCACAUCUAAAAGGGGUUCAGAUCGCUUUCACUUGGAAGGAAAGAUACAAUCAAAGCCACUUGAACACUAUCUUGAAUGAAACAUGCAUGCUUACCUCAAGCUUUUAACCAAAUCACUGGUACUGCAGUGGUUAAGUUCGUGCAAUAUUACUAAUACAUUCCAUAGUAGGGUGUAUAUUUUACAUCCACUUUAUUUAAAAAUUAUUAUUUUUGUAUUUGUCACAUCAACUAUUUUUUAUUUUUAUUAAAAACAAUUUAGAUUUUUUUGAAUUCUAGAAUAAGAGAUAUAAACUCUAUGCCCUCCCUCUUUUCUGUGGGUGUAUAUAAAUAGAAUUUCUGUAACCACUACUCAGAUAUUUGCUGGCUUAUUUUCCAAGAUAUAUAGAAUAUUAAAUAGUCACUUAAUGUCAUUAAAUAUAGGGUUAAUUUCACACAGAUUCCUGCAAAUAUAGUGAAUGGCAAAUAUAUCGCUAAAAAGUUCAACUUUCAUAUGUUGUCCCUAUAAAAGUUAUAACAUUUUCAAAUAUGUUCCUUUGGUUUUUUACCGUUAGAGAACUGUGUUUAUAUUUUCAAUUUUGCCAUCACAAAUAUAUCCCUCAAAAAACCAUAAUAGUAUAAUAUAAAUGGAUAAAAAUGUCAAACACUAAUCAGGAUUAAGUAUUUAACCUGCGGUUAACUAAAUUUUUUAACGAAUUCUUACGGUGGGGACAUAUUUGAAAACAUCAAGAUUCAGCGGGGAUAUAUUUGAAAACGUCAGGACUUUUGUAGGAAUAACAUAUGAAAGUUGAACUUUGUACGAAUAUAUUUGUCAUUCAUUAUAUUUGCAAGGACCUGUAUGAAAUUAACCCUUAAAUAUAAGGUAGAAUAUUUCAUGUUUCUAAGAAUCAAAUUAAAUAAUUUCUCAAUAUGAUGCACCUACCUGUUGGAUAAUCUAUAAAUAAACACUUUUCAAUAGCUGACAUUUUAUCCAUUUGGCCCUGCAAAAACUGUGUUAAGCCUAAGUUGGCAAUUAAAAAGUAGCGAUAACAAAUUGGAGCUUUAGCUGUAAAAACAUGUUUUGUACGGGAGAGCUCUCUCUCUCUCUCUGGUAAGUUUAUUUAAUUUUAAUUUAGUAUCUAUCUUUAAAUUUUUUUAACUAAUACCUCUUGGACCUCUAAAAUUAGUUGAUUAUUAUAUUUAGUUAAUUAAUUAUUAUUGAAUAUAAUAAUUUUUCUUAAAUGUUAGCGACUAAUUAUUUUAAUUUUACUGGCGUGUGCCGUCGAAAACGUUUUAGGAUAAUUAAGGUUCCAUUAUAGCACAAGGCGAGGCGUCCCAAACUGCAAGAAGGUCCUUCUCUGAUUUGAGGCUUAAUAUGAAUAUCCCAGUUUUAGCCCCACGAAUCUCGAACAGCUCUCUGAAAGUCCAUGCACACCUUAGUACUCCUAUGAUCCCUUUGGUGGAGGGUAGAAGCUCUGCCAAAAUCUUCGCCACAAAGAAGUGCUUGAAGAAAUCAUCAAUUGUUAUGUCUUCUGGUCCGAGAUGAACCACGCAGGAUGUUGGAGUGGCGAGGUGCUGGAGAGGAGGAAUAGAGAAGGUAGGGCGGAGGGGGAGGGGGAGAGAGGGUAGGAGGAUAGGUUCCAACAGGAGGAUAGGUAUUUCAAAUUCUAUGCACCUUUCUGGGUUUCAGUUCUACGACCUUCCACCUGACCUCUUGUUCUCAGCCAUUGCCUAGAAAUUGGCUGUCGAGUUGGGAGAGGUCAUUCCGACUAGCACUUCCCGCGCGCUUCGCUCGUCGUACCUCCAUGCCAAAGUGCUUUUGGACUUACACCUCCCUCUGCAGAAAAAUAUGAUGAUUCUCCUUAGAGGUGGGGAGGUCCUGAACACUCGCUUGGCAUACGAACGUCUACUUAGAUUUUGUGCCUUUUGCGGUCUCAUAGCACACAAUAUUGACCACUGUAAGCAUAGAAUCUCAUUGCUGGAUCGCAUCCCCUCAACCAUCUCUCCGGCUGACAGAGCACAACUUGAAGGCUUCUAAAACCGAAUUUUCCUAAAUCCCUAUCUAAAUUAGCAUUGUGCUCAGGCUCGGCGGUGCUUCAAAACCCCUGCUGAUCGUCAGAGCUUCAAAACCCUCAUUGAUCGUUAGAGAGCCAGGCGAAGGGCAAAUCAGUAAUUCUUGGAAUUCAUAACCAACCUGUAACUUUUGUGGAUGAAAUUUCAAAAAGUCCGCGCAAGGAAUUUCCGGAUCGUCUUCCAUAUAUGCAUGAAGAUUCACCCAUUGUUAAUCCGGGUCUUCCACAUAAGAUUGAUGUAAUAGAUAGUUUUUUUUGAAAAUCCUCAUUAUAGGGAGUCAGGUAUGGAAAUAUUCACUCACUUUUAGACCGAAGACGUGGGACCACCUAGCCGGAAUACACAACUCGUAGAAAAUGAAUUUGAAUCCUUGCGUGAUGGCUCUGCGCAAGGUUCUAGUCGAAAUGCUGGGUCUCCCCCUGACCCAACUACCUUGGGCAAUCCUCUCAACUUGAACUCCAAUUUGGGUGUGAUAGUUCCCUAGAAGCCCAACACCCCACAUGUGCAGCUGACCUAUGAUGCAAGGGAGAGCUCGCCUUUGCUCUUCAACACCUCAAUCAUCAUGGCUAACUCCUUGGACAAGAACGUUUGGUCUCACUUCCACCCCCGAACCACAAACCCAAGUAUUCUUCACACACUUCAAGUCACCCAUAGCUCCACUCACUGCAAAAAGAAGAUUGUAAAAUCUAAAGGCGCAAAACAACAACUAUAUGAGGCUUUAACCGAGCAACUCACGGACCCCUACUCCUACAAGGUGUUGGCACUGAUCCGCGCUGUCACUUAACAAAUGAGCACAAUAGCUUGGAACUAUUACGGGUUGGGAGGCGCCCUAACAGUUCUAUAUUCGGCCUCCAUGGUGGAGGCUACUUCACCCAAGUUCGUAUUUUUAUCUGAAACUAAAUGUAAUAUGGAUCGCUACAACUCAUUACUGUCGCUCUCCAAAAUCCGUCACCAUUUGUGAUUCCCUCACAAGGGCAUGCGGGCGGCUUUGUUCUCAUGUGGUUAGAUAACAUCAAAGCUACAAUUUUUGCGUCUUCAAAUUUCUUUAUCAUGACAACUAUCUACUCAUCUUGUGUGAGCCCUUGGCUAUUUGUGGGCGUUUAUAUCCAUCCGAAUAUCGUCAAUAAUAGCUACAUCUGGACCACACUCUUGGAUCUGAUUAAUCGAGCAUCCCUCCCGACCCUAGUCAUCGGGGGCUUCAACACAAUAAUUGAACAUGUGGAAAAACUAAGAGGGACAAGUCGCCCAUCCUUUACUUCUACUCCACAUAGGAGCUUCUAGCAAGAAAGCUGCUUCAUCGACAUUGCUCCUAGAGGGCUUGGGUAUACUUAGUCUAACAAUCGGAUUGGACGCUCUUUUGUAUUCAAAAGACUAGACCAAGCUCUUGUUGAUUCUCAGUGGCUUCUGAAGUUUCCUUUCGCCAAAUUGCUUUACCUCCUUGGGUAUCUAGUGAUCACUGCCCUCUCAUUCUCACUCUCAACCCUAAUAUCCAGCACCGCCAACGCCCCUUCAGAAUUGAAAGUUGGUUGUUCACUUUAGACAAGUUCAAAGAAAAUGUGAGUGAAAUAUGGAACGCUAACACUAUUAAAACCUUUUCGAGGAGUCUUUGUCAUAUGGCUUUCUCCCUCAGAAAUUGGGCCUCAAGACAUAGGUUAAACAUUCGACUUAGGGUGGCGAAAACUUUGAAACAGUUAACAAAACUACAGUAACUACCUGUCAACCAUCCGAAAAGAACAAGGGAGUCUUCCUUGGUGGCAUAGUACAAAGACCUCCUUCACAAGCAGGAAUUAUUUUGGGUUCAGGGGGCAAAAGAAAGCUGGGUUCUCAAUGGAGAUAGAAACACCACCUUCUUUCAUACCAGGGCGACAAUCCGGAAAAGAAAGAACACAAUCCUUGCUCUCCGAAACCCCUCUGGAACAAUUCUGUGACGCCUCAACUUCUCAAGGGGUCACCCAUCCUGUACUAUUCCGAUCAUAGCAUACUUAACUCUCUUAACCUCUUGAGCCUAACCACCACCCAAAAUGCUUAGCCGGAUUAAGAGUUUUAACCUUAUUAUAUCUUAUAUAUAGGACUACUCGGGAUCUCACAUUUUUCCCCUUUUUAGCCCCGACGUCAUCAUCAGGUUCAGACUCACAAGUAUCAGGUGAUGUGUGACUCGUCUCGCUAGCCUAAAUGGACCUUGUGGGGGAGCCACGCUCUACCCACAACAGUCAACAGCAUGAGAGCCUUACUCUCUCCGCUGUAUAACCCUGGCUUAGUCGAGACUCAUCUCACACUUCCGGCUGGUAAUUGGCUCUAAUACCAACUGUGACGCCCCAACUUUCUAAGGGAUCACCCAUUCUAGGACUACUCCCGUCCUAGCAUGCUUAACUCUCUUAACCUCUUAGGCCUAGCCAUCACCCAAAAUGCUUAAGCCGGGUUAAGAGUUUUAGCCCUAUUAUAUCUUAUAUAUAGAACUAUCUAGGGUCUUACUAACUGUGACGCCCCAGCUUCCCAGGGAGUCACCAUCCUAGGACUACUCACAUCCUAGCACGCUUAACUCUCUUAAUCUCUUGGGCCUAUCCACCGCCCAAAAUGUUUAAGUCAGGUUAAGAAUUUUAGCCCUAUUAUAUCUUAUAUAUAGGACUAUUUGGGUCCCACAUUUUUCUCUCUUUUAGCCCUGACGUCCUCAUUGGGCUUAGACUCACAAAUAUCAAGCGAUGUAAGAUUCGUCUCGCUAGUCUAAACCGACCUUGUGGUGAGCUGCACUUUAUCCACAAUAGUCAAUAGUAUGAAAGCAUCGCUCUUCCCGAUGUAUACCUGGCUCAGCCGAGACUCACCUCAUACUUUCGAUUGGUAAUUGGCUCUAAUACCAACUGUGACGCCCCAGCUUCCCAAGGGGUCACCCAUCCUAGGACUACUCCCAUCCUAGCACGCUUAACUCUCUUAAUUUUUUGGACCUAGCCAUCGUCUAAAAAUACUUAAGUUAGGUUAAGAGUUUUAUCUCUAUUAUAUCUUAUAUAUAGGACUAUCUGGGGUCUUGCAAAUUCUGUCGGACAAGUUGGAACUAAAAUCUUUUGUCGACCAGAACUUCACUAAUUUCUAUACCACUCCCCACACUUGCCUGCUAGCAGAAGGUAGUUGGUACUGUAUCGAGCGGCUGAUAAAUAAAAUUUCACUAGAGAAGGCGUCGUCACUCUGCGAACCCCUCAGCUUCGCCGAACUCCGAGAUGCCCUUUUUAGCAUGAAGCCGGAUAAGUCUCCGGGCACAGAUGCCUUCUCCGCUCACUUCUACUAGUUGACUGGGAUCUGUUAAAAUGAGACAUAUUUCAUCUUGUGCAAAAAAAGUUUGCAACGCAGAAGGCACCGCAUUUUAUUAACCAGAUCAGCAUUGCACUGAUCCCAAAAAAGAAGUGACCCAUAGACAUCAGCGACUUUCGACCUAUCGCUUUGUGUAAUAUUCUCUACAUGUGUUUGACCAAAAUCUUAGCAAAUAGACUAAAGCCGCUGCUCUUAUCUUUAAUCAGCGAAGAACAAUCUGCUUUCGUACCUAAGCAGAACCUCUUUGAUAAUACUUGAUUGUUUAGGAGGUUUUGCAUUCUUUCAAGACUAUAAGGCGGCAACCAAGUGCUUUCGCAGCCAAGAUAGAUCUGGCUAAGGCAUAUGAUCGACUCAAUUGAGAUUUUAUACAAAAAAUGCGUCAAAGUUAUGGUUUUCCGGAGAAGCUAUGUGCAAUGAUCAAGUGGUGCAUCGCAACCAUCCGCUUCUCAAUACUUGUGAAUAAUGAGAUCGGGAAAUGCUUUUCCUCUACAAGAGGUAUAAGGCAAGGAUGCCCUCUCUCACCUUAUAUCUUUAUCUUACCUAGUAAUACUUUUUCGUUUUUGAUUAAAAAUUCUAUUCAUUUUGACUAUAUUGACGGCCUCAAACUCUCGCUCUCGAGCCAUGUGCUGUCACAUGUUAUGUUUGUGGAUAACCUAUUUAUUUUUAUGAGAGCGACUAAUGAGAAAAUGGUUCGACAAAGAAAAAUUCUAUCUAAUUUCUACAUGAUUUAGGGGGAAGAGAUAAAUUGUCACAAAUCAUCGCUCAUAUUCAGCAAAUGUACUUCUUCGAAUCUCUAUUCUAUUAUCCAAAACAUCUUCAACAUAUCAGCACACCAGGGGAACGAUCAUUAUCUAGGCAAUCCUCUAUUUUUGGAGAGAUCCCUCUCAAAUACUUUCACUUUCAGUAUCGAGAAGCUUCAUUCAUGGUUGGCAGGUUGGAAGGCUCAUUGCCUAUAGCACGCGGGUCGCCUAACCCUAAUUCAACCAAUACGCUCUGCAAUUUCGAGAUAUUUCUUGUGCUUCACUACUCUUCCAACGAAAUUCCUACACCACAUUGCCAGUGUUAUAAAAGACUUUUGGUGAGGAUUCAAAUCCGGAACAUGACACUUUUAUCUGAAAGCUUAGUCGAAACUAACUUGCAGCAAGAACAUCGGGGGGUUAGGCCUUUCCUCUAUGAGCACUCUUAACAGAUUGGUUGCAGUACCAUAUGCAGCAGUUGGGUCGGCCCUAGUGUGCAAACUUGUAUGGUCUUUCCUUACAAGACCGAACUAUCUUUGGGCACGAGUCCUAACUAGCAAAUAUAUUAGGGAUGAUUUUUGGAGAACUCCAGACAGUACAGCGAACGCGAUUAUCUGGCGUUCAAUAUUACAAUCUCGCAAUGUUAUGGGUAUUACUAUCGAUCGACACUCUGAUCCGAGGUUUACCUUGCGAUUAAUUUCAUCAACAAAGGCCAUCUCCCAAGUCAGAUACGCCCACGCUCGGCACUUUGGGAAAAGGUUUGGAAAAUUAAACAUAUUAUGCCUCAUGCUAGAAUCUUUGCAUGGCGCAUACUUGCAAACAUUUUAUCUAUCAAAGUGAUUCUUGCUGCAAAAAUUACUGAACUAUUUUGAUGGCAUGUACCCUUUAUGCAAUGCUGAAUUGGAGACAACUUAACAUCUAUUCUUUCGAUACAAACUUGUCAAGAGGGUUUGCUUUCGUCUAACCUUGGUCUCCGCACUGCUGACCCAGGCAAAAACCUAUCGUAUUAGUUGACUUUCAUUCUGACAAGUAGGAGCAUGGAGAAUUGUUUGAAGUGAAAAAAAAAAUUAGGGUAAAGCAAUCCUAAUCAUAAUCGAAACCGAUUAGAUUCAGACUCAUACGCACCGGCGAACCAACAUGAGUCAACAUCCUCCAACUCUAGCCUACCAAAUGCGCCUGUGGGGAAUUGGGCCUCAAAUGCAGUAUUGUACUCCUAGUUUGCAGCAGUAAGGAAUUCAAUAUCUAGAGUACAACCGCUCAUGGCCAGAUGGUUGGUCAAAUUGACCUUAUAAAACAAAGAAAUCUUUGGUAGCCUCAGACGAUGUAAGAUUUAAUAGCUGCUUAGGGACACAGUCGAGAGGUUCGCCAAUCUCAUGACCACGUCGCGGCGGGACCCGCCAAUCAACCAUCUCUAGUUAGUCCUGCAGCAAUAGGUGGUUGAACAAUCUAGUGUAGCACACUGGACCUUUGCAAAUUGCGAGGUUCGAGUGUUCGAGCUGUGUUCUGAGUCCUUCCAGACUUCCUUGUGGGUCGUUGACAGUGUUCCUACCUAUGACUCGUAUCCCGAGAAUUGUGGUUUAAAGCUGUGUGCCAAAACCCGAAAAAUCGGAUUCUUGGCCAGCUCUCGGGUAGCUUCUGGGGGUCUUAUACCGGUACAAGGUUGAUGGUUGUACCGGUACAGAGCCGCUGAACCCCCCCCAACCCGAGCCUCGGGUUGAAGCUUUUCGUGGGGCUUGUACCGGUACAAGGGCCCGUGUACCGGUACAAGGGAGCAUUUUCGUGCAGUCUGGACUGCAAGGGUGUUUUUGCUUUUGUAGCCUCCUUAUAUCAACACCCACGCCCCUUAGGGCCUUCCCUGAGCUGAGAACACAGGGAGACAAGGUAAGAGGAGCCCCACCUUGCCCCUCUUUGGUUUUGUUAUGAUUUUGUUGGGUUUUAAAAAGAUUAAACUUCUCUUUUUGCUUGUUGGAGGCUCUUCCACCAUUGUUGAGGCUUGGAGCUUGGGUUUGGAGCUUGGUGGAGGGAAGAUCCUAGAAGUUUGAGGACUUUGGGCUUGGAUUGAAGCUUCUAAGAGGUAAGUAGCAAGAUCAUUUUCUCUAGUUUUGGAUUUUGGAGUUUUCUUUGAGAUGAAACCCUAGAUUGAAAACUUAGGGUUGUUUUUGGGCAUUUUGAACCUAGGGCUUUUGGAGCUAGAUUCUUUGGUUUAGAACCUUCCUUAGUCUUGGAUUGGAAGGAUUCUAGCCCUCCUUUGGAGCUUAGGAGAGGAUUCUCACUCUUGAGGUGAGUUUUGACCCUUUUGCUUUAUGGUUAAUGAUUGAGCUAUUUGCUCUUCGUUUCGUUUAGGUGACCCUAUUUUUGAUGUUUCUAGGGUACUAGGAAGCUAGUGGAUACCUCCGUUCGGCGAAACGAAGGUUUCGAUUUUGGUAGGUUUGACCUAGCCUAUAGUAUGAAAAAUUCUCAUAUCGGGUGAUUUAUAUUUCGUAAAAUGAAAAAGCAUGCAUAUUCAUACUAAAUGUAUUUAUUAUGAUUUUUAGAAUGCUUAAAAUGCCUAUUUUACAUGUGAUGAAAUUUUGGACCUCUAUGUAAUAGAGAGUUGCAUAUGAAGCUUAUGCGGGAUUUUUAGCAUUCUUAUGUUGGACCAUGUUUCUCAUAGUGUAAGUGAGCUUUGAUUCAUGCAUUUAAACCUAAGUUUAAUUGAGACAUGAAAGAUAACUAAUAUGCCAUAAAGAGGCACCGAACUUGAAUGUUAUGUGAUUUAGAGAGCUAAUGUCAUCAAGCGGCAUUGAGCUCGGGAGAUGGGUGAACUUAGUGGAUAGGGCCAAUGAGAAAUGUGGAACAUGCUUAAAUAUUGAAUGUCUAAGUGUCAUAAAGGGGCACUAGACCUAGAGAACAUUGGAACUUCACUUUGUGACUUAGAACUAGAUCUUCGGGAUGCUAGUGACUAUACCAUGUUAGAGACAUGAUGAUUGGAUACUUGAGACGUUGACUAUGCUUGCUUGCCAUUUGUGCUCCUUCGCACAUGCUUGUGAGGGUCGCUCCCUACAAGCCGGCACUCCGGAGUUAGCCUACGCGACCUAUGUUCGCUCGUACGGUAUUGAGAAACCUACGGGGUCGGGAGGGAUAGACUCAUUCCUAGAGUGGAAAUGCUAGAGCUACCACCGACACUUAGGCGGCACAAGCUGGACUACAUAUUUGUAGAGUCUAGAACAUGUUGGAAACAAUGAUAUUGAACCGGGAAUGGAUAAUCACUACUAGAUAGGCUUAGUAGUUGGAUUACUUUGACAUGCUUAUGAUAUAGCAUUUAGACAUAUAGCAUACUUGCCUGUUUCAUUUAUCGCAGUGUAGUAUACUCGGUUGCUUGAUAGAGCUUAUUCCUUAUAUAUUGACACAUUGGAUCGUGAUGUUUACUCGUUUAUUAUGUUGAGACAUAUCAGCUAUGCAUUGAACAUAUUCCCUUAUUACAGAAUAGAUGUACAUCAUGUUGACAUCAUGCUUACCUGAGACUUAGUAGUUUAGCAUUUUAAUUAUGCUUUCAUAAUUGCAAUUUAUCACUAUUAUUAUUAUUGCUUAUCGUAUGUCUGCCGCGAACGAACCGGCCCCGCCGUAGGAUGUUUCUAGGGCGAGUGGUCAUUCAUGGUAGAGAUAAAAUUUGUUUAUAUUUUAUUUUGAAAUCAGGAUUAUAGGUUCAUGGCUUCCAACAGACUCAAGAAUCUGUUGUUAAUUAUCCCACACUUUCGGUGUUAAGGAACCCUCGAUUAAGAGACCAAAUAUAAAUGCUGAUAAUAAAAGAGACAAAACAGGCAAAUGAAAUUUUAUUGAUAUGAUUUGCCGUUUACAUGGCUUAAGCAGGGGCAUACCCCCACUGUACAUGAAUUGAAUCCUAAGUGUAUGUAUUAGGAUUCAGUCGAAUUUGAGGUUGACUAGGUCCUAAGUAUAUGUGUUAAAACCUAGUCAAUAUUAGACUCUGUAUAUUAGAGUCUAAUUGGCUCUAAGUAUAUGUCUUAGAAUCCGAUUAUGUCCAUCUUGGUUAUAUGUUCCAAGAUGGAGAUGUGAUCAGACCUCAAGUAUAUGUAUUGAGAUGGGUCGAACUAGAUCCUAAGUAUAUGUGUUAAGAUCUAGUCGAUAUUAAACUCUAUGUAUUAGAGUCUAAUUGGCUCUAAGUAUAUGUCUUAGAGUCCGAUUAUAUUCACCUUGGUUGUAUGUUCCAAGAUGGAGAUGUGACCAGACCUCAAGUAUAUGUAUUGAGGUGGGUCGAAUUACCCGAAAGUGGAGAGUGGCUAAUUCCCGAGUAUAUGUAUCAGGAUUAACCGAGUUUCACUCUAGUUAUAUGUGCUAGAAUGAAGGUCUGACUAAGCCCUAAGUAUAUGUAUUAGGGGUAGUCGGAUUUGAACUCUAAGUAUAUGUAUUAGAGCUCGAUCGGGUAAGGAUUUCACUCUAGGUAUNUAACCGAGUUUCACUCUAGUUAUAUGUGCUAGAAUGAAGGUCUGACUAAGCCCUAAGUAUAUGUAUUAGGGGUAGUCGGAUUUGAACUCUAAGUAUAUGUAUUAGAGCUCGAUCGGGUAAGGAUUUCACUCUAGGUAUAUGUGCUAGAGCAAAAGGCUGGCUAGACCCUAAGUAUACGGGUUAGGACUAGUCGAGCAUGAUUUGACUUCUACUCUAGGUAUAUGUGCUAGAGUAAAAGACUGACUAGACCCUAAGCAUAUGUGUUAGGGUGAGUCGGAUAUGGUUUGACUUCAGCUCUAGGUAUAUGUGCUAGAGCAGAAGGUUGACUAGACCCCAAGUAUAUGUAUUAGGGCUAGCCGGAUGAACUCUAAUUAUAUGUAUUAGAGUCCGAAUGAAGUUGAUAUCAUUUGACCGAAUUCUAAGUAUAUGGCUUAGAACUCUGUCGAUUUGGAGAUGUUUCGCCUUAGUUAUAUGUGCUAAGACGGUUGACAUAGCCCUAAGUAUAUGUAUUAGGGGUAGUCGAUAUUUAAUUUUUACUCUAGGUAUAUGUGCCAGAGUAAAAAAAGGUUCACGAUGAGAUUUGGGUAUUGGUUCAUGAGGUUUGGUUCAUGAAUUUGGAUAUGGUUCAUGAAUUUGGUGUAUGAACUUGGUCAUGAACUUGGAUAUGGUUCAUGGAUUUGGUAUAUGGAUUUGGUUCAUGAACUUUGAUAUGGUUCACGGGUUUGGUGUAUGAAUUUGGUUCAUGAACUUGGAUAUGGUUCAUGGGUUUGGUGUAUGGAUUUGGUUCAUGAACUUGGAUUGGUUCCGGGUUUGGUGUAUGGAUUUGGUUCAUGAACUUGGAUAUGGUUCAUGGGUUUGGUGUAUGGAUUUGGUUCUAACUUAGCGACAUUUCGGUCGUUUGAAUAUGGGUUUAGUUUAGCAACAUUUCGGUCGUUUGGAUUCGGGUUUAGUUUAGCGACAUUUCGGUCGUUUGAAUUUGGGUUUAGUUUAGCGACGUUUCGGUCGUUGGAUUUGGUUGUUUUGGGUUUUGAGGUUUUGUUUGUGGACUUUGGGUUUUGGGAUUUAUUUGUGGAUUUUGGUUUUGGGAUUUAUUUGUGGACUUUGGGUUUUGAAAUUUUAUUUAUGGACUUUGGGUUUUGGGUUGGGUUAAACCUCUUGUAUUUGAUUUGGGAUGAACCAUAAUAUUUUGGUUCGGGAUCCAUCAGGACUUGGUUUGGGUUGGAUUCUUUACAGUUUGGUUCGGAUUGGACGACUUCGGUUCGGGUCGGAUCCUUCAUGGUUCGGUUCGGGUUGGAUCCUUCAUGGUUUGAUUCGGAUCGGACCACUUGGGUUCGAGUCAAGUCUUUCCUGGUUCGGUUCAAGUCGGAUCCACUUUGGGUCGAGUUGAAUCCUUUGUGGUUCUGUCCGGAUCAGAUCCACUUCGGAUCAAGUUGAAUCCGUUUGGUUUGGAUUAGAUCCACUUCAGUUCGAGUCGAAUCCUCCCUGGUUCGGUUCGGAUCGGAUCCAUUUCGGUUCAAGUUGAAUGCUUUAUAGUUUGGUUCGAAUCGGCUCCACUUCGGUUCGAGUCGAAUGCUUCUUGGUUCGGUUCGGAUUGGAUCCACUUCAGUUCAAGUUGACUCCUUCCUGGUUCGGUUCAAGUCGAAUCAAGUUGAAUCCAUUUGGUUUGGUUCCUUUGUGGUUCGGUUUAGACCAGGUCUGGUCCGGUUCGGAUCCACUUUAUUUCAAGUCGAAUCUUGUUCGGUUCGAUUCAGAUUGGAUCCACUUCGGAUCAAAUUGAAUCCAUUUGGUUUGGUUCAGAUCGGAUCCGCUUUGGUUCGAGUCAAACCCUUCCUGGUUCGGUUUAAGUCGGAUCCACUUCGGAUCGAGUUGAAUGCUUUAUAGUUUGGUUCGAAUCGGCUCCACUUCGGCUGGAGUCGAAUGCUUCUUGAUUCGGUUCAGACGGGAUCCGGUUAGGUUCAAGUCGAAUCCCUUAUGAUUUGGUUCAGACAGGAUUCGGUUCGGUUCAAGUUGAAUCCCUUAUGAUUUAGUUCGGACCGAAUCCGGUUCGGUUCAGUUCAGAUCGGGUCCACUUCGGUUCGGGUUGGAUCCUUCAUGGUUCAAUUUGAGUUGAACCAACUUGUAAUUUCGUUCAGGUCCAACCGGUUCAUUAUUUGGUUCAAAGUUAUGAGUCUCAGUUCGGUUUGAGUUGAACCGGCNGUUCGGUUCAGCUUGGAUCGGAUCCACUUCAGUUUGAGUUGAAUCUUCUAUGGUUCGGUUCAAAUCAGAUCCACCUCGGUUCAAGUCGGAUCCUUUGUAGUUUGGUUCAGAUCGGACCCACUUUGGUUCGAAUCGAUUGCUUCCUGGUUCGGUACGGAUUGGAUCCACUUCGGUUCAAGUUGACUACUUCCUGGUUCGGUUCAAAUCGGAUCCACUUAGGUUCAAGUUGACUCCUUCCUGGUUCGGUUCAAGUCGGAUGUACUUCGGGUCGAGUUGAAUCCUUUAUGGUUCAGAUGAGAUCCGGUUUGGUUCAGUUUGGAUCGGAUCCGCUUCGGUUUAAGUUGAAUGUUUUAUGGUUUGAUUCGAAUCGGCUCCACUUCAGUUCGAGUCGAAUGCUUCUUGGUUCGAUUCGGAUUGGAUCCACUUCGGUUCAAGUUGACUCCUUCCUUGUUCGGUUCAAGUCGGAUCCACUUCGGAUCAAGUUGAAUCCUUUGCAGCUUGGUUCAGACCGGAUCCGGUUCGAUUCAGUUCGGAUUGGAUCCGUUUCGGUUUAAGUCGAAUCCAUUAUGAUUUGGUUUAGCCGGGAUCUGGUUCGGUUCAGUUCUGAUCGGAUUCACUUUGGCUUAAGUUGAAUCUUGUUCGGUUCGGUCCAGACAGGAUCCGGUUUGGUUCAGUUCUAAUCGGAUUCACUUUAGCUCAAGUUGAAUCCUGUUCGGUUCGGUCCAGACAGGGUCUGGUUUGGUUCGAAUCCGGUUUGGUUCAAUUCUGAUCGGAUUCACUUUAGUUCAAGUCGAAUCCUUUAUGAUUCGGUUCCGUUCGGAUCGGACCCACUUCGGUUCGGGUUGGAUCCUUCAUGGUUCAAUUCGGAUCAGACCCACUUCAUUUCAAGUUGAAUCCCUUAUGGUUUGGUUUAAGCUGAACCGACUUAUAAUUUGUUCGACUUGGCUUGGCUCGAACCUCCUAUGCUUUUAUUUGAGUUGAACCCGGCGUAUGCUUUGGUUCGACUUGACUUGGAACCCUUCUGUGGUUCAGUUCAAUUUGAACUAAUUCGUGGUUCGGUCUAUUUGAUCCUCAUGUGGUUCAGUUUGAGUAGAACCAACUUGUAAUUCUGUUCAGGUCGAACCGGUUUAUUGUUUGGUUCAAAGUUUUUGAACUUUAGUUCGAUUUGAGUUGAACCGGCUUGUGAGUAAGUGAUGAAUUAGACUAAUUUCAAAUAGUCCAAAUCCAACUCUUUUAUUUCUUGUAUUAUUUUUUAUUCUUUUUUCUUUAUUUUUUUUGUCUUCCUUUCUUCUUUUUUUUUUUUUUUUUUUUUUGCUGAUUCUUCCUUUCUUUUUUUUCUUUUUUUUUUGACUGCAAAUCCCUCUCUCUCUGUAUGAAACCGAGAGGAGAGAGAGAGAGAGGAAUUCUCCUCUGUCAUUUUUUCUUUGUUUUUGAUUCUUCUUUUCUUUUCUUUUUUUUUUUUUUUUGAUUCUUUCAUUCUUUUUUUUUUGACUGAGAGAAAUAAAAAAAAACUCUUCUUUUGUUUUGUUCUUUCUCUUUCUUUUCUUUCUUUUCUUUUUUUUUUUUUUUGCUGUUUUCUUUUUUUUUUUUUUUUUUUCAAAUAUACGAAAUUAAUCACAUUCGAUCAAUCGAACGAAGAUGUCGAAUUCAAACGGAACCGUUCAUUUUUUAUUAUCAUUUGUUGUACGCGGAUUUAUCGUGUCGAGCCUAUCAUGAAGAUGGCCGCUCGAUUUACGCUUUCGACCAUGUCGAGCCUAUCGCGAAGAUGCGCACGGUUUACGUUUUCGACAAUGUCGAGCCUAUCACGAAAUGGCUGCACGGUUUUCGUAACAAGAUAAAUGGUGCUCGAUCACCAUUUUGACCAGUCGAGCUAUCACGAAGAUGGCCGCACGGUUUACGUAGUAAAAUUCGGUUGUUUGUUCGACCAUGUCGAGCCUAUCACGAAGAUGGCCGCACGGUUAGAGAUUAGCGAUGCAUACGUACGGCGAAAAUGACGACUUGAUGUAAAAUUUGAUCGGUUCGAAACCUAUCACGAAGAUGGUCGGGUUGAUCAAACCAACAAAAAGUCGCACUUGCACUAUUCGUAUGCAUGCAUUUCUCUUGUUGUCGUCGGGGAAGUCGCCAUGAUCGCCGUCGUCAUCGUCGUCGUCGGAAUCGUCGUAGCCGUCGCCGUCGUGAGUGAAAGAGCCAAGCUUUUUUUUUCUUUUUUCUUUUUUUUUUUUUUUUUAACUGGUUCGGAUUUUGGGGGAGGGGUGUGCAACACAGCACACCCCCUCCCUGCUUGCUGCCAGCGCCAGAGGGGAGGAGGGGGUCAAAUACCCCUGUGGACAAAUAGAAAGGAAAAGAACAAUAGAAAGAUUUUUUUUUUAUUCUUUCCUUUUCUUUGCUUUCAUUCCUUUUCUUCUUUUUAUUUCCUUCUCUUUUUUUUUUUGAAUCUUUCCUUUCCCCGUUUCUUUCCUUCUUUAUUUUUAAUUCGAAUUUCGAAUUUUUUUUAUCUCAAACAUCAUACUUACCUUUUUCUUUUGGGGCCUAGUGGAGUAUAGAGCUGAGGUCAGUAAUUGCCCACUGGGAACUAUAAAUUAUAGUUCUCACGCCCUCUUUUUCUAGAAGUUUUUCAGAGCCUUCCGCGCAGGGGGAGGCCAGGGAUAGCGGAAAGGAUAUCGCCUCGGGCUAGCGUGCUCGCCGAGGGAUCGUUCGAUAGGUGGUCUACCUCUCGUGUUCUUCUUUUUGUGAGAGGUUGAGGGUUUCACCAUUGUACUAGAGACCACCCAUUUUUGUACCUUUGAGACUUUUAUUGUACUACUUUAUGGUUUACUUUUAUUGUUUUAGUUGUAUCCUUUUACUAUUGUCAGAGAUGAUAGAAUCAUACUGCUCUGAUAUCAUUAGUUGUAGUUCUUUCCUUGUGCUAUAUUUCUUGCUUUUACUUCCGCUUCCAUUCUAGACGCCUUAUAUGUGUAGACAUAUGGCUGGUCUGGGCGCGCUACCGGGAGGGUCUCCGCCGGUCCCGGGGCAUGACACCUAGAGAGAACCUAAACCAGUAAAAUUAAUUAGUAUAGUAGCAAUAGGUGGCCGAACUAUCUAGAAAAAAUCUAAAUCAGUAAGCUUUUACAAUCCUUGGUUAUCACAACGAAGGGUUUGAUACCAACACAACAAUCAAGCCAGAAACUUCCACCACGAAAAUUUUCUGACUAAUAAUAAUCUUAGUUUAAGUGGGUAACAAGCACGGAGGGCAGCAAAGAAACAACCACUAUGUCCUACCCGCAACCAAGCUGAGGGAUCAGAAAGUCCACAACAACCAGAAAAAAUAGUGUGGAUUUUUCACAUCAAAAUGAUUAAUGGAUGCCCCCCAAAACAAGCUUGCUAAGGCCAAAUGGGAUUUGAAUAGAAAGGCUGAAGUUCUCCAGGUGCACUUUGGCCUAAACAAUAGGCAGUAAAACUGGCUAAUCUACCUUAUCCGGCUGAGAUUGAUAGGUAAUAUAAAUAUUCAAGGGGUUCAGAUUCUUAAAGUUUCAUAACUUCUCUUGAAGAGACAAGCAUUCCAACUUAAAGCAUGUUGCCCUUCACAAUCAUUGCAGCGAAGCAACUACAAAUCCAUAUGUCAAACUUUGGCCUUUUCACCUCUCCUUGAUUUGGAGAGUAUUCACUUGGUAAAUCCUUUGGCAGAAGGUUCUAUUGUCAGCUCAGAGUGGUUAGUGAGUGAGCUCCAUGAACAAUUCUAUCAUGUGGAACCUGAAGUUUUGCUGGCAGACUUGGUCGUACAUGAUUUGACAGCAGCCAAAUGAGCAGUUGAAAAGUACCAGGCUUAGUUCAAGACAGCCAAGAUUUGUUACUUCUUUCAAAUUUCUGAGCACGAGUAUGUUCGUUACGCCCUUGUCGGCCUAAUGUUCAAGAUAAUGGAUCAUUUGUAGGUCUAGGAGUUCAACAACCUAUUCUAUUUCGAAUAGAGGGUUGCUCCCUAUGAGAGGCAUUUGAAGGAAAAGCAUAUAUUCGUAGAUAAAGAUCACUUCUCGGCCUAAGUCUCAAUGGUGAAAGUGUGGGCCAAGAAAAAAAGAAAGAUAAUCAUCCAUAUGCCAAGUGAAAUCUUUACAUGAAGUGUCAUCUCGAGGUUUCAAUGGAAAAGUCUCCUUGAAAAGUCAAGAAACCCUACUACUCAAUUUAGAAAAGUUUAAGUAGAUCGAAGGUGGUUCUAAAAAGGGUAUCAAAGAAGCACUUAUGAGAGAGUCAAAUUCUCUUCAGUCCACAUAGGGCUGCAAACUCUGGAGAGCAGAGAGUUUCGAGACCAAGAACUAUUAAGAUUCUGGCUAGUUCAGCAGAAGGUCUCAAAGUCGAGAACUAUUAAGGUUCUAGAUAAUUUGCCCGCUAAUCGGCGGGCCAAAGCCAGAUCUUUGUUUUCACCAAAAAGAGAAAUUUAGAAGUUCAUGAAGCCCAUAGAGCCUGGGAGAAGUUCAAGAGCCAUCGCGCCUAGAUGAAAGGGCUAGUGGCUGAAAAGAGCAGGCUUAUUCGGAGAGAAGUGGAGAGAGACCAAACCACACAACCAAAAGAAACUAAGGCGAAGGCACAGGAGUUGAGGUGACAUUUCAUGUGUGUGAGGCAUCUUUUCAACUUCAUUAGGCAAAAUUAAAAUCUAUAUCCCACUUUCGGCCGAUGAGGAGGACAAUUGUUAGUUUGAUAUUUCGGCCGAUGUACUUUAUUGGGAUUUUAUUUGGAAAGAUUAACAUCUUGAUUUUUUUUUUUUUUCGAGAUUCAAUAAAAAUUAUUGCAAUUAUGUUUCCAAUUUAGACUCAAGCUUAUCAAUAAAGUACAUUAGGAUUCAGAUUAUGGAGGCAAUAAAUACAACACAAACAAUUAGAAAGAAAAAACUUACAACAUGGACAAGAUUUUUUUCUCAUACAACAAUAACCCUUAAGGUGAUUUUGAAGUAGCACUAAUUUUUCUAGUCAUACCGAAGGUAGAGAAGUUUAUUUUAGUUAACUUUUCCAUUAACAAUAGAGACUAACAAUAUUUUCACUAGCUAUAGUAACAGUAAUAGUUGAUGCCUCAACUUCCUAAGUUUUCCACCAAUUGGAGAGAUUUAGGUCAAAAUUUCAAAUCCUGUAGUUUCUUUUUUCUGAGUCCUGAGUCAAUCGAAUCACAUUCAUCCAUAUUUGGUCCAAAUUAAGCGGCCGAAUGUAGCAUGUCUUCAUCAAGGUCAAAUCACAGUGGAAAACCCGAGCCAAAAAGCUUGAGUUUUCAACCAUUCUAAAUCUCAACUUUUGUGACUAGUAAAAGAGCCUAUUUUCUUUUUCUUUUCAGCAAACAUAUAUAGACUAAGUAAUCAAGAUUUAGCUCAAAGACAAUUUGCAACGGUUUGACUAUUCUAUUAACCAUCUCAAAAAAAUAUACGAAACCUUUUUCAAACAAUUCGAAAUCUUACAACUUAACAAUAUAGAUCGUUAAUUAGAAUAUUCCAUAGUCAAAGUUAAGAUCAUAAAUUAAGAUACGUUUGAAUGAUGAUAUAUUAUCAUCCAAUAAUUUAUAUAUUAUGAGAAUUUUCUUAUAUAAUUGCAAGCUAUAAAUAACUUAAUUUUAGCUCCUUUCGAGAUUUUUAUGUUUAUAAUUCUGUUAGUAGAGUGGUGUAUCUCACUAUAAGAUAGAUUUAUGUUAUUUUGAUAACAUAAUUUAAAGAUCAGAUAUGGUAUGUUUUCUAACUCAGAUAAUAACUUUUUUAACCUACCAAAAAGUUAUAAUAUCUUUUAUUUAUAUUCAAAAAAUAUGUAUAUACAAGCAGUUAAUGAGCACAUAAAACACCUUAGUAAACCUACACUUGAAUUGGAGCAGAAAAAAUUAUCCACCUAAUAUUUGGACCAUGUUUCGGACACGUGGGUCCCACACUAAUACUCCUUUGUGGUUUGUGGGUCCCACAUUCAGGAGGAAGUCUACAUUGCACAAUAGCAUUUAUUCCAGUCAAUUAUAUUUUCUCAAUUUUUUUAAAAAAAUAUAUAAUAAUUUAUUUUUUAAUAACUAUAAUAAGACGAAUGAACUCAAAUAUAUAUAUAUAUAUAUAUAUAUAUAUAUAUAUAUGACUGGUUUGAAUCGCCACAUUAGCAAUAUAAUUAAAAUAGUGGGCGAUUUCGUUUAACAAGCUUUUACAUUUUUUAAAAAAUAAAAACUAAUUUUAAAAAAUUUUGUAUUUUUAUUUGGACAGUUUGGAAAAUUGAGUAGUGGAUUUGACUUUUAAAAACCCGAUGCUAAUAUAACAAAUUUUUAUACAGAACCCCGUAUUAUAUUUGAUAAUAAUUUAAAAAAAAAAAUAAACUAAAAUAAUCUAUUCCGUAUUCUUCGAGAUUUUUUUUUCCACCAUAUAAAACUCUCACUAGAUAACACCCUCCUUCCCUUACCUCCAAACCCAAAAANAAAAAAUUUUGUAUUUUUAUUUGGACAGUUUGGAAAAUUGAGUAGUGGAUUUGACUUUUAAAAACCCGAUGCUAAUAUAACAAAUUUUUAUACAGGAAGCUGUAUUGCACUUUUCGUUAAGUGGUUGGUGACAUUUUAUUUUAUAAACUUUAAUUUAUUAUAAUAUUUUAUUUAAAUUUUAAAAUUAUUAUAAAAAUUUUAUAAAAAAUAAUGAUAAGUGACUUAAAUUCAAAUCGAAAAUCUUGUUCUUGUUCUUAUUCUUAAUGUUAAGUGGAAUUUUCUAUUAAAAUUUCAUGUAAUUUGAAUUCUUCUACACUGUUGAACUCACAAACCUACCACAUCGACCGUUAAAAUAGUUAUUUUUGAGACCCGUUGAUUACUUGAUAAAUGAUUUCGAAAAAUUAUGAAAUUUGGUUUCUAAAUAAUUCUAAUAAUGUAGUUCAUACUUAAGAAAGCCAAUCAUCAAAUCGAAUAUCCUAUUAUCAAAAACAACUGACAAGUGUUAUUGAUUAUAGUAACUAAGUUCAUUUUACCAAUUAAUGAAGUAAUAUUCUUUUUUUUUUCUUAAAAAGAUAUAAUUGAUUGUAAUGUUAACAAGGCAUUAAUAUUUAUUGAACAAAUUAAAUUGAACUGUAAAAUUCAAUUACAAUAAUUUUAAAGAAUUUGAACCCGCCGGUGGUAAUAAAAAUUAGGGAAAACUUCAAAUACUCCCAUGUAGUUUUACACUUUCUUACUUUAGUACCCUAUGGUUUAAAGUGUAUCAAAUUACUAUCCUAUGGUUUCGCACUUUCUCACUUUAGUACCCUAUAGUUUCAAGUGUAUCAAAUUAGUACCAUGUGGUUUCGCACUUUCUCACUUUAGUACCAUGUAGUUUAAAGUGUAUCAAGUUAGUACCCUACGGUUUCGCACUUUCUCACUUUAGUUCCUUGUGGUUUGAAGUGUAUCAAGUUAGUACCUUGUGGUUUCGCACUUUUUCACUUUAGUGUCCUAUAGUUUAAUAUUUUGUUAAAUUAUAUACCCCGAAAUGGAUAAUAAAAAGAGAAAAUUGAAUCACAGAGUACUAACUUGAUACACUUGAAACCACAGGAUACUAAAGUGAGAAAGUGCGAAACCACAUGGUAAUAAUUUGAUACACUUGAAAUCACAUGGCACUAAAAUGAGAAAGUGCGAAACCACACGAGGGUAUUUGAAGUUUCCCCCAACAAUUAUUACUAAGGUUUAAGGUGCCAAAUGUCAAGCACGUCAAAGUUGAAGGACCAAACCGAAAGUCCAAUUCUGUCUGUCCCCAAACAAACCAAAAAAAAAAAAAAAAAUCUUCAUUACCGGUCCAGCUCCCUCGUGCUCUUGUCUUUCAACGCCAUCUCUCUCUCUCCCUUUUCAUAACCCCCCUUCCCUCUUCCUUCCCCUCAUCAGCAAACCAACCCCCCACCCCAAAAAAUUAAAAAAAAAAAAAAAAAAAUCCAUAAUUGAAAUUAAAUAAUUUUUUUUUAAAAAAAAAUCCGGUAUGCCGACGGCGUGGCUGCCGACGCUGCCGGUGCCCGGCAGCUGGAAGAAGUCGAACAUUCUGGCCAUCGCUUUCGUCGCGGCUCUCUGCUCCGCCUCUUACCUCCUCGCCGUCUUCCUCCACUCCCCCUCCCCUCUCCCCUUCUCUUCCCCUUCCUCCUCUUCCUCUCCUUCUUCUUCUUGUAACCCUAACCCCGCUACCUCCACCCUCGUCUCCUCCUCCUCCUUCUCCUCCUCCUCCUCCAACACCACCACCCUCGACUUCUCCCUCCACCACUCCGCCCCCGAUCCCGAUCUCAAUUCCGAUAUCAAUUCCGAUUCCGAUUCACCGCGUGUUCGUCAAUUCCCCUCCUGCGACGCCAAGUUGUCGGAGCACACCCCGUGCGAGGGGCAGCGCUUCUCCCUGCAGUUCCCGCGCGAGCGGCUCGAGUACCGGGAGCGGCACUGCCCGCCGCGGCCGGAGAAGAAGCUGCGGUGCCUGAUCCCGGCGCCCCGCGGGUACCGGACGCCUUUCCGGUGGCCGGAGAGCCGCGACGUGGCGUGGUUCGCCAACGCGCCGCACACGGAGCUGGUGGAGGAGAAGGGCGGCCAGAACUGGAUCCGCGCCGAGGGGGAGGUGCUCCGCUUCCCCGGUGGCGGCACCAUGUUCUCCUCCGGCGCUGACCGCUACAUCGACGACAUCGCCAGGGCCGCCGUCCCCAUCGCCGAUGGCUCCGUCAGGACCGCCCUCGAUACCGGCUGCGGGGUAAGCCCCUUAUUUCGUAUACUUUAACAUGGUAUCAGAGCAAAGCAAGAUUAUAAAUAUAAGAGCGAGUCCGACUAGUAUAUAUCCUCUAUCAAUAGCACCAAACACUCUGUGUUAUCAAAUUUUUUAAUUACUUUUACUUAUUAGAUUGUACUAUUAAACCAACCACUCACUCAAUUCUAGAAGAUUACACACAUCGAUAAUUUAAUAGCACUAAUAGCAUUCUAGUCGAGUUUUAUAAAAGCAGUAUUUCAUUUACGUCUUAAAAUAAAUAUAAAUUUUACGCCUUAUUAUUUAAGGUUCCUUCCAUCACAGCAGUUUUAUUAUAUUUUUUUUUCUAAUAAAAAAAUUAAAUAAAUUUUUAGACAAGUGUACUCCAAUUUUUUUUUUAUAUAGACAGGUAAUAUUUUUUCUUUAGAUAAUUUUUUUUUUUUUAUUCUUGAUAUAUGAUAUUUUUACUUUAUUUAUUGCUUAUUUUUGGGUUGCUUAUGUUGGAUCGAAUAUGAAAUCUGCAAAGUAACGGUUAAAUAUUGUCAUAAGACAUAGGAUAGAAGUGUCUAAAGAUCGGAGAGAGAACGCAUCACGGAGUUGGAGUUGGAGUACCUGCACACCUCCGAAAUGCAUAAUAUUUUUAUUCUUUAAUUAAAUUUUUUAAAUUUUUUAAUAUUCUUAAUUCAAACUUUUUCAUCAGUUGAGUCAAAUUUUUUUUAGCAAUAGUACUCUUAUAUCUAAAAGUGGUCGUAUAUAUUACAUCCUCAUCAUCUAAGGGCCAACUCUUUUUGGGCUUCUUAAUUUUUUUACAUUUAUCUUAUCACUUCUUAUUUCUUUUAGUAUCAAAUUUUUAAAAAUUUGUGUAAAUCUUGAAUGGUGAGAGUAUAAGAUAUGCACCAGAAAGUUUAAUGAACAAGUAGCAUUUCUUUUUUCUAAAAAAAGUUUAAUGACUUUAUUAGUUAAUAGUAGUUGAAUAUUCUAAUUUUAUUUACUCGAAAGUGAUCAAAACAAUUAAAUCUGAUAAAAUUAUUCACAAAUUUGAUUAAAAAUUCUCAAUUUUGAAAAAUCUAAUGUGCUAAAUUUUGAAAAACCAAAUAUUUUGAGGGAAUAUCAAUUUAAAAGAUUAAAGUUGAAGGAAUGGCCUAUAGGUGUAUGACGGUGUUUACAUACGUUUUCAGCUCCAUAAUAUUCGGAUGCUUUCAAAUGCCAAAACUAGUGCGUAUGAUAUAGUAAUUUUCAAUUAAUUAGUUUGUGCACGAACUUUAAAAAUGUCAUAUAUAUUUAUCAGUACAUCUACAAUAUAACAUAAAAGUAUUUUUUGCUCGUAUGUAUAUAUAUAUAUUACAAUCAACUGCAUGUAAAGACAGUAGUUUGGGAGAUACAUAAUUUUACAUUAAAAAAAAUUUUAAAAAAAAAGCAUUUUGGAGAAACCAUUUUACCAAAUUAUGACCAUUUAAGUAAAUUAAGAAUAUUUUAAUUAUUCAUCAGAGAGUAGGUAUCAAAGGAAAUUAAGUUGGUGUUAUAGAUCUUUGACCAACGUGCCUUUCAUUUGUCUCGAUCCAAUGGCCAAAAAGCUAAAUUUUUUAGCUGGUUUUCCUGAUUUUAAUUCAUUACUUAGAUCCCAUAAUAUUUAACAGAAAAAUGUAAAUUCAGUUUUGCUUUGAAAAUAGGCCAACAAUGUGCUCAUUCUACUAGUUAUAUUAUCGCAUUUGGCUAUUCUUUCCAGCUAAUUAUGGUGCGACAACUCUCGGUUCCUCAUAAGUAGUUCCUAUAUGUUGUUAGCACAUCAACAGUAUAUCAGGAUAACAUUCUAAAGCAAUAGUAACACUCGAUUUUGGAAAUGAUACAUAACUUCCUUUCGAAUCACGCCUAUGUAGCUCAUAUUAGCAAAAGUGCAAGUUACAUCUAAGAUUUGGUGGGAUUUAGAUCAAGAUUUCGGCAUUCAGUUGCUUAUGUAAAUCUUGUUUAGAUUCCACAACUACACAUGCGUGCUAGGUUUAUUUUUUUCUGCAAAUAGCUGGCAAUGCGAUAAACUAAUAGCAAGUCAACAUAGAUUCACAUGAGACCUUAUUUAAUGCUUACCUAGAUUCACAUGAGAUGUAACCUUAUUUAAUGCUUAACUUUCAUUGUAGAUGCAACUUUUGAUAUGCAAAUACUAAAUCCUGCAAAAACAGUGUUCCUCUUUGGGGUGUAGGAUAAAUAUUUUCUGAAUAGAUGAGAUACAUUAAAUGUGAUUACAUUUUGUCAAGAAAUAGUAAACAAAUUGAACAAAUCCAUAGGCCACUAUCAACGUCAGCUCUCUUAAUAACUUUGUCCUUAAAAAAGGAGUGAAAUUGCAUGGACUACACAUUUUUCUACUAUAUUUUCUUAAUGUUUUUAUAUAAGUUCUCUGAUUUUUUAUAUGUCACCAAUGUGUGAUUUAUUUCUUAUUAAACUCCUGAGGAACGACCAUUACAGUGAGAAACUUUUCCAGUUUGACCAAAUAAAAUAUUUUACUUUAAAAGAGUUACAUUGCAUUAUUUGAACUUCUGAUAAAGUAUCAUUGAGGCUACCUACUUCAGUUUACUGUAACUAAGGUGCAAACCUUGAAUCCUUGUUUUAAUUAGGUUCAUUUUUCAAACUCUAUUUUUUGAACUCCAUUUGAUUUCACAUGAAGGGAUGAUGUAACAGUUGAUUCAAUUGCCAAAGAGUUAAUUAACUAUCCAGUCAUUAAGCUAUUUUAAGAUUAUCACAAUUCAACAAUUAUAUCAUCUCUAGCAUGUAAUUUGGCAGCUAGUAGCUAAUUCAGCAAGCAAGUUGUCUCCAAGAGAUGAACCAGAAGCCACUGUGUCUCUAUACAAGAUGAUGUAUUAACUGAUUCAAUUCUGAAACCAUCCUUUUGUUUCAGCACUUGAAGAAUUAAAGGAAACCAAACUUUGCAUUCUAUUUUAAGACUUUAGUAUUCUCUUUUGCAAAGUGAUGAACAGCUAAGAUUGACCCUACAGAUUUAGCUUAACUGUGUAUAUCUAAGUAAUGGUGCUGUUACAAAGGUGGCGAGCUGGGGUGCGUAUCUGCUGUCACGGAAGGUGCUGACAAUGUCGUUUGCGCCCAAGGACACACACGAGGCACAGGUGCAGUUCGCCCUAGAGCGAGGCGUACCCGCCAUGCUCGGUAUCCUCGCCACCAAGCGGCUCCCUUACCCCGCCUGAGCCUUCGACAUGGCCCACUGCUCCCGUUGCCUCAUUCCCUGGCACCUCUACGGUACUACUGCUACUAUUGUCUCUCUUUGAAAUAACCAUUUGUCUCUCGAAACUGGUCACAUCUGGUCUCGGGAUACUUUGAUAAGCACAAUAUAUGGACAUGAAUUAAAUGGGAGGAAAUUGAAUGAGAAUUUGUCGUGUUUUUAAUGUUUAAUAUUCAACUCUCUCCUUUUUCGUUAAGAUCUCCUUUAUAUCUUCGUGUAAGUCCUUCUUGUACGGAUAGUUUCUUAUUAUAGAACUGGCAAAAGUCCAAUCAAAAUAGUCUAAUGGGCUUAGCUAAGGGGAGAGAUUUACCACUCCUUAAAUAGAAAGAAAAGUAAAUUGUGACGCCAAUUGUCAUAAGGAUAUCAAAUCGCGGUGAAUAGAGUAAAUGACCAGUCCGUGGUUGGAACUUCAAUCUUUAAUUUCUUAGUAGAGCACUUCUCUGAAUCAAACUUGAAAAAAUAUUUUUGUCUUGCAAUGGAAACUUAUUAAUAAUAUGAUUUUCUUAAGUAACCAGUACUACUGGAAUAGUUGGUUGGUAUCCUCCUCUUCAGGCAAUAGGUUCUGAGUUCAAAUACCUCAUGCUUGAGAAGAGUGUGUGCAUGUAGCUAUAAGCAUUCUUUAAAAAAUAAAAUAAAAAUGAAUAAAUCAUCUUUUCUGUUUUAAGUUUUACAGUGUUCUUGAUUGAACCUGCCUACUUAGUAUGUCACAAUACAAAAAGACUUUCUUUGUUGCAGCAAUUAAAGAAAUAAAGAUUCAAAAUGAAGAUUUUGCUUUUCUGACAUAAUGACUGCAUGCUACUAUGUAUGCUGCAAGCACAGACGGGCAGUACAUUAUCGAGAUCGACCGGAUUCUGCGUCCGGGCGGCUACUGGAUCCUGUCGGGGCCGCCAAUCAACUGGAAGCGGCAUCUCAAGGGGUGGAAGAGGCCAGCAGAGGAGCUGAGCGCAGAGCAGGCGGCCAUCGAGGCGACUGCACGGAACCUAUGCUGGACAAAGCUGGUGGAGAGGGGGGACAUUGCAAUCUGGCAGAAGCCCAUCAACCAUUUCAGCUGCAAAGCCAACAGAGAGGGCCUUGCAAGUUCCCUCCAAUUCUGUUCUAAUCAAGACCCAGAUGCUGCUUGGUAUGUUUUCAAGUUUGGUCUGCAUAACAACUAAAUUCUCUUACUCUAUUGAUUUGAAAAAGUUGCCAUGUUAGCACCGUCAUUAGAAUUAACGUUGCUAGAAUUGAAACUCCGACGAUGUAGUAGACAUUGGGGCAAAAUUAAGAAUUAAUUAUAGAAUUAAGGCUUUAUUUUAGAGUGACAUUGAGAAUGUAAGUCAACUUUACAUACAGAUAUACAUAUACUAUCAAAAAAAGAAAAAGAAUAGGGAUGUGCUCUGAUAUUUUUCUUUGUUUAACUCCUUUGUUGUUUCUAGUGCACUUCUAGAUCGUAAUAAUGGAAAUUCAACUUUAGAUUAUGUCUUACAUGGAAAAUAAAUGUCCUUCCAAUUGUACUAGCAGAAAAAGGUACGAAAUUACAUUACUGACAAAUAUUUUUUAAACAAUUUUGCUCAUUAAGGUACACAAAGAUGGAUACUUGCAUCACUCCCCUACCUGAGGUGGCCGCACCUGGAGAGGUUGCUGGAGGAGAGCUGAAGAGAUGGCCAGAGAGACUGACGGCAUUGCCGCCGAGGAUAAGCAGCGGAACUUUAGAAGGCAUCACACCAGAAGUCUUCUUCAAAGAUUCCGAGCUGUGGCGGAAAAGAGUUGAACACUACAAGGCGAAUAGCCGCCAGUUGGCAGAGCCAAGACGGUACCGGAAUCUGCUUGACAUGAACUCCGGCCUUGGUGGGUUCGCAGCAGCCCUCGUUGACGAUCCGGUGUGGGUCAUGAACAUCGUCCCAACAGUCGCAAAGGUUAACACUCUCGGGGUGAUCUACGAGCGGGGGCUCAUCGGAACUUACCAAGAUUGGUGAGUCUUAGCAGUCUCAAGAUCUUAUAGGCAUAUAGUGAUAACUUUUUCACUGUAAAAUGUAUAUAUUGAUAUAUUGGUUUUGAUUGAUGUGAUAAUUUAAAGAGUUUUCAACUUGUAGAUGGUGAGUGUUUAAUUGUUGCAUUGCAGGUGUGAGGCCAUGUCAACAUAUCCCAGGACAUAUGAUCUACUUCAUGCCGAUUCUCUGUUCAGCCUCUACAAAGACAGGUACUGUAUAUUGUCCUUGCUUUCUCAUUCUUUUCUUUUAUUAUUAUUAUUAUCAUUAUUAUUAUUUUUACUUCCAUGUGCUUCAUUGAUCCGAAGUGCUUUUCUAUUCUAGAAGUAUUUAUCAAUAGUUUUCAUUUGCUCUUUUUAAGAGUGAGAGAAAGCUAAUGACUGGGGGAUUGGCAGAUACCUAUCUACACAUUAUAAUUUGUAACCAAAUUUAAAGAAAAAAAUAAAAACAGGAGAUAAGGUCCACUAAACUGCUUCCGCAAAAAGUCGAUUCGAUAAGGAAUUUAGCUCUUAAAAAAUGAUUAUAAUUGGUAUAGGUUUUUUGAAAUGCACUUUUUAAACAACUCCAACUAGCUAAACAUUACAAUAAAGUGCCUAAAUAGCAUGACUUAGAUAAGCAGAAUGUGUGGCUUACGAAGCGAAAAAUUUAUUGAGCUUACCGUCACCGUGGAAAGUCAGAAAGAGCUUUUGGACCCAAAAGAGAAAAACCUCAGAUUCCAAUAAAACUUUGGUUUUAGCUCCUCAGCAAAGAAGCUCUAGUCAGGCCAAAGAGGCACUAAACCUUUAGUCUUCAUGUAGGUAUCUAUGCUAACAUGCUACAUAUGGAACAAUUUGUUUGUCAGAUGUGAGAUGGAGGAUAUCCUGCUAGAGAUGGAUAGGAUUCUAAGACCGGAAGGCACGGUGAUCAUCCGCGACGACAUCGACGUUCUGGUGAAGAUUAAGGGCGUCACUGAUGGCAUGAGAUGGAAUAGCCGGAUUGUCGACCACGAAGACGGGCCGUUCCAACGGGAGAAGCUUCUCGUUGCCAUGAAGGCCUACUGGACAGCCUGAGGCAAAUGUCCUUAGGAAAAGAAAGAAGAAGAUAAAUUAGAAAGCAGUGGAAAGAGCAUACAGUUGUCAUAUUCAUUCAAGGGAUCUCUUAUAGUAGUGUACAUUAAUUGUUUCAUUGGUGUACAAUUCUUUCACUCAUUAUAUUUGUUGUGUAAAAGAAGAGAGAAAGAUUGGUUUUGUGGGCUAUAUAUGUUGAACAGAUUUUGUAGAUUCCUUUUUGUAACUAUUUUGUACUUGGUACAGUAAUGAAUCUGCACCACUUGAAUUGUUAUUUUACAUACAUACAUAUAAUAAAUAUAUAUAGAGAGAGAGUUGGGUUAUACUAUUUAAUCCAAUGAUUAGAAAUAAUUCAAAGGAAUUAAUCUAAAGGCUAAAAACUUGAUAGGAAAAAAGGGCAAAUACUAUUAAUCGUAUUCUAGCCCAACUCUAUAUAUAUAUAUAUAUAUAUAUAUAUAUAUAUAUAUAGAGUCCGGCUAUGGUGCUUGUAAAAGCACUAAGUACUUGGUGCUUAUAAAUUUUUUACCGUUAAAUCUACUUCUUUGAUCAUUUUCACCUAUUAGAUCAUACUAUUCAAUCAACCAGGCACUCAACCUUAGAGGUCUCCCAUCAUCCUAACCGCAAAUUUCUUAAUCCAAUGGCCAAAAAUUUACAUGCACCAAUAACUUGGUACUUUCGAAAGCAUAGGAGCCUAGCUCUAGGAUUGAGUGGAUGAUUGGUUGAAUAGUAUAAUGUAACGGAUGGAAAUGAUCAAAGAGGUAGAUCUAACAGUAAAAAAUUGACAAGCACCAAGUACUUGAUGCUUUUACAAGCACCAUAGCCGGACUCUGUAGAAUUAGGCUCCUGUGCUUUCGAAAGUACAGAGGCCUCCGUGUGCUUGUAAGUUGUUUUCGAUGCUGCAACAUCCAAUUCAGCGAUCGGUUUCGUUAGACAUGAUCUACACUAUUGAAACUAUCUAGAAAUCAAAUUUCAUAAUUUUUUGACUUUGUUUGCCUAAUGAACGAAUAAUCUCAAAAUGAACGGCUGAAAAUAAAAAUUUCAUAAAAAAUAGUGAUAAAAAACUGAAAUUUCAAAUCGGAAGAAUCGUGCCACAUCAACCGUUAAAAUAGUAUUUUUGAGACCAUGUGAUCGCUUGGUAAAUGAAGUCGAAAAAUUAUGAAAUUUGGUUUCUCGAUAGUUUCAAUAACGUAAAUUUUGCCUAAUCGAGACAAUCUUUCAAUUGAAUGUACUAUCAUCAAAAACAACUUAGAAACACAAAAACCUCUUCGAAAGUACGAGAGACGUAUUCUAUAUAUAUAUAUAUAUAUAUAUAUAUAUAUAUAUAUAAUUAUGCUACUGUACUAUCAAUAGUACCAAGCCCUUGGUACUAUUGAGUUUUCGGUCGUUGGAUGAAAGGAUAUGCGGUUAGGAUGAUAGUGGUCCCCGGUUAAAUUGAUAGUGGUCCCCUAGGGUUGAGUGGGUGGUUGGUUUAAUAGUAUAAUCUAACGGGUGGAAAUGAUCAAAGAGUAGAUCUAACGGUAGAAAACUCAAUAGUACCAAGGGCUUGGUACUAUCGAUAGUAUAGUAGCCGGACUCUAUAUAUAUAUAUAUAUAUAGAGUCCGGCUACUAUACUCUUAUGAGUACAUAUAUAUAUAUAUACAAUCCGGCUACUACACUCUUAUGAGUACGAUCGACUUCGUACUCAUAAGUUGUUUUUGAUGAUAGAGCUUACAAAUCGACGAUCCACACCGUUAAAUAUUUUCUAGAGCAUUUAAAACGUCUAGAAAAUAAAUUUUAUAAUUUUUCAAUAUUAUUUACCUUAUGAUCAAAAUGUUACAAAAUUGAUAAUUUUUAACGGCCGGUAUGGGAUAUUUGUUAGUUUAACGGUGUAAAAAAAUCGAAAUCGGUUGAAUUUUUGACAGAAAAUUCGAUUCACUACAUAGAUAAAGAUCAAUAACUCCGAUCUUAAAUUGAAGGAUCCGAUCAUCCAUUUUUAAGACGUUGUUCGAUUUUGACCGUUCAUUUUAUACCCGUUUGAUGAACUUUAUUAUGAUUUCGAAAAAUUACGAAAUUUAUUUUCUAAAAGUUUUAAAUGCUCUAAAUAAUAUUUAACGAAGUGGAUCGUCGAUUCGGAAGCUCUAUUAUCGAAAAUAAUUUAGAGUACGAAGGCUCCUAUAGUCAUAAGAGUAUAGUAGCCCUUCGUACUCUUAGAGUAGGGCUACUAUACUCUUAUGAGUUUUGAGCCCUUCGUACUCAUAAGUUGUUUUCGAUGAUAGCGCUUUUGAAUCGACAAUCCACUCCGUUAAAUAUGAUCUAAAGUAUUUGAAACUUCUAAAAAAUAAAUUUCGUAAUUUUUUGAAAUAAUAAUAAAGUCCAUCAAACGGACAUAAAAUGAACGGUCAAAAUCGAACGACGUCCUAAAAAUGGAUGAUCGGAUUCUUCAAUUUAAGAUCGGAGUUAUUGAUCUUUAUCGAGGUACUGAAUAAAAUUUUCUAUCAAAAAUUCAACCUAUUCCAAUUCUUUUACACCAUUAAACUAGCAAGUAUCCCAUACCGACCGUUAAAAAUUGUCAAUUUGUGAGCUUUUAAUCGUAAAAUAAAUAAUGUCGAAAAAUUAUGAAAUUUAAUUUCUAAAAAUUUUAAAUGCUCUAAAUAAUAUUUAACGAUAUGGAUCGUCGAUUCGGAAGCUCUAUCAUCAAAAACAACUUAUGAGUACGAGGACGAUCGUACUCAUAGUAACGGGACUCUAUUUAUAUAUAUAUAUAUAUAUAUAUAUAUAUAUAUAUAUAUGCUACAUCCGCAAACCAUGAAAAGUUUGAUAAAAUUAUAGAAAGGCCAACGGGGCACUCAAAAUUUGCACUUCUCAAUCACAACUGAUACAAUAUAUGAAACCUGACUCAUCAACUAUUCUUUCAUCAACUAUAUUUUAAUUGUAGGUUAUCACUACCAUUACUCUUUAAGCUACUGGAAGUAAGCAUCAAAUAUUUCGCAUGGAAACUAACAGAACAUGUACAAAAGAGUCUCCCACAUUAAUAGACAGCAUUAAUCAAAAAAAAAAAAAAGAAAAAAAAGGAAAGACCAACCAACCAAUCUUUCUCUCGCAAAGGAUCCAGAGUAUAAAAUUACAUCAGCCAACUAUAUAGAACAAGAAUACAUUGGAAGUCGGAAGGAGGGACAAAGAAACAACGGCGUGAUAUACAAAACAAACGGCGAGUCAUCCGAACAAUGCAGGGCGGCCACAACUCUUCUUGCACUUCUUCAAGAAGCGAAGCUCACUAGUUUUACAUCAUCGUCUCUCCAAGUAGCAAGUGUUGAGACCAUAUACAUCACUAGCAAACUCUAUAAUUCCACGACAAAAUAAGAUCAACUUCGACGGAAUUCGAGCUUACAGUCAAAGCACAAAUUCAUCAGUUCGAAAGCUGAAACCUUCCGGUUGGCUUUCUCUUUCUCCAUCCCUAAACACAACAAAAUGACAAAAAAACUGAUAUUUCCUGGAUUCCAAAUGGUAGAUUGAAGUAACUGACAGGACAGGACUUACAAAUAGUGCAUAGUAGACGAGCGUGAUCACUGCCAGGCCAACAAAUACAUACUGGAAGACGUUAUACCUGCGAAAAUGAUAGAUGCAAAGCCCGAGUCAUUUGAAAGUAAACAAGAAACUUUUUUUUUAAAUGUGAGAGAGAGAGAGAGAGAGAGAGAUAAGAGUAAUUUUCUAUUUUUGCGGCAUUUGAGUGAGUACUUGGAAGCCAUUAGAGAGAGAAGGAAAAAAUAUAUAUAGCUAAAGACUCACUUGUACAGAUACUUGAUUCCACGCAAAGAUUGCAGUGUGUGGCCGAAAAUCUCUUGAGCAGCAGUUGCUUGCGCAUAGUAACCAAAAGCUGUGGCGCAGAACUGAAUCACACUGCAAAGUUUCAAAUUUAAAAAUAGCAACAAAAGAGGAAAAUUUAGAAGAUCUGUUAAAGGCAGUAUAUUGGACAAAACUGAUAAAAUGCUGGAAAUCGUUCCACAGUAAUUUGUUGAAAAUGAAAUCUCGUUGUAUUUUAAAUAGCUGUUGUUUUAAGUCAACACUGAAAUUUGCCAACCUCCAAUUAGAUUACAGUAUAGCAUGAUGAAUAGAAGGCAUCACAUAGAGGUGGCACCAAAAAAAAAAAAAAAAAAAAAAAAAAAACUAAAAACAGAAGAGCACUUUAUGUAGAGACCUGAUUGAGCAAAGUAGAAUAAGCCCAACAUUAAAUAGAAAAGAGUUCAUGAGAGUCGCUCCCCAUCUGAAACAAGCAGACUUAGUCGUUAGGAACGAAAAAAAAAAUGAUAACAUUGUUCAUUGUUUCAGCAAGUCACAACUAAUUACUUCAUUGGGUGGAUGGUAAUGAAGACUAAUUUGAGACCAAGCAUCAUUUCCCCUGCAAUCACUGCGAGCAAUAGAUAGAAGCAGAAAAACGCAAAUGCUGCAGUACCAAGCAGACCUAGUUCAAACCAACCAAGACAGGUUAGAGGUUACUGAAAAUGAAAAAUAAGGUAAAAAUGUACAUAACUUGCCUGAAUUAUGGACCAUUUUGUGUCGGCAACCCAACAUUUUAAAAUUUUGAUUUUACUAUCCAAUCUUUCAAUUUAUUUGAUUUGAGUCACUCAAUGGCACUUUGACUUCAAAAUUUGAAUCGCCAUUUAUCUUUACAGGUUUAGUUACUAUACUUCAUGCAAUUCUCGCAAUUAUAAAUUUAUUAAAGUUCAAGUAAGUUCUGUACGAUUUUGCCAAAAAAUAAAAUGAGAAUUGUAGCAAGGUCAAGUGCUCAGAAUGGAAUACCCCAAACACUAUCCAGUUUGACGAAGACCUCAUUCAAGAAAGGCGAAAGAGGAGGGUCAAUCAAUAAGUAUAUGACAAUAUGCGCAACCCAGGCUACGGAGACAACCAACCUGGAAAGGUAAGUGCACUAAUCAAAAGAUCUGGGCUAAAACAUAAUUGACAAAAGAAAAACAUAAUUGACAAAAGAAUAUAGAGGCUUUUUCAUAUAUAAAAUUACCCCUUACAGAGGAAAUUUCAAACGUGGGCACUUCAGAAGUUAUAAAAUAUCACGAAUACUCCUUCAAUAUUGUCAAUAUUAUUUCUACCACAAAAAAUUAAUGAAUUAUAUCAAAAAUACACUUCAUCACCUUAACUAGGAGUUUUGGACUAAUUUGCCCCUAGUUAUACCCAAUUAUAAAUAAUUGUGUGGGAUUAUGUGGGGCUAAUAAGUUUAUUUCUCAUCCAAAAAUGACUUGAUUUGUGUUUAUGUUUUAAUUUGUAAAUGUUUUCUUUGAUCUACUUAAGUUUUUUUUUUAAUUCAAUAUGGGUCUCCCUGUUGAUCUUAGUGAACAAUUAAACUAAAGAUAUAUUAUACUUUUUUGUGAAUCUAUUUUCUACUUCGUCUAAAUCAGUAUGAUUCUUUGUUUACUAUUAGUGUAGUUUAGUUUCUUCCAAAUUAAUAAGUUUCAAUAGUAUACAUUCAGGUGUAUUUAUAAUGUUUUCAAGCAAAAGAUCUUGAAAUUAAUUAAAAAGGCAUAGAUACUAGAUGGUGGCAAAAUGAGAAUUUUAUUUAUUUUUCUGAUGGAUUUAUCAGUAUAGGUAUUUAUGAUAGUUUCUCUAAAUUAAAGGGGUAUUCAUGAUACUGACACUUUUAGAGGAGUUUGUAUAUAAUUAAGGAUAGGAUGAAGGGUAUAUACGAAAAUGAAAUUAUCCCUUAAAUGUAAUAUGACCCAUGAUAAGUACAAAACAGUAAGAAGCACAAAACAGAAAUUGCACAAGUAUGAAGCAUACCCAAUAAUACCCAAUAUGAACUUCCCUAUGUAUCCAAGGACGGUAAACGCCCAAGUAGUCUCAGCCUGUAAAAAAAUUAAUGAAGGAAAGACAUUAACAAAAGAAAAAUUAAAGGCAAAUAUCUGAUAGAAAGUCUGUAUAUUGUAUUUACCUGCUCUCCCUGAGGAUACAUUUCCUCCAAAGCCUUCAUAUCAUCUUCCAGGAGUAGUAAUUCCUAGAAAUUGAAUUACAAAUAAAAAGAUACUUUAUAACAUAGAUUAGGACAAAUAAAUGUAAUAUUGUUCUGGUAAAAGAAAUAGAGAAUUUAAGAAUCAUCAUUGUAAUCGACACACAAGUUCCUCAAAGCAGGAAAUAUAGCCAUCAUAACACUAAGAGUGCGUUUGGUUCGCACUACCAUUUUAAGAUUCCUAGUAAUCCAAUAGGAAUAAAAAAAUAUGACGGUGUUUGGUUAAACGCACUAAGUAAUCUAGUUGGUAAUACUGGAUUUACUUGGGAAUGAGAUGCAUCCCAAAGUACUAAUCUCAUUCCUUUGAGGGAAGGUGGGUAUCCUUAAAUUAAUGAAUUUGAGUAAUUAUAGUAUGUCUAAUCUCUUUUUUUCUUUCCACCCGCUGGCUAGUUGGUAUUAUUUUUCUUUACACUCUAACCUCAUAUAUUUCUCUAAACUUAUCUUUUUCUUUCUAAACUUCAACUAUUUUUCUAUCUCUAAAUUAAGCUAUUUCUCCCCCCCCUUUUUCUAAAAUCUCAAUCCUCUCAUUCUCUCUAACCUCGACUCUAUUUCUCUUUUUAUUUUUUUAAUUAUGCUCUCUCUUUCUAACCUAUAUUCUCUCUUUUUUUAAAAAAAAAAGAUGUUGAAAUUUUUUAUAGUAUUAUUUAAAAUUAAAUUAAUUAAUUAAUUAAUUAAUUGUAUAUUUUUCGUAAUUUUAAAUAACAUGACUAAAUAAUAUGAUCGUACGAACCAAACAUCGAAAUAGUACAUUCUUAGUAAUAAGAUGAAUAGAAAUAAGAUUCUCAGAAAUCUUUUUACUCCUAAUAAUCUUUCAUAGUGCGAAACAAACGCGCCCUAAUGGAUAUUAAGAUGGGUUUCCUAUAUCAUGAGACUCCAGUGUUAGUGGAAAUUACGGAUCAUCUAAGGGCCCGUUUGUUUUGGUGUAAGUGGAGUGAUGGAACUCAAGUUCCAUCAGUUCCGUUAUUUGUUUUAAUGUAAGUGAAAAAUAUAAUGUAACUCAAGUUACGUUAGAGCUCCACUUCACCUACUCUCGACUUCCUCCUCUAAAGUGCCGAACUCGACUUUCACUACACUCAACCUCCUCUAAAAAAUUUAUUAAACAGUAAAACCUAAACUCUACUUCCUUUAUAAUGGGUUAGAAUUACCUUAUUUAUAAUAAAUUAUUAUUAUCUUUAAAUAAUAAUAAAAAAAUUAAUUAUAUAAUAGAUUAAAUUUUAUAGUGGUAAAUUUACUACUAUAUUUAGGAGAUAAUGAGAUCCACUUACUUACAUCAAAACAAACAACGGAACUCAAAAAACUAAUUUUACCAGCACCAAGUUACAUCAAAACAAACAACAGAAGUGAUUGAAUUUAACUUUCAGGCGGUACGAGUUACAUCAAAACAAAUAAAAAAAAAAAUAAUCACACUUCAGGGAAACUCAAACACCACUACACUUGACUUACGUUGAAUCUACAAAUACGUCAAUCCAAACGCCCCCUAAGUGGAGCUCGAACUGAAUGGCCCGAAAGUGUACCAUCACUAACAUGUUCAACUAGUAAUUUGAUAAAUAAUCACUCAGCAAAGUCAUUUUAGGUGCUCUAAAAUAUUUCCCUAUAUUAUCCAAUGGAAGACAUUGAAACACAGUACGUCAUCAAACUGUUUAUGAUACCUGCAAUUUCUCCAGCUUACAUUUGUAUGAAUCAAUGACAUAGGAACCAAAUUGCUCAGACAAUAACAGUUUUAUAUUUUUACUUUUGUACACCAAAAAGUGCAAACGUAGAUCUGAAAUUCUGAGCUAGCUGCGAAAUGGUAACUUACACAUCAUGUAUACCAACUAAAUGGAUAUAAAAUUGUUCUAAACCGGGUAAAUCGGUGUAUCUAUAUUUCCGAAAUCUUUAUAAGCGCAGUACAGAGCUUCCCUCCAUUUCCAUCUGUUGUAACAAAGUGAGUUCAAUUCAAGAUUAUAUUUUGCCGGCUGGGGGGCAAGUUGAGUCAGGUUAUGGGUCCCUAAGGCAGAUAAUCAUGUGCAACCUAGCCAGGUACUUAAACUAGGAUAGACUAGGCUAGUCUAACUGAUCAACUCAUCAAUCCGUUUAGGGAUAAACUUACGUUUCGAAAAUGCCAGAUCAUAGCACAAAUAAUAAUAUAUGUAAAGUAAUCCAAAAAAAUUUAUAAUAAUCAAAUCAUAUUGAAGUGACAAAAGUACAAACUAACUAUGAUGAUUAGACAUCUAGCAAGGAAAUGUUCACUGGUUCACUCACAGGAAAUAAAUCCUCAUAACGUAACAGAAGAAAAAGGGGAGAUAUUGAUUGAGAAAGCAACAGAGAGAGAACAGAGAAAGAAUACUAGAAUACCUUUUCAACAGCCUUCACGUUUUUGCGCCAUUUUCUGCCUUUGUUACCAUUCCUCUCUUCUUGGUGAAGGGCUUCAGCAGCUUUUUUCAAUUCUUUAGCUUUCUUUCCCAGUUCAGUCGCCUCCUGUCAGAUACAAAUGCAAAUAUUUAGUAUUCAUGUAUACAAUUUGUUUAGUGAAGUGAAUGAAAUUUCAAAAUGCAAAUGCAAGAAAGUGAAAGCAGUCAAGUGUGUUUCACAUAAAACAUACCUUUAUGUACUGUGAGCGAGUAAUUACUGCCUUGGGGCGCCGGAUAAAUGAAAAGAUAAGUCCCAACGGUAGGCAAGCAAUCCCAACACCUCCAAAUAUCUAUCAUACGAAUAAAAAGAACUCCCUUGUAAAUGCCAGAAAAAUAACAAACGUAGAAGAAGAGAAAUACAAGUAUGACUGUCCAGUGUCCACCACUAAUGCAAAAAUGGAUGCAAAAAAGAUAAUACUAUAACAUUACUAUCAACUUUCAUCUCUAGCUUAACAAGUCAGUAGAACUCUAAAAAAUAUAUAUAUAUGCAAAUUCAAAUGUCAGGGCACAUGCCAUUGCAUUCAUUUCCCAUAGGUGCGCUCUAUAACAGCACAGUACAACUUCAGCAGCAUAGUGAACUCACUAUCUACAACAUUCCCAUUCUAAAUAACAAGUGCAACUACAACAACAUAGUCAGAUGAAGAGAAAGUAAAAUUUAUGUAGCAUAACCCUAGACUUCAGUUUAACAUCCAGGUGGAAGAGAAAGCAAAUAAUAACAGAUUUUUUUAAAAAAAAUGUCAAGAUAAGGCGCACACCGAAAAUAGCACGGAUCCGACAAUCGUAGCAAGAGCAACCACAUAUUCUGGGAAGGUAGCCCGCAUUGUCCAUGUUGUUUGAGAAGAAGCACUUGCAGUAAAUGCAGAACACUGGAGGAAACAAGCCAUCAUCAGGAAAACAGAGAGAAAGAAUUACAAAAGUACUAGAUUUCAAAAAAUAAUGUGCAGAGUAACAUAUCAUGAUGUAAGAAUAAAACAGUCAGUGAGUAGUUUCAUAAGGUUAAUUAAAAUUAUAGACCUCCAAUAGAGAAUCAAGUAGAAAAAGAGAAUCAAAUAUUAACCAUUCGAGAAAGCGAGUACAGUAAAACUGGUGAAUCAAAAGACUGAUAAGGAUAGAAGAUUCGAGGCAAGAGCAUUAAGACGACGAUGGACCUGACGAGUCAAGGGACUGAUACAAGGUUGACCGCUUGAGAAUCCCGACCAUGAACUUGGAAAGCUUUCCACGGAUGAUGAGAGGUGCCUAACUGUGAAAUCCACUUUACCAACAAGUCCUGGCACACCCAAAAGAAAAGCUAAGUCGGUUGCACACAUAGCAGUUCAAAAGUUUAGAUUCUUUUCUGUGGAGAAAAUAGAAACUUCUACAAGCAGUUUCUAUAAGCAGUUUGUAUUGUCGUUACACGUCUAUGCCCUAAUCCCUACGCAGUUAAAUACCAGAGUUAAAAGCUGCAUAACUUUUAGCGGCGACAGGCUCAAAGGCUUUUUCUUUUUUCUUUUCUUUUUUCUUUUUUUUUUUUUUUUUACAAUAGAAAAUAGUCAUUUCUUACUAUGGCAAAGAAAAGGUAAAACAUUGUGCCUCGAACAACGUCUAUUAUCAUUUGCCAGGAGAUUUAAAAAAAAAAAAAAAAGGUUACUUGAAUUGAGUUAGUUCUUUAAGCAACUCCCGUCUAACUCAUCGCAGGCUUUUGAUCAUAACAUUGUGAAAACAAGUGGAACUACGUUUUGAAAAAUAAAACAUGUCGACAGCCUCUGUUCCUUAAUUCUCAUAUAGUUAUGAAAGGGUUGCAUAUACUCUACGUCGCUACAUGCAUUCCACCAGCAGGAUCCAAUCACAACUCCUAGAAAAAGAAAUCGUGCGGGAGAGGUUGAGAUACCAACCGUAGAGAAUUCCGAGGCAGAGGCCGCAUACGACAGCCGACAUAAUCACCCAACACAGCGCGCUCCUCAGCCUCUUCGCUAUACUCCUGCCCAGUACGAGACCGGAUCAAGAUUCCAUUAUCAAUUUAGGGAUUAAAAUAAAUUGUGAUUAGAUGAGAUGGGAAGGGAGGGAGGCGGACUUGUCCUGGUCGCCCUCGUAGUAGAACAUGGCGAAGGGGAUGACGAAGAAGACGAGGACGGCGUCGGCGAUGUAGACGGCAAGCCAGAGGGUCUUCAUGGGGAGGGUGAGGCUGCAGGCGCCGUUGUAGAGGGCGUGGCGGCAGGCCUGGCGGUUGGCGACGUCGGCGGGGAGCAUCAGGAUGGAGACGGCGGCGACCGAGAGGCCGAGAACGACCACCAGCUUGGGGAAGUAGGCCUGGUUGGCGUCGUCCGGGUGCUGAUAGUUCACCAGAAGGUAGACGCUCACCGCCAGCACCAGCACCGGCACCACCGCCGCCAGCACCACCAGGACCACGCUGAAAUCCCCCAUCCUCCUCCUCCUCCUCCCCGGAUCCUUUCAGAUGGGGCGGAUCUGGGAAUGUGGGGGUGGGAUUUGCCCUAGGUUUUCUUGGAUUUGGGAAUAAUUACCCCCGGGGGGGAGGAAAAGGGCAGGUUGACGAAGGGGAAGAGGUUGGGUGGGGGAAUGUGGGAACAGGGAAGGCUAGGCUAGGCUGGCACCCCGUUGGGGUCGAUCGAUUUCUCAAAUCAGGUUGUUUUUUAAUUUUGGGAAAACUUUUAAAAAAACCCCUGUGGUUUCAUAUUUUUUUAAUUUCCCCCCUGUGAUUUAAAAGGUAUCAAAUUGCCCCUAUGUGGUUUUGUUUUUAUCUUUUGGAUAGCUUUUUCGUUAAUAUUUUAUUAAAUUAUAUACAAAAAACUUCAGAUACCCAUCUAGAUUUAUCAAAUAUUCACUUUAGCACCCUUUAAUUUUAACUUUAUCACUGAUUUAAGGAAAAAAAAAUAAUGAAAUUGAUAUGAAAAAGAGAAAAAGGAAACCACAGGGGGGCAAGUUGAUACAUUUUAAACCACAGGAGGGCAAAGUGAAAAACUACGAAACCACAGAGGGGGUUUUUGAAGUUUUUCCUUUAAUUUUUAAUAGGUUGGAGGAAUUGUUUAGGGGAGAAUUUGGACCGAUUAUUAGGAUUUAAAAUUGGACCAAAUUUGGGCCGAGUCAGAUUAGGGCCCGAUUUCGUUUUGAGUUAAAAAUUUUUAGGUUGAGCAGCCCAAUCGGAGUAAGGGGGUAAAUGAGAGUUUUGUUUGGGUGGGUGCAGUUGAGAGUGAAAUUUACGGAGAUUGAAAAUCUCACGCAAAGAGCGCUUUGUGAAAGUCAAAAAUUCUACUUAUAUAACGCUUAAGAAUGUGAGAAAUAGACAUGAGCUGUAAUACAGCGGAGAAUGGCAACUUGACUUAGUAACGUACAGGAAAUUGAAUUUUUGCAAGUGCCACUAGCUCAUCAUCUCCGCCGUGCUUUUCGUCAUCGUCGUCGUUAUCGUCCUCCUCCUCCUCCAAAGAAUUCAAUUACAGUUUACUUGGGUUAAAAGAAAAGGACGUUGCACAAAAUGAUGCAAGGAAGCGAGAAGUGCUCCAGUGUGUAAGUUUGAUAUGGGAACUUCAUAAACAAAGAGGAAAAUAAUGUUUAGGGCCUGUUUGGAUAGGCCUUGAAAACUUUGUAUUGAGCUAAUUCCAAAGUUUUUUUUUUAGUGAAUUUUUUUACAGAGUUGGGUACUUGAAUAGAUUUUAUAAAAUUUUACAUUAUACUAUAAAGUCCAUAAAGCUCUAUAAUAAUGGAAAAAAAAUAAAAAUUAUUCGAACUUCUAGAAAAAAGUUCUAAAAGUCUUUGGGCUCGCACUCAAGCUUGCACGGAUCCGCUUUACCUUAUUUCGUUCUUCACGUCCAAAUGCCCUGACCUCCUUCUUUUCCACCUAACUCCAUCUAAGUGGUCGAUGACCUCCACUCCCUCCUCUUCUCCACCUUCGCCUCCCUCCCCUCCUCUCUCGACUCCUACCUCGCCGCCGACCUUUCCUCCGCCCUCUUCAUCACCAGCUCUCCCUCUCCCUUGACCCCGUCCCCCUCGCUAUCCUCUAUUUUUAUGCUCACCUAUGUCAUUCCUGCCAUCCUCACCUAUGCUAAGCACCGGAUCUCCAAGAAAUUAUCCAAUUGGAUUGCCAACAAUCCCACGAACCCGAGCAACACCGGCACCCAUACCACCACCGCCAACGCCGCCACAGCCUUGAUCAAUCUAUUCCAACUAUACCCUAUCAUCAUCACUCUUGAUCUCUCUCUAGUGGUAGUUGCUUCUAGAGAAAAGUUAGAAGAAGGAGAAAGAGAAAAGUGGGAAAUAUUAGAAAAGCAAUUAGUGACCAUUUAAUUAAGAAUAGAGCUACUAUGCUUCCGGAAGUAUAAGAAAGUUAGUGUUUCUAACUUUUUGGCUGUUGGAUCAACCAUUUUGACAAUUUCUGAUGUUUAGAUUAAUAUUAUUAUCCUACAGAGAUCACUCAACCCUAAGGGUACCGCUCAACUAUUAGGGGGACCACUAUCAUCCCAACCCUACAAUUCUUACUUCAAGGGCCAAAAAGUCGAAAACACUGACUUUCUUAUGCUUUCAAAAGUAUGGUAGCUCUACAUGUUUAAUUAAAGUGCUCUAUUUUAAUUGCCGCCUGAGGUUUACAUUGAAAGUAGCAGAGUCAGCGACAAUAUUAAUUAAGUGUGUGUGUAUAUAUAUGUACACAAUAAGAAACAAAAACACAUUUGUUAGAUUUAGUUAAUAUAUAUUUUAUUCAAUUUUUGUAAUUAUAAAUUUAUUAAAAUAAAUCAUUAGUUUAAAUUUUAAAAUCAAAGUAUAUUCAAAUUUUUAAAAAAGAAAUUAGAUAGUAAACUAAAAUUUUAAAAAGUUAAAAAAUCGAUUCUAAAUGAUCUUCAUAAUUUAAUAUAAAUUUCAUAUAUUUUUACCUAUAAUUAAUUACCAACCAAAACCAAGGUCCAUAAUAAUCCUCGCCACUAACCUUUUUGUCACCUCGAUCGCCAUCGCCGCCGCCAACGACUUCAUCCUCACCUCCUUCCCCAAAAUCUUAGCCUCUACCUCCUCCACGUCAGUGUACCACUACACCGAGAGCGAGCUCACCUUCAUCAGCAGAUAGCUGGGUAGCCUUUUUUUGUCCUCAUGAUUGAAGGAGUCGAUUUGCAGGGGGUGGGGCUUUGAUUUUUGCUUCGGCUUUAGAUCGCGGUACUCGUCUUUCUUGGGCUCGCCGGGAUUAGGGGCUAGGGUUUUGGGAGCUUUUACAGGGAUAGCUUUGCGAAAGUCGGAGUUGAGGACCAAAAUGGCAACCUAAGAGGGGGGGUGAAUUAGGUUUCUAAAAUAAAAAGCCAAAUAAUCAAGCAAUUUAAAAAUCCGAAACAAAUAAUAAAGAGAGAAGUUUAAAGAAAUGCAAACUCAAAAGGCACACAAUCGAUUUGUUUCAAGGUUCGGCACUUUGCCUACGUCCCCGUCAACUUCUCAACACUAGAGAAUGUUGGAUCUCCACUAGAUGAUGCUUUUGCGGGCAAGCACCAAGCCUUCACACCAACACCUUCUUCUUUUCAAGCUCCAAGACUUUGCUUUUCUCUCUUUUUACAAGAUUAAAUCUCACUACAAAUUACACUCAAGUUUAGAGAGAGAAGUGAGAGCUAAGAGUAUGAGAAACACUAAAAUUUUUAAGCUCAAAUGGACUUGCUAAAAAAGACUGAGAAAGGCCUCAAAGCCAUCUAUUUAUAGCUUCGGCCAACUCCAGACCGUUGCACUUUUGGGCGCCCUAAACAUGAUUUCGGGCGCCCAGAUGUUGUGCACGCGCACUACACUUCCAGCUGCCUAUCAGACAACGUGCACUGCUUUUUCUGGAUUCGUACAUUCGGGCCUUCAGAAUUUGUGGGCGCCCAGAACAUGUGCGCUGACUUUUCUGACAUAGACAAAUGACGUGCGCCGUUUUCUCUAAGCGGAAUCAUUUUGGGCUUCCAGAAGAUUUGGGCGCCCAGAUUUCCAGUACGCACGCCGCCUGCGCCACGCCGCGUCACAACUUUUCGGGCUAAUUCGUCGUACUUUCCGUAACAUGCAACCUAUCAAGUCAAAUAAUUCAGUCGCCCUAAACAAACAUUCGGGCGCCUAGAUCAGGUAAAGAAAUUUUUAGACCACCCGAACAGCAAACAGGCAGGAUCCAAAAACACGUGAGAUUCAGAUCCACUUUAGGGAGCCCAGAACAGAGUCCAGAAACAAUAACUUGGCAGAAAACUAAUUUUGAGCAUAUUUUGAAUAUUUUAAUAACCCAUGAACUUUAUAAGAAGAUCUUUGGAUAAGAUUCACUUUGAAUCAAAUAGAUAUUUGUUCAAGUGAGCUAUGAUAAAAAGAUCAAACUUAGCUCAAAGUUUCUCACUCUAAUUAUAAAGCAUAAUAUUAAUCAAAUUAAGAAAUAGAGAGAGUGAGUUUAUCAAUUUGACAAAAGAAGCAAGCAUAGCUUCAAGUGGUGAAGCUCGGUGCUAGAAGAUUGCUCAUCUUGAGUCCUUUUGAAGAUAGAGAGAUCUAAAACACAAAACUCAAAAAAGAUUAGUCCAAUAAUCGUAAUUAUUUGUUAUCAUCAAAAUCUAAUGAAAGAUUAGGGCCACUAGGCAAACAUGAGUCGUCGAACUCACAGCGGUAGAGGAGAGAGGGGCGCGGCCGAGGAAGAAAAUGAAGGAGGCAACCUCAGAUUUGAUGUGGUCGAGGUCCUCGACGGAGGAGGAUGCGGUAGCGGUGGUGGUGGUGAGUGUGGGUUGAGGCUUCUUCGGCUUCGAGAUUGCUAUGGUCGAACUCAGGUAGGAGAGUUUAGGGUUCUGUCGAUGGAGAGAAAAAAUAAAAAUAAAAACAUCUUGCCGUCUCCACUUAAGCCACAAUAGCCGUUGUCAUUGCUGCCUAAGCCACCAUCGCUGCUGCCAUCGCCGUGGAAGCUGGCCGAAUCAGGCUGAAACCCUAAUUGGGAGUUUGAAAAAUUACAGAAGAAAAUAGGAGGUCGAAAAAAUUACCCAAUUUAUGUGAACCGGGAGUCGACUGAUGGUGCAAGAUGCUGCUGGCUACAACAGACUAGCACCAGAGCCACUACGGUGAUCCACAAGUGAGAAACAGCAGCGCGAAGUCGAUUCAGGUCCUCGACGAAUGCGCGUCUCAGUAAGAUGUCCAUAUCACACCAGCGAGGUGAGAACUACAUAGAGAAAGCCCAACAAUCGCUUUGCUCCCAAGACAUGCGAUCCCCAGCCACCAGAUUGAUCGGAAAUGUCGAUGAUAAAAACUAGUCGUUAAUUCGAAUAGCGGGUGAGCAAUAUUAAAAAUAGUAAUCCGAAAUGCCGUUAUUUGAAACUUUGGAGAGCAUGGACCCGUACAAAAUGGUGAGAAGAGUUGUGCUUACCAACAGAGGGUCGCCGGAGGCCGAGGUUGGAUGGAACAGUUCCCGCGGCCCAAAAUCAAGACUCAAACAAGUAACUAAGGAGCCGCAACAGCACCAGCAGGCUAAGAGACUUGCUGGUAGGGAUAAGAGGGCAGGACAAAGUGGAGCUGGAAGGGAGAGGUGCCAAGGCACACGCUAUCCGGCGGCGGCGGGAACAACGGCAGUCGGAGACAGCACCUCGGCCACCAAUGAGCUACAAGCAAUGUAGUGGGAGCAGUAGCAGCAAAAGGUUGUUGUAACUCAACAAAGAAGGGCCAUGGGAGGUGAAGAAAAGUAGCAGCUGGCUUGGGAAGAUCAUCGGAGAUCCACCGACCCACGGCGACGCCGGUGGCUGCAGCGGCUCGGGUCCGAGGAAGAAGAUAGAGAGGAGUUGAUUCGAGAGGAUCACGCAGCCCGGGGGAGUUGCUCACGGGGCAAAGGCGCUACUAGGGGAUCAAUAGCGUGGAGGCAUGCCGGCGGCGGCGGCGGCGGCGACUGCAACACGAGAGGGGCCACUACUACAUAUAGAGAAAGAAAAAGAGAUUAAGGCCAGAGGCUCGCCGGAGUAGGGACGCCGGCGAAGUACAGAGGGGCGGCGAAGGCUAUGAAGGGGAAAGAAAAAAGGGGGCCACCAAUAAGCUUCAAGCAAUGUGGUGGGAGCAGCAGCAGCAACAAAGGUUGUUGCAGUCUAACAAAGAGUGGGUGUGGGAGGUGAAGAAGAGUAGCGAUAGGCCUGGAGAAGAUCGCUCGAGAUGCACCGACCCACAACCACGCCGGCGGUUGCAGCGGCUCGGGUUUGACAAAGAAGAUGGAGAGGAGUUGAUUCGAGAGGAUUACGCAGCCUGGGGGAGUUACUCGCGGGGUGGAGACGCUACUAAGGGAUCAACUACGUGGAGGCACGCCGGCGGCGGCGGCGACUGCAACACGAGAUGGGCCACUACUAUAUAUAUAGAGAGAGAAAAAGCGAUUAAGGCCGGAGGGUCGCCGGAGUAGGAACGCCGGCGAAGUACAGAGAGGCGGCUACAGCUGCUCGGGUCCGAGGAAGAAGAUGGAGAGGAGUUGAUUCGAGUUUUAUCACGCAGCCUAGGGGAGUUGCUCACGGGGCGGAGGCGCUACUAGGGGAUCAACGGCGUGGAGACACCUCGGCGGCUGCAGCAGCUACAACACGAGAGGGGCCACUACUAUAUAUGAAAAGAGAGAAAAAGAGAUUGAGGCCGGAGGCUUGCUGGAGUAGGGAUGCCGGCGAAGUAUAGAAAGGCUACAAAGGUUGUGGAGGGGGAAAGAUGAGAGGGGGCCAACAAUGAGCUUCAAGCAAUGUGGUGGGAGCAGCAGCAGCAAAGAUUAUUGCAGUCCAACAAAGAGGGGCCGUGGGAGGUAAAGGAGAGUAGCAGCUGGCAUGGGGAAGAUCGCCGGAGAUCCACCGACCCACGGCGACGCCGGCAGCUGCAGCCGCUCGAGUCCGAGGAAGAAGAUGGAGAGGAGUUGAUUCGAGAGGAAAACACAACCUUCGCCGCCCCUCCACAGCUUUCUUCGCCCCUCUGUACUUCGCCAGUGUUCCUACUCCGGCGAGCCUCCGACCUUAAUCUAUUUUUCUCUCUCUCUAUAUUUAGUAGUGGCCCUCUCGUAUUGCAGUCGCCGCCGCCGGCGUGCCUCCACACCGUUGAUCCCCUAAUAGCCUCUCUGUCCCGUGAGCAACUCCCCUAGACUGUGUGAUCCUCUCGAAUCAACUCCUCUCCAUCUUUUUCCUCGGACCGGAGCCGCGGCAGCCGUCGGCGUCGCCAUGGGUCUGUGGAUCUCCGACGAUCUUCCCCAGGCUAGCUGCUACUCUCCUUCACCUUCCACGGCCUUUCUUUGUUGGACUGCAACAACCUUUACUGCUGAUGCUCCCACCACAUUGCUUGAAGCUCAUUGGUGGCCGAGGUGCUGUCUCCGACCACCGCUGUUCCCGUUGUCGCUAGACAACGUGCGCCUCAGCACCUCUCCCAUCCAGUUUAACUUUUUCCUGCCCUCCUAUCCCUAUAAGCAAGUCUCUUAGGCUGCUGGUGCUGCUGUGACUCCUUGGUUACUUGUUUGGUCCUUGAUCUUGGACCGUGGGCACUAUUCUCGCCAACCUCGGCCUCUGGUGACCCUCUGUUGGUGAGCAUGAUUCUUCUCACCAUCUGUACGGGUCUGUGCUCUCCAAAGUUUUAAGUAACGGCAUUUCGGAUUACUAUUUUCAAUAUUGCUCACCCGCUAUUCGAAUUAAUUACCAGUUUUUGUCAUCGACAUUUCUGAUCAAGCCGAUGGCUGGGGAUCGCAAGUCUUGGUAGCACAACGAUCGUUGGGCAUUCUCUAUGUGUCACGCCCCGGGGUCCCUUUUAUUUGAACACAGCGGAAAAAGCGUCUAAAUUUUUUUUUUUUUUUUGAAAACCUGACCCCAGAGUAUGCCAGAUCCGCCACAAAUACAGGAAUUCCACUGUUCACGCGGACAGAGUCUCCCCUCUAUUUGCACGGCGUCGCACAAGUACGACAGUACAAACAGGAUACAACCACAACUAAAUAAAUAUAGAAAUAAUUAUUCAUUCAUACAUUUAUACAUUCACCAUUCACAUCACAGAUUUGCAUUUAAUAUUUAAACAUAAAUCCACAGAAAAUUCUUUUGAAAACUGUUUCCUAUACAGAAACCUUUAUUCUUUAAAAACACUACCACGAGGGGUAGAAAACCUUUCCAUUUCACAAAAUUCACAAAUCCAUUUAUUACAUUCAUGAAAACCCAUAUUUUCAAAUGUAAUAAAAUAUACUGAACCAUAUAAACUAUCUAAGCUAUAUCAACAUAAUAGUAAGGGUAGAACUAAACCUAAUAACCUGGGUCGGAAGCUCUAUCGACCGCUACGUAUCUCACGUCCAGUCUCAACCCUCACCGCCCGCGAUUCCUGAAAAAUAGUGGGGGAGGUGAGAACAUGUAAACAUGUCUCCCCUCCAAGUGGGUACCGCAAGCCGAAGAAGGCGAGAAGUACUCACCGGAUCAGGAAGAGCUAUACAACAACACGGGUCAGUGGAAAUACAGUAGGAACAAUAGUAAACAAAAGAGAUGUAUAAGGUAAUGAGCAGAUAUACUAAAUACAGUAGCAAUAAACUGAAAAAAAGUAAGAACUAGACUGAAUAACGGCUACCGCUACUGUAACUGGAACCGAAAGCAUACAUGAAUAUAUACUAUAGCAGCAAGACAACUAUAAAGUAAGAACUAUAAGUAUGCAUGCAACGACUGCUGCUAUAGACAUAUGCGUCAACCGGUCAAAAAGUCCAAAAGUACCCAAUUUGAAACCAAUGCUCUCUUGGUCAGCACCGCAGACCUCAAGCCAAUACCCUGGAGGUCCGCACCGCAACACCUCCCGACAGUACCACUGCCGCUCUAACAUGCAUAUAACCCCUCGGGGCUCACGGGUUGUCACCAUUCAACCACUUUUCCGGAAAAGAACACUCCUUGCGGUGGAUCAGACCGCCAGUGUUCGUGAAAUGCGACGAGUACGGCAAUCAAUGCAAUAUGCUCAAUGAUCAACCGUCGGCAACCAGCCGACAAUCCUGCCCCCCAAGGCCCAUCGACCGCAUAGGUCGUCAACUGUAAAGAAGCACAAGAACCGACCACUCAGGUCAACUAGGAUGGGACAACAUCGACAUCCUCUCAAACAUAUGCAAAUACUGCUCAAUGAACCACAAGGACUGACCACUCAAAUCAACUAGGAUAUGAAACUCAACCAAUCAUGUCACAAGUAUAGGAUAUGAAACUCGACCAAUCAUGUCACAAAUACUGAAUACUAGAAUCGACCGACUAGAUCGCUAAUCUCAUAGAUAAUCACGAAAUCGCUCUACUAUAACUAUGAAACAGGGUAUGCAGAAAGCUAAGUAGAGCAACAAGGAAACAUGGUAUCACAUACAGAUAGACUAUACUCCUACACAUGAUACUAAGCGUGGAAACAUCUGAGUAGAGUAUAAUCAAACAACGUGGGUGUAAUGUAUACAAUAGAGGUGCAAAGCUCAAUAUAUAAUAUAAGCAUGGAUAAUAACAAAAGAGCAAGGGUAAGAAACUAUCACCGAGCGUGCACCACUGUACCAACGUCGGAUCGAAGUACCUACCUGUACAACUGCCGCACCUGUCUCCUGACUGCAAACGAACAUCAACAGGACCUAAGGAGGGUCCACUGGAUUAGUGUCUAACCCACAGCUAAGAAACCCUAAAAGCAUAACCCCAUAAAUAAACCACUGAAUACACAACCCACAGACAAUCCCACGGAGAUCGGUUUCCCAAAACCGAUUACCGAACAAACCGGAAGUCCCGAAAACCGCACCGAGACUCUGUCGGGACCACUGAAUUGUCUCGAAACGCACCGACUCAAACUACGAGUCACCUGCUGCCCCAAAACAUUCCAAUUUGGAUGUUUUGGCAGCAAACACAAGAUAACACCACUACACAAUUAUCGUCGGAUAAUUGUACGAAUCCGGGUUCCCGAAAGUGUCUAUUUCGACACCGGAACCCACCGUCGCUCACCCGUCAUCACCGAACCCACAAUGUGAUGAUGGUGACCAGCCAACAAGGCUUAGAGACUACUCACAGAGCAACCAAAAGACGUCGGAAGAAAUCCAAACCGAAACCGCGUUCUUUCGGCGAAUUUCGCCGAAAAACGCAUCGAAAUCGACUCUUCGAUUUCCGCAAAAGCUAACAGAUCAUGGACAAUCAGUCCAGAGGUCACCACACACGCCUAUACACUGCCCACAGUAGCCACAUAAUGCACAAUUGCACAAAAGCCCCUCACUUUACAUAAAAUCCUAAUAUUUUUUGUAAAUCAGGCGAUAACAUGGCUCGUUCACGCAAACUGAGGACUUCCAAGGUCCGCCGAGACACGUACUGAUAGGUCUCGACGUACUGGAGGCCGUGCUCAUGAUCUGGAGCACAAUGGCUCACUGUGGAAAGCGCGGGAGCAACCCGAAGGUUCAGCGAACAGCGCGCAGUCGGGGAAAAUCGCGCCGAACAGGCCGAUACGACAUCCACUGAUCCAAAGUAAUGUGAGCACUGUGAUCAGAACUGACCAACGAUCACCGUGCUCACCUUCGGAGGCAUCAUAACAAUCUCAGAUCGCCGGAGAAACGUGCGCAAGCACGGAAUAGCAGCCGAAAAAAGCUCAACAGGGUCGACACCACCGAAACAGCGGAACGGAGUCUCCUCGGUAGAAUCUAAGGUGAGCACGAUGAUCAGCAAUUUUCUACGAUCACCGUGCUCCCUUCCGCAGAGAUCGGGGAGGCUCGGGUUGCUCGGAACAGUAACCUACUCAACUAAGCCCUAUUUCGGGCUUGGCCGGAGCAAGCUUGCUCCGGCCGGCCACCGGCGGCACGGCGGGGUGCGCGCGGGCCAGGGAAGGUUGCGGGGGAGGUGAGGAGUACCAAGCUCACCUCGGGUGGCGGCUGGAAGCGGCGGANAUGGUCUGUGUACCGGUACACAACCACGUACCGGUACAGCCAUCAACCCCGUACCGGUACAGCAAGCGAACCCGUACCGGUACGCGGCCUGCUGAAGGCUACCCGAGAGCUGACCAAAAAUCCUACUUUUUGGAUUUUGGUACACAGCUUUAAACCACAAUUCUCGGGACUCGAACCAUAGGUCGGAACACUGUCAACGACCUACCAGAAAGUCUGGAAAAGUUCGACACACAGAUCAAGCACUCGAACCUCGCAAUUUGCAAAGGUCCAGUGUGUUACAGCCGGCCACCGGCGGCACGGCGGGGUGCGCGCGGGCCAGGGAAGGUUGCGGGGGAGGUGAGGAGUACCAAGCUCACCUCGGGUGGCGGCUGGAACGGCGGAGGUGGCGGCGGGACAAGGCAUGCCCGCACGAGCUAGGGCAUGGGUCCGGGGGUGCUGCGGCCACGGCGGCCGCCGGGGCAGGUCGGGGAUGUCAGGGGGUGCACGUCAGAGGUCUCCGGAGGUGUCUGGAGGGCGGCACUGCCGGCAGGGAGCGGCGGAGGCGCGCGGAGGCAGAGAUCUCCCAAGCUCGGCCCGCUCCGGGUCUGGGCGGCUGCGGCGAGUCCAGGCGGCACCACAGCCAACAUGGACAGCGGGGAACGGCGGCGACGGCGCCGGAGGUCGAGGGGAAGGUGGCGCGCCCGAUGGUGGACGGCGGCGACGCGCGGAGGCGCUGCGGCCUCAAGCUCGGCCUGCUCCGGGUCUGGGCGGGCGCAGAGAGCAGAAGCGGCGGCCGGCGACCUCGGGGGGCGGCGGCGACCGGCGGGAACGACACCGGAGAUGGAUCUCGGCCAAGGGAAGAUGGUUUCAUAGGUUUAGGUGCCGUCCCGAGCUUGGUGGCUGCGGAAGGUGGAAAGAAAAGUGUGGAAGGUGAUGGAGGAGGUGGAAGAGCGGCCAGCUCCGGCGGCCGGCGGCGUGCUCAGGUGGCCAGGGCGCGCGCAGGGAGAGCAGGGGAAUGUGAGGGAGGCGGUUAAGGAAGAGGAGGGGACCCAGGGUUAGGGUUUCAUGGUGACCUAACUCUAUGAUAUAUGUAUAAUUACAGAAAAACCCACCUCAGCCCUAUUUUUAUAAUUUAGUCCCUGCCAUUGCGCGUAACUUGCGCAUACGCACCACCACGCUCGAUCUCAAGCGAUUCGGUACAUAAAAUACAAUGACUUUUGCGAAUUUCCCGAUUUUCCACUCUCGACCCCUUAGCGAACAACAUGCAAUAUCCGGCAAUCCGUUCAUCGGAUUUCCGAACGGAUCGUACCAUCGCGUUCAGCACAACGAGGGCAUCCAAACUACCAUCUUGUUUCGUCAGAUUUGGUCACGGAUUCGCGACGGAACCCACCCGCUCUCUAAUUAAUCCGUAUAUCGCGCAUAUGCCGAAGUAUAAACCCUAAAACCUUUAAUCCAAAUUCAACUUUGAAUUCCCUACCACUAGUAGGUACCAGAAACAACUCUCACCUAAUCCCAGGUCACAAGCACAGAGCACGAGGAGUUUUAAAAUGCACGAAUAGUAAAGAGCGGAAACCCUCUUUUUGUUAAAACUCCUUUAUCUCGAAAAUCGUGCAUCGGAUCCGAAAUCCGUCAGUGCCAUUGGUUCCAGAAUAGCUGAACCGUUCGAAACGAGCUAUUGGAGUCCUAUGUUCGGAGUCCGAUACGCGCCGAAAGCCAACUCUACUACGUGGCUUCUCCGGAAAACCGGAGUUACUAUUCACUUUAAGUGAAAACUAAUAAUCGCGUAACUUCUCCGUUUUAACUCAUUUUCUCCUAAAACUUGACGAGUGCUUAUGUAAUUAAAUUACACACAUAAACAUCGUCAACGGAGAGUUUAGUUGCACUGUAAACAUCUCAGUCCUUACACUAUGCAGUGCUCACCUCGCUGGUGUGAUCUGGACAUCUUACUGAGACGCGCAUCCGUCGAGUACCUGAAUCGACUUCACGCGGCUGUUUCUUACUUGCGGAUCAUCGUCGUGGCUCUGGUGCUAGUCUGUUGCAGACAGCAGCAUCUUGCACCGUCAGUCAACUCCCGGUUCACAUAAUUUGGGUAAAAUUUUCGAACUCCCAUUUUCUUUUGUAAUAGAGGUUAUAUAUGCAAAUUUGGGUCGACUAGGACAUAUAUAUUAAUAAGCUAUAUAGCGACAUCUAUAAAACUGCGGCUAAAGAGGAAAAUACUGUCGCUAUAAGCAAUAGCAGUCGUUUCAGUGGUGGUUUUAAAACUGCCACUUAUAAAGGGGUCGCAAUUUGAUUUAGCGACUGUGGCAAAAUACCCCUAACAUAUAGUGGCAGUUUUCCUUUAAUAUUGCGGCGAUUUGACAAAUGCUACUGUAAGAUUAAAAUUCGCCAAUUUUACGAACAUUUAGCGACAAAUUAUUCACUGCCUCUAUUAAUUCAAAUAAGAAGUGACAAUUCUUUAGCUGCCGCUAUAUAUUUGAAAUUUGUUAAAUUUAUCGAUUUUAUAGUGGCAAUUAUUUUUCUGUCACUAUUAAUAAAUAAAAUAUAGGAUUGACUUUUAAUUAUUGGUUGUAGUUCAAACUAAUUUUUUUGCCACUAUAUUAAUUAGCUAAAUUUAAUUUGUUAAUUCAAUUAAUUUCUUAUUAAUUGUAGUUUCAAACUAUUUAAAAUAAGUCACAAAAACAAAUACCACCACUAAUAAAUUAGUAAUUAUCUUACACAUUAAAAUUUUCAAAUAGAUAAGUUUCAAUCUCCAUAAAAUUACAAAAUAGACAACACACGCAUAUCAUCGAGAGACACACAUACACACACAUACACCAUCGAUCUUUCACAUAUAGUUAACAAUAUAUUCUAGUGUAGAUACCCGCGCGAUGCGGCGGGUAGUUACUGCUAAAGUAAAUAAUUUAUAAAUAAUAAAAUAUCAACAUAAGUAAAUAAAAUAUUAGUAUGCCGGUAUUAAAUGUUACAAUAUUUUACAGUAAUAUGUAAAGUAAUUAGUAAAUCCUAAUUAGAGAUAUAGAAAUAUAAUAAUACAUACAAUUAUUCACAAUGGAGUUUUUAAAUAUUUUAAGUNUAUAGAAAUAUAAUAAUACAUACAAUUAUUCACAAUGGAGUUUUUAAAUAUUUUAAGUAAAUCUAACUUAGAGUAUAUAGAAAUAUACUAAUAUAUACAAUUCUUCACAAUGGAGUUUUUAAAUACGACAUGAUUGUCCAUCCAUUUAGUUUGGAAGGUGUAAUAUACAACGAAAAAUAAUUGUGCGAGUAACAUAUAGCAUUUCUAUAACAUGAAAUUAAAAUGUAAUAAGUCUAUCACAUAUAUUAUUCAAAAACUAUAGAAAUAGUUGUUGUGUCAUCUUUACUUCGAUAAUCUUUAUUUUUCUUCUCCAUCAGAUUCAGAACUCUCAAUAUAACUACAAACCAAAAAACAAAUGUGAGUUAUUUUAUGUUCAUUUUAAUUGAAAAGCAAAGUAAGCAUUGACCUCUUUUCCAAAAUAAUAUUAAUAUGUUGUUACCUGCGUAAUUUUCUUUUACCCUUUGAUUGAUUAAUAGCUUCCUCUGACUUCAGCUGAGAACUUUUUAUGAGGAUAAUUUACAGAAAUGCACGUAGAAAAGCAAGUCAAUAAAUAUUAUUUUUGGUAUAAUGCUCAAAUAUAUGUACUUUUUAUAAUUUAAUAUAUAGUCAUCAAUGAAUUACCUAAGUACUCUCCUUUUGUCUCUUGAUUCCUUCACAGCUUCCUCCAGAUAGGAUUUAGAACUUCACAGCACAAUUUAAAAAAAUUUACAUGCAAAAGAAUUGAAAUAAAUCAAUUUUUUGAGUAAGACAGUUAAGAGAGUAUGUAAAGAAAAAAAGAUAUUAGAGAACUUUUCUUACGCUAUUUGCAAUUCUUUAGGACUUGUUCUUGCACCAUCUUCUGUAAUGUCUAUGGCAUCUUCUUCCUUUUCUUCUAUUUUGAUUUUUGCAGUCAAAGCAGAUUGAAAAAUUUUUGUGACUCUGAAUGAUUGCAUAGUUGUAUUAAGUUUGCGAGACUCAAGUGAAACUUGAAAAAUAAAAGUUUGACCAACAAUAUUUUUAAUAAUAGGAGGUAGUAUAAAUCUAUUUGAAUUGAUUGCAGUAGCAAGUUGUUGAGCAGGAACUCGUAUCAAAUCUUGCGCUGAUUUGCCAAAAAUAGUGAAGUUCGCUGAACUGGUGUCAUCCGCAACAAUGGCAUUUAACUUGUACCUUUUUUCAAAAAUGACCUCUAUAUUAAUUUACUACAUGAUAAUAUAAUUUUCAAAUUUAAAAGAAAUAUUUGGUGUUUGAAAUUGUAGUUUUUAGGUUUAGAAAUGUACUAUGGUAUAAGUGACUGAUCAUUUUUUUCACAUUGAUUACACCAAAAAGUACCAUCAUAAUCUCUCACUCCUUCUUUACAAUCAUAGCGGGCCUUGUACCACCACCCAUAUGUCGUAUCAAUUUCUACUAAUUUAGCUUGACAGGUAUACUUUAUAUUCUAUAUAAAAAAGAAUAAUGAAUAAGUACAUCUAUUCAAUUAUAUAUUGAAUUAAUAAUAUGUAUAACAAUUUGUAGAGAACAUAAGAGAUAAAGAAUGAAAUUGGUAAUUUAAAGAUAUCCUAAAUAUACUCACCUCAGCUUCCAUUGGAUUUAAUGCAAGUAAUUCAGCAAUAGUUUUACAAUUCUUAAGCAUUUGUUUAUAUAGGCUAAUAGUUAGUUGUUGUGCCACUUCAAUAUGUCGAAUUAGUGCAAUAGGUAGUUGGCUUCUGCAUUCAAGUGUAUAUAAAAGUAAGUUAUAAAAAGGCUAAAUUACAGAAAACCCCCCUGUAAUAACCCGCUUUUUUACUUUCCCCCCCUGACAUUUAAAAACCUACACUUUGCCUCCCUGUAAAAUAAAAAAUGUUCACAGGGGGGUUACGAUGUGUAAAAUGACCAUUUUGCCCCUCACCAUUGUCGUCUUCUUCCCCAUCUUCCUCAGCCGCCCCUUCGUUCAGCCGCGAUUCCCACCUCAAUCGGCCGCGAUUUCUCUCCAUUUCCUUGUCCACCUGCUCCCCUUCUCCUCCUGCACCUCGUAUAAGGACUGAGAUUUUGACAGUGCAACUAAACUCUCUGUUGACGAUGUUUAUGUGUGUAAUUUAAUUACAUAAGCACUCGUCAAGUUUCAGGAGAAAUUGAGCUAAAACGGAGAAGUUACGCGAUUAUUAGUUUUCACUUAAAGUGAAUAGUAACUCCGGUUUUCCGGAGAAGCCACGGAGUAGAGUUGGCUUUCGGCGCGUAUCGGACUCCGAACAUAGGACUCCAAUAGCUCGUUUCGAUCGGUUCAGCUGUUCUAGAACCAAUGGCACUGACGGAUUUCAGAUCUGAUGCACGAUUUUCGAGAAAAAGGAGUUUUACCGAAAAGAGGGUUUCCGCUCUUUGCUUUUCUGUGCAUUCUAAAGCUUCUCGUGCCCCGUGCUUGUGACCUGGAGUAGGGUGAAGAAUGUUUCGGGUCCCUACUAGUGGUAGGGAAGUCAAUUUCUAAUGCGAAAGUUGGUUUAAUGGGUUUACACAUUGGUAUACGUACGAUAUAUGGAUUAAUUAGAGAGCGGAUGGGUUCCGUCGCGAAUCCGUGACCAAAUCUGACGAAACCAGAUGGUAGUUUUGAUGCCCUCGUCGUGCUGAACGCGAUGGUGCAAUCCGUUCGGAAAUCCGAUGAACGGAUUGUCGGAUAUUGCAUGAAGUUCGCUAAGGGGUCGAGAGUGGAAAAUCGGGAAAUUCGCAAAAGUCAUAAUAUUUUAUGUACCGUUUCGCAUAAUUUUGAACGUCGAGGUGCAUACGCGCAUAUUACACGCAUGGUGAAGGACUGGACUGAAAAUAGAAAGACUUGGGGGACCUUUCUGCAUUUUUUUCACUCUAAAUAGGUGUAGGUAUUAGGGUUCCAAACAGGAAACCCUAACCCUAGCCGAUCCAGUGCCCUAGCUGCGCCACCAGCACUUCCUCCACCUCCCUGCCCUCUCCCUGCGCAUGCUCCGGCCGCCGGCGAGCACUUCCGGCCGGCGAAAAUACCUGCAUCAUCUCCCUCUCUCUCCCUCUCGGCCAACCACUUCACCGCAGUGUGGUUGCGGACCCAGGAAGCGACCCUAACUCGAGCACCAUCUACUCUUGGCCGAGAUCCAUCUCCGGUGUCGUUCUCGACGGUCGCCGCCGCCUGCCGCCGUCGCCUGCGCCGCCGCUGCUGGUUCUGCAGCCUGCGGCCACCCCAGCCCGAACCCAGACCGAGCCAGCUCGAACUCUGCGUCCUCGCCUUACUUCGGCCGUGCCGCCCUCCAGUCGGCCCCGGCGACGUCCGGCGACCCGGCGCGCGCGUCCCCCGCCGUCCCCGCGCGCCGCCGGCCGCCGCUGGAGCUUCCUGUGGCCGCCCAGGCACGUGCGGGCCGAGGUCGGGCCCGCUCUAUUUCCAGGCGCUGCCGCCGCCCACCGAGGGGUGCACCGCCUUCCCCUCGGCCUCCGGCGCCGCACCGUAGCCGCCCCGACCUCCUCCGGCCGCCGCCACGCCGCCGGGAAGCACGAAACCGUGAGGGAGUGGGCGGAGUCGAUCUCCUCUGCCGCGCCACCGGUUGCCGCCCGCCGCCGGCCAGCACCCUCCCCGGACCUCUCGGACCGGCUGCUCCUAUCCCCGGCCGGAGUGCCCGCCUCCCGGCCGCCGGCGACCAACCCUAGCUCCCACUGCUCCGGUAUGCUAUUUUUGAGUUCCAGCAUUGCAAUUUAAGCUUUCCGGCCACCUUUCUGGUGAUCCGAUGACUCCCCGACACCUCGAGAAGUGAGCACGAUGAUCUAGGGUUCGUGCUGAACAUCGUGCUCACCUCCGACAGCGGCAAAGAUGCCCUGGUUAGCAAGUUAGUCGCGACCUUCGCGCUGUGCGCACUGUUUCACAGAUUUCGUGUCGCUCGUGCGCGCACCGCAGUGGUCGGCAGUGCUCCGAAAGGUGAGCACGGCCUCCGACAUGAUGAAACCUGUCAGCGAGUGCGACGGUCGGAUUAAUCGACCUCUGGUUUGCGUGCACGGUUCAGAAAAGCCUAGAAAUCACAUAAAAUGAUGCGAUUUCAUGUAUCGGUAUGGGCUUUUAGGACUUUUGCUUCGAUGUAGAUGCUGUUGGCAACACGUUUGGGCUAAGGAUAACCUCUGGACUGAUCGUCCAAGGCCCCAAGCCCUUGCGGAAAUCGAAAAGUGAUUUUCGAUGCGUUUUUCGGCGAAACCCGCCGAUAGAACGCGGGUUCGGUUCGGAAUUAUUCCAACGGUGCUUCGUGAGCUAUUGUGUAGUCGCCGAGCCUUGUUUGCUGGCCACUUGCGUCAUUUCGAGAGUUCAGAAAUGACGAGUGAGCGACGGUGGGUUCCGGUGUCGAAUUAGACACUUCCGGGAACCCGAAUCGAAACGACUAUCCGACGAUAAUUGUUUCGACACGAGGAGUUGUGUUCACUGCCAUGAUGCAUGAUUAUUUAUGUUUAGUGGCAGCAGGUGACUCGUAGCUCAAGUCGGUAUGUUCCGGGACAGUUCGUGGCUCCCGGCGGAGUCCCCGUGCGAUUACGGGACUUCCGGCGUAUUACGGCGAUCGGUUUGGGAAACCGAUCUCCAUGGGUUUGCUUGUAGGUUGUGGAUUUAGUGGUUAUUAGCUGUGGGUCAGACACUAACCCGGUGGACCUUCCUUAGGUCCGGUUGAUGUCCUUUUUCAGUCAGGAGACAGGCGCAGCAUUUGUACAGGUAGGUACUUCGAUCCGAAGUCGGUACAGUGGUGCACGCUCGGUGAUAUUUCUUCUAUCCCUGUUCUUCUGUUGCUAUUUUCGUAUUAUAUGUUGAGCUUGCAUCCCCGUUGUUUCUAUUAUACUCUACUCAUAUGUUUCUAUGCUUAGUAUCAUGUGUAGGAGUAGAGUAGUUCAUCCAUAUGUGAUACCGGUGACCUGAUUGGUCGGUUCUCGUACUUUGUUUCGGUGACCUGAUUGGUCGGUUCUCGUACUUCGUUUCGGUGACCUGAUUGGUCGGUUCUCGCACUUUGUUUCGGUGACCUAAUUGGUCGGUUCUCGUACUUCGUUUCGGUGACCUAGUUGAUCGGUGCUUUUAUCUUAUAUCUGUUGACCUGGUUGGUCGGUUAUUGCAUUAUGUAUUGGGUUGGUCUGCUUCUUGACUUCCGUCGUUUGAUGACCUUUGUGGUCGGUGUACCCUGAGGGGUAGGAUUGUCGGCCAUGGCCGACGGUAGUUCUAGAUUAUAUACUCAGAUGACUUGUUGAUCGAUUCUUGCAUAUAUACAGUAGUUGACCUAUUGAUCAGUAUCUACAUACUUUUGGUAGGAUGUUGAGUUGUUCCAUCCCAGUUGACUUGAUUAGUCAGUACUUGCAUACAGUUGAGAGGAUGUAGAGUCGUUGCAUCCUAGUUGACCUGAGUGGUCGGUUCUUGUGCUUCUUUAUAGUUUGAUUGCCUAUUGGUCGGUUUGCCCCGAGGGGCGGUGAUUGUCGGCUGGUUGCCGACAUUUGGCUAUUGAUCAUAUCUGCAUUGAUCGCCACAGCUCGAGUGCAUUUCACGUACACCAGCGGGUUGAUCCCCCGCAGGAGGGUAUUCUUUUCCGAAAAAGUGGUCGUACAUCCGACCCGUGAGCCCAGCGGUGUUCUCUCUGUGCUACGGUUACAUGCCAGGUGUGAGCAGGUAGUGGCUUUUGCCUGAGGUCCUUAGACCGACACGGCGGUUUAGAUUGGGUACUUUUGGACUACUUGUCCGGUUGACGCAUAUAGUUAUAGUAGCGGUUGUUACAUGUAUACUUGUAGUUCCUUCUUUACACUUAUCUUGCUACUAUAGUUUUGAUAUCCCUGUAUGUAUGCUUUUCGUUCUAUUUACAGUAGCGGUAGUUGUUCUCUCAUAUCUAUAUCUCAUUCGUCAUUAUCGUUGCUACUGUAUUUCACUUACCCAUAUACCAUUGUUUAUCUUCCUGAUCCGGUGAGUACUCCUCGCCCUCGUCGGCUUGCGGUACCCACUGGGAGGGAAGACAUGUUUACAUGUUCUCACCUCCCCCACCAUUUUUCAGGUAUUGCAGGCGUUGAGUUUUGGGACGAGACGUGAGGUACGUUCGUAGCGGUCGAUAGAGCUUCCGACCCAGGUUAUCGGCUUAGUUUUAUCCCUACUAUUCUAUUGUUAUAGCUUAGUCAGUUUAUAUGGUUCAGUAUUUUUAUUACAUUAGAAUAUGUGGACUUUCAUGAAUGUAAUAAAAGGAUUUCUGGAUUUGGUAAAAUAAAAGGUUUUCUACCCCUCGUGGUAGCUUUUAUAAAAGAUAAAAGUUUUCGCACAUGGAACGGUUUUCAAAAGAUUUUCGUGGACUUUUGUUUAAACAUUGAAUGUAAAACUACGGUGUGAAUGGUGAAUGUAUGAAUGUAUAGUUAUCUGUAUAUUCAUUUAGUUGUGGUUGUAUACUGUUUGUACUUUUGUACUUGUGUGACGCCGUGCAAAUAUAGGGGAGACUCUGUCCGUGUGAACAGUAGACUCCCUGUAUUUGUGGCGGAUCUGGCAUACUCUGGGGUCAGGUUUUCAAAAAAAAAUUUAAACGCUUUUCCGCUGUGUUUCAAACAUAAAGGGGACCCGGGGCGUGACACCUCGCCGCCCUCGAUUUCGGCGACAGUAGGAGAAAACCGAGGUGGGCGACGAUAGGAGAAGGGCAAAGAAGGCGAAGGCGAGGCGGCGGAGGACGGCGAAGGGGAUGUGGGUGAGGGCGAGGCAGUGGAGGACGGCGAGGCGGCUAGGCGGCGAGGUGGCGAGCCGGAGGAAGUCGAAGCAACAGGGAGAUGGCAGAGGGGUAUUUUCGGCAUAAAAAUAUAUUUUUUAACGGAACCCUAACGGUAGGGGGUGAAGUGUACAUUUUUUAUUUUACAGGGGGGCAAAGUAUAGGUUUUUAAAUGUCAGGGAGGGAAAGUGAAAAAACGGGUUAGUACAAGGGAAUUUUCUGUAAUUUAGCCUUAUAAAAAAUACUCGAAUAAACUAUACAGAUAAUGCGAAUUACCUAUCCAAUGCAUUUCGAAAUGUUGUAAUUUUUGGUAUUUCUAAAUUAAUAUAAAACCUUGAUGCUGAACAUGUCGACAGAUAGAUCUUAUCUGGAUAUAAAUUUGCUAAUAUUGAUUCUAAUAUUUUUUUCUUAAUUGUUAUUGCUAAUAAUUCUGAUUUAUAAUAGUUGCUUUUUAUCAGAAUGAGAAAGUAUAAAAAUGUAAAAAACAAUUUUAUCAGAUGCUUGGCAUUGCCCCGGAGAAUUUAAGAAAAAGCAAUAAUAGGGAGUGAAGAAAAAAGAAGGAGACAAAAACUAUAAAUAAGAAAAUUGAAGAAGGAAACAGAUGAAUUCAAUAUAUAUAUAUAUAUAUAUAUAUAUAUAUAUAUAUAUAUAUAUGUUGUGAAGAAAUAUGAUAACCUUUGAAUAACAUUUAUUAGCUAGUGAACAAUCUACAUGUGAAGAAAUAUGAUAACUAUUGGAACACAUUAUAAAUUAUAAAAUCACAUUUAAGCAAUGAAGGUCAUGCUCUUCGCUGCAGCUAGCAACAGAUACCUGUAGAUAAUUUUAAAACAUAUGUUACUUUACAAAGAUACAUUACAAAGAGCAGAAAUAACAACCAUAAAUUCUAACCUAAAUAAAAUAAAAAAUCAGAGUCCUUACAUAAAUUGAAAUUAACAAAAUCAUAUAAAAAUUUACAUGAAAGUAAACACUCGUAGAAUCCGAAAAUAUUGAGAAGACAAAGCAACUAAUAAUCGUCGAUAACAUUAAAACCUAUAUUGUAAAAAAAUUGAAACAAUGAUAAUUUUUAUGAUAAACUAACCAAGCUAGUCGCAAAAAGGAAAAAAAUUAAUACACUAUAAAAGGCAUAAUUCAAAUGAAUUCUUUGAAUCUCAGCCAACCAACUAAUUAUAAUAAAGCUGUGAGACCCCAGAUAGUCCUAUAUAUGAGAUAUAAUAGGGCUAAACUCUUAACUCGGCUUAAGCAUUUUGGGUGGUGGCUAGGCCCAAGAGGUUAAGAGAGUUAAGCGUGCUAGGACGGGAGUAGUCCUAGGAUGGGUGACCCCUGGGAAGUUGGGGCGUUACAGAUGGUAUCACAGACAAUUACCAGCCGAAAAUAUGAGAUGAGUCUCGGCUGAGCCAGGGUCUGGAUGACGGGCUAGCGAGACGAGUCUUACAUCGCCUGGUACUUGUGAGUCUGAGCCUGACGAGAACGUCAGAGCUUAAAGGAGGGGAGAUUGUAAGACCCCAGAUAGUCCUAUAUAUGAGAUAUAAUAGGGCUAAACUCUUAACUCGGCUUAAGCAUUUUGGGUUGUGGUUGGGCCUAACGAGUUAUUAUUGCUAGUGGGCUGGGUCGUUACAUUUGGUAUCAGAGCCGGUUCACCAGCUGGACAUGUGUGGCAAGUCUCGGCUGAGCCAAGGUCUGGAUGACGGGCUAGCGAGACGAGUCUCACAUCGCCUGGUGAUCUUGGGCUGUGUGUGUGAUUGGACUGACGAGGACGUCAGGGCCUUAACGGGGGGAGUCUGUGACACCCCAAUAAUCCCACAUCGGAUGGGAAUGGGGUUGUCAUUAGGUUUAUAAGAGACUUAGACACUAGUAAUAAUAACUGGGCUUAAGCAUUUUGGGCCGGUGGUUGGGCCCAACGAGUUAUUGUUGCUAGUGGGCUGGGUCGUUACAAAAGCAAAAACAAUCAGCAAAAAGAAGAAGAGAAGAAAAAGCUUGAAAGGUGAAAUGGAUAGAGCUAAUCUGAGUAAUGAGUUGACAAUGUAGUUGCUUCUAUUUGCAGAGCUUGCACUUUUUGUUCGAGUUCAGCAAAAUGAUGCAAUUUUCUUACCUAAAAAUCGUGCAAUUGAUUGCUUAUUGACCCAAAUCCUAUAAGAUCAAACAGAAAUAUAUAUAUAUUAGUGAAGACAACUAAACAUUAUGAAAUCAAUAGCUUGCAAACUAAAUAGAAACUGCAACUUGAAGAAGUAAGCUGAAUCUUUUGCUUCUUCUGAUCGCUAUAUUGCACCCAUUUUCCAAGAGAGUAGCGUAGGCAGUGUAGAUGCAGAUAAAUCAUAGAUCAGAGAGAAAGAGAGAGAGCAAGAGAGAAAGACCCCGAAACCUAAAAAAUCUUGAUCGGAGAGGUAGAAAGUUCGAAGUAGUAGGAUUUAUGGUCGGUAGUUGUGCAGAGUACCCGAAACCUAGAAAAUCUUGAUCGGAGAGGUAGAAAGUUUGAAGUAGUAGGAUUUAUGGUCAGUAGUUGUGCGGAGUAGUGCGGAGUAGUCUACUAUAAUUUUAUGAAACACAUAGUCAAAAAUCUGGACAAAAACAUAUAAGGCUCAGACCUUGCUACCCCCCUACAAAAGUAAAGAACCGCGUCGGCUAGCAUGCUGAAUCUAUAUCUGGAGAAGCAUCGGGCAGGCAGCGAUGAUUCCCAUAAGGCCAUCCGCAUUGGCAUGCCUUGGGACAUUAUGUUGUACCAAAAUAUGAAGUAGCACCUGGAAGGCUGCAGUGAUUGCCUGAAAGCCAUUCGGACUGCCAUGCCUUUUAAAUAGAGAUAGUAGAGAAGAAAAUAUCAAGCAGCUACCCUUAUCAUCAUUGCCUUACGUCAAAAAGCAGGAGGAGCAAGAAUAAAUAAAAGAAAAUAGAUAGAAAAUAAUGUUCAGUGCCGGCAAAAAGAACUCCAACUAAAACAAAGAAAGAAUGUAAAUAAAGCACAUAGAUAAAAAAAAGAUGCAUUGUGUAGUUUGGAAAGAAAAAAAUUUCAAAUUCAAACAAAACAGGGAUAGAACUGAACUUCAAUAGGAUGAGGCACACAAAAUGACAGAAGCAAAGCAAUAGUACCCAUAUAGAAGAAAGCAAAUAAGAACUUAUAGGGAUCAGUAACAAUAAUAAAAGACAUUAGUAACAAUAAUAAUAGACAUCAUAGCCAAAAAUAUAUAGUAGAUGGACCACCGAAGCAACAUAUUUUUGAAAAUAUAUAGCAGACGGACUAAGGAGAGGAUUGGAUGAGCUACAGAGUGAAAGAAAGAAUACCUUUCUCUAAAACAGGAAAGAAAAGAAAUGCAAGCAACAACUCUGAAACCACGAUUCUACUCGAACACAAAACAUAUCCUUAGAUUCCUUCUUCCCAAACAUAUUUUACAUAUCUUUAGAUGUUCACUUUCCAAAACAACUAGCUGACAAUUUUUUCCAAACAAAACAUAUCUUCAGAGAGAUGGUAAGUACAAAAGGCAUGAUUUUUUUUUUCCUCCAAAGAUAAAUGGAAACAAAAAGAAGAAAGUAGACAACAUCUGCAAGCCCCCACACCGACCAAACAAAAAAAUGAUAGGCCGGAUAUUUUGCAAUCAUUCUGAAGCAUUAGAGAGGACCUGAGCACUAUCUUCAUCGGGAAAAAUAGCAAUUCACACAUUCCAGUUUUCUUUUAAAAUAGGUUUGAAGGUGAAGACAAUGAAAAAAGCAGAAGUAAAAAUAUAGGGGAAGGGAAAAAUCUGGACAAAAACAUGUAAGGCUCAGACCUGGGCACCGAAAACGGUGGUAGAUUUUAUGAGCACGAUCCUGUCGAUCCAGUCUGAAACAGAAAUAGGGGGCGGAUGCUGCGGUGUAGAGAGGAGAAGAAAAGAUUUACUGUAAUGGACUGGAGAAGAAGCAAGAUCGCAUGGAGGGGGAGCGAUUUACUGUAACGGAUAAGAAGAACAUGAGAAGAAGCAAGGUCAUGAGGAGGCGGUGCGAUUUACUAUUUCGCGCGAAGAAGAAGCAAGGUUGCGUGUAUUGGUUCGGUUUGAUUUAGAAGUUUAGAUAGUGAACGGUUCGGUUCGGUUCUGUUCGGUUCAGUUCAGUUCAGAGAGAGGCAGUUCAAUGGUUCGGUUCAGAUGUUUAGAGACAAAGGUUCGGUUCGGUUCAGUUCAGAGGUUUAGAGAGAUGCAGUUCAAUGGUUCGAUUAAGAGGUUUAGAAAGAUGCAGUUCAAUGGUUCGAUUCGGUUUCAAAUAGACGAUUCGGUUCAAAAGAAAUGGUUUGGUUCAAAGUAGGUUAUAGAUAAUUUUUUUUAUUAUUAUUAUAAUAUUAUGAGGAUGAAGGGUUUCUUGCCAUGUGGCAAGAAAGAUUGUCGAUUCAUUUAGGUUAUAGAUGAUUAAACAAUAUAAAAUGUGAACCAUUAUAUUUCAUUCAAUCUAAAAGUAUGAUCAAUUAGUUCAAUCAUUUAUGAAUGUCAACAUACCAAAUAAUUCAAAUAAUUAACUAAGUGACAAAUUUAUUAGUAAUCACCAAAAAUAAGAUAAUAAAAUAAAUUCCUCCAAGAGCGCACUAGUAAUACUUCAAUGUCAUUCACCUACGAAUAUUCUCGACCUGCAAAAAUUAAAACAAAUUACAAGUCUUACUACUGCCAAGUUUUAAUUUGCGAAAAAUUAAAUAGUCUGAAAUGCAGCAUCUCCAAUUGUUUUCAAAUUUUCAUAUGAUCUAAUUAACUUUUCUGAUGAAAUAAUGGGUACUUCAAUAUAAACUUCCCAAAACUGAGUCCCCAGUCUUCCGCCCCCUACUUGUGUAAAUGGAUUUUCAAUAUUAAUAAGAUAAUAUGCAUGAACUAGAUAACAAUCAAAGAUAAGCAAUACAAUAAACAUUUUCAUAUACAAAUUCAAACAUAAAAGUAAAACAAAAAAAGUUUUGAGACAAGGAAAAUGUCAAUAUCAUAGAUUAUCUCAUAUACUUGAAUUAUAAAUACUCUACAAUGAGUAAUUUGCCCAACAUGAAAACUUUUUAUGUUAUUUGGAAUGCAAAUAAGUACUUGCUCUGGGACAUCUCAAAAAUUGCUCUGUUAUAUAUGGGUAGCUAACAAUAUUGAAUGUAAGAUGAGAUCCUGGUCACAAUAUAAAUAUAUAGAGAUUAUAAGAGAUUGCUCUCUUUUAGCUAACAGAAAAAAAAGGCAAAUAAAUAUUUAGGAAAAUUAGAUGAUUAUUCCUUUUAUAUAGAAUUAAAAAGACAAAUAAUUAUUUAAUAAAAGAUUAAAAUUAAUAAAGCAAAACUUAAAAUUUUAUAAUGGAUCAAUGCACAUGAUAAAUUAUCUAACACUUGAAUUAUUUUAUUAUAGUCUGAUACUUCUAAUGCUUUAAAUAUGGAAUAGUAUAUAUAACAGAUUAAUGAUUUUAUUGAGAAUUUGUCUACAAAUGGUGUGCUAUUUUGGUGAUAAAUAGCUUUUUGUCCAAUCAUAUUGAGAAUUACUUCAUUAUGACAAAAAUAUCUCAUCCUUCUUAUUUCCUUGGUAAUAAUUCAGUGAAAGUUGAAUAUGGUUACAUACUAAUUAACAAAAAUAUAGAAAUCCACAAAAAACCCACGUCCAAGACCAUAUGAAGAUCUGAGAGAGAAAAUAGAUAGAUAUCGAGAGACCUAUUUUCAAGAAACGACGUCAAACGACAAGAGAGCGACGAGGACCACUGGCGACAAGCAUCAAUUUCAAGCAGCAAGCCGUCGACGCAUGAACCACCGGCGAUAAGCAACAAGAUUUUUGAAGUACCGUACGAGAAGAGAAAUAAUAAAUCGUGAGGAAGAAGCCGCUUGAAAAAAAUUAGGAAGGAAACUGUGCGCGCUAAAAAUAAUUUUAGAAGCCGUUUACAAUUGUAGACGCCCGCGCGCUCGUGAAGUUGAGUGGGACGAAGGAGCGAGGAAGCGAAGUUGAGGGCGUUAAUUGAGGACGAAGGGGCGACAAGCAAACUAAUUAAAAACGUCUGCCUGGGCGAGCAAGCAAACUAAUUAAAAAGUCUGCCUAGGGUUUUUUAAUUAAGAAUAUGAUAUUCUCACUAUUUAGUUUUAGUUAUUUGGUGUUCACAUACACUCCAUUAUUGUACAUAAUACAUAAUAUCAAGAGUACAAAUAACAAAAUAAUAAAAUAUUAUUAAAUUAACACUAAUAUCUAUCUAUUAAAACAACCAGGAUUAAUAUAGUAGCUAAUUAAUUAUAGAAAAAUUAAUUAAUUAUGCAAAUAUGGAAUUACAAAGAAAAGGGCAGUGCUAUAACAGUCGUUAAUUACAACUGAAAUUGCUGCUAAGAAAUAAAGAGUAGCGGUAACUACAAAGGUCGCUAUAUAUUUAACUUAGCGGCAUAUUUUGAAUCUGUCGCCAAAAAAAUUGCCACUAUAUAGCUUAUUUCUUGUAGUAUGACGACGCUUUUUGGACUAUGGGAAGUGUUGAGCAACAGUGUUAGUGAGGUUUGAUGUUCAGAUUGUUUGAGGUCCCAAAAUCUCCCGCGGUUGAUUUAGUGCAAAUGACAAAAAUCGAGCCGAGAUCAGAUCGAUGAAUUGGGUUUCGAUUGCGUUUUCACAGAAUCGGAAUUGUGGAUAUCCUGAAUAGGUGUCAAGCCUCAUUGGCUGACCUCGCCUCGCUAUUUGUGUCCCUUGUGGCAGUGUAAACGUUGUGGGUGGUCUCAAUAUCGAAAUAAAUAUUCUGGAACCCGGUUUGAGUUACUUUUUGGAGCUGUGGCUCCUGUUCUUGCGCGUUUUCUUUACGGUUUGCCAAACACCAAAAAUAGGGUGAUUGGGGACAGCAGGAAAGAUUCGAAGAUGUUUGGUGUGACUCGGGACAUUUUGUGGCCUGACGUGACAUCCUGGUGGGUUUAUGCGGAAGUAGGCGGAUUUCGAAAAUCGAUAAGUAGGUCCUAUGUUUUGAUUGGGUCGUUGCGUGUUUGUGGUUGACUUGAUGUCACCUGGUUGGUAAUGUUGUGGUGUUGAUACUGUCGUAGGAUCGAACUUUUAUUGUGUGCGUAAUCUGACAUCAAAGUGGUGUUCCGAUUAUCGUAGCGGUGCCUUUAGGCCUUGUCGUGGGUUUAAUUCAGUGGUUGUUGUCUAGUUCGUCGAGCACUUGCCGUGCGGUCGUCCUGACACCUAAAGUGGUGUGUCUCUAAAUAGUAGAAGUGUUGUUGUGAUUUCCUGUUGAGUCUGUUCGUUAUUGGGCUUACUUCUGUGAACUUGGUUGUGGAAUUGAUGUUCCAGUCGGGUCGUGGUGCACGUUGGUAUAGGUUGAGCGUGUCGUUUAGUAUAGAUGACACGUGUGGUACUGAUUGUGACAUUUGGUAAUUGUAUCUUUUAGGUACAGGUGAUAGCUAGAUACGUUGGUCGAGUCGAGGACUUGGGUACUUGAAGAGGUAAGUACUCCAUUCUGAAAUCGGUAAAGUUGUAUCUUACUCGGUUUUCCUAUAUAUUUCUAUUGUUUUAUUAAACUCGUGAGUAGUAUAACUUGACAUCCUAAUAUGACAUGCUCGUUGCUCUACGUGUUGGUUGCUUGAUCUAUCUACUUAUCAUAUUGCUUAUAUUGGUACCAAGAAACACUUCCCCUUUCCCCCUCGCUCUCCCCCUCCCUCUCGUCGCUGCUUUUCAAAAGGAAGGAGGAGAACCCCUGAACCCUCUCAACCCUCGAUUCAGGAACCUUGCCUAGGGUAUAUCUACACGAUUCCUCUCUCUUUCUCGCUCUUUUUUUCUUUCUCACCCUCAACAUAGAGAGCCGUGGGGCGAGCAUCGAGUCGACCUCCAUUAAUGGCGUAAAGCUCUACUCCUUUUCGGGCCAGCGCUACACGGCCACACGGCUCACCCCGAGGAAGCAGAGAACAUAGAGCCCUUCGCAAGGACAAAGGUCCUCUUCUAACCCUAUCCAAUUCAGUUUGUUCUUUAUUUCUCUUUAUUUAUGUUUGUAAAGCAGCCCAAUUUAUGAUUUAUAUUUUUUGGUUUAUAAAUUGUGAAAAAAUUCAUAUUUUUUUCCGAUAAUAAGAUCCUAGUUUGAUGAAUGGGAAGUUGGGUUUUUUCUCUCGAACAAUUUAUGUUUUAUAAAUUUUAUAUUGGUUCGGUUAAAAAAUAUUUAAUCAUAGAGGAAAUAUUGUUAAAAACUUGAAAAUAAUUAUUUUUAGAUAGAAAUUGGUAGGUAUAACAUGAGGUUCAUAAAGAAAAAUAAAGGGAGAAAACUAAUACCGAGAAUUCAGUUUUGAUUUUUAUCUUUCAUUUAUCUCUAGACAUAAAUUCACAAUUCUUUUGAUUUGAAUAUUGUUAAUAUCGAUUAUAUGAAUGGCUAUUGAAAACAAUAAGUGAAUUAAUGUAUUACAAGAAAAGUUUGAUAAGUUGCAUUACAAUAUAAUGACUGAACCCUUCAUUGUGUGAUGUUCUAACCAUAGUUAGUUAAUUCGUGAAUAAUUCGCGAAUUUUUCGCAAAUUUUUGAAGAAACAAAUAAAUCAGCUGAAAUCAAUAAUUUUUUGAAAAAUUUAAAAAAAAAGUGAUUUUUUGAUCAAAAAUAAUUAUUCGUGAAUUAUUCGCGAUUUCCGAAUAAUUCGCCCAAAAAAAACGCCCGCUCGCCCGUCGCGUUUGGUUCGAGUUGUGUAAUAUUAUAUUGUACUAGUGUUGAACCCGUGCUUUGCUGCGGAUAAUUUUGACGCUAAUUCGAAAGUAUAAUUAUAAAAGAAAAAAAAAAAAAGAGAACCAAGAAAAAUUAAAAGAGAAUGACAACAAAAUAUAUCAUUAUCAACUAUACAAAUAUAUAUUUAGAGUGCAUGAUUACUAAGCAUUAAGAUAUAUUGGUUAAAUAUAAUUUAGAAAACAUAUAAAAAUAAGAAGGAAUUCUAAAAAUUGACACAAACUUAAGCAAUACAACGACCGCUGUCCAUCCCGUCAGCACGUCUUCAGGGUGGCGCAAUAUGAACAGUAUGAGCUUUCAGAGAUCCAACAAAAAUGAAAAUAUAAAGCUCAGUAUAGAAAUCAAUGUGAAAGAAAGGUGAGGUAGAAGAGACUAUUAAGGUGCAAGCUGAGGUUAAGUCUUCUCAUACGCAUAUGUGCACCUUCAUCUUUUUAACCUCUAUAUAUGGAAAAGGUUUUGGUCCAAAGGAAUAUGUUGGUCAAGAUAUUGACCCUUUCCAAUGUUGGUCCUCUUUUCAAUAUUGGUCCUCUUUCCAAUAUUGGUCCUCAUGUUGGUCCUCUUUCCAAUGUUGGACCCCUUUCCAAUGUUGGUCCUCUUUCCAAUAUUUUACCAAAUCCGGGUAAAAUUUUUUUGCGUGAAAAAAAGAGCCAAAUGUGAAGGCUUUAGGGAGAAGAGAGAAAAUGAAUGGCGUGAAGGCAUAAAUUACUUCCACGUCUAUUGUCACAACCAUCAAAUUAUGUAUUUGUAUGAAUUUCGAUAUAUCCAGAUGUCUUGGAUUUCUAAAUGAGAUUACUACUGAUGCGGUAUUAGUGCGUUUGGUUUAAUAAAGUAAUGUAAUGCUGGAUUGCAGUGUUUAUAACGUUACUAUGUUUGAUUCUGUCUAUAAAAUUUAGUAAUCUAGACAAUAAAAUAUAGUCUAUUCCAAAAUUGUCCUUAGUCAUAUUUAUUAAAUUUUUUUUACUGUUCACAAACAAUAUUCUUUUACCAAAUUUUAUUUUAAAUAAUUUAAUUUUUUAAAUUUUAAAUUUUAACAAAAAUACAAAUUUAAUAUUUUAAUUUAAAAUAUAAAUAUAAAAUUUCUAAAUUUAAAGUCUAAAAUAUAAAUAUAAAUAUAUAUAAAAUAAAAAAUUAAAAUCUAAAUUUAAAAUUCAAAAUUUAAAAUACAGAUUUGUAUUUUAAAAUUUAAAAUUUAAAAUUUAAAAUUUAAAAUUUAAAAUUUAAAUUUAAAAUUUAAAAUUUAAAAUUUAAAUUUUAAAUUUAAAAUUUANCAACAUAUAUAUUUCCCUUAAUUAUAUAUGUCGAUAAUCAAAUGCAUAUAUAGGAACGAUUGUUAUAAACGAAACUAAUUAAUUAACAGUGCUUGCUCCCAUAUGGGGCCGGGGAGAUAUAUAUAUAUAUAGAUAGAUAGCUAGAGAGUUGCUUUAAGUUUGGCACACUUAAUUAAUUAAUUAGCUCAUAUAAAGCUGUGUGUCAAAUACAAGCUAGAUUCAUAGAUUGGGCUUUUUUUGCAAAUAGCCCUCUGAUAAAUUUUAUUUUUAAAAUUGGCCCUGUCAAAAUUUUAUUUGCAAAAAUGGCCCUGGUCCCGUCACGCAAGCGCCACGUCAGCGCCACGCGGGCGGGACUGGGCCAUGUGUUUAAGUUGAACACGGUGAACCAUUCACCGUGUUCAAUACAAGGUUUUUGUAUUAGACACGGUGAAUGGUUUACCGUGUCCAAUACAAAAUGGUUAACUGCGAGGUAUUUGUAUUGGACACGGUGAAUCAUUCAUCGUGUCCAAUACAAAUAAUUGAACACAGUGAAUGAUUCACCGUGUCCAAUACAAAUACCUCCAACUUAGCCAAAAAUGACUAAGUUGUGGGUGUUUGUAUUGGACACGGUGAUACAAAUACCUCGCAGUUAACCAUUUUGUAUUGGACACGGUGAACCAUUCACCGUGUUCAAUACAAGAUUUUUGUAUUAGACACGGUGAAUGGUUCACCGUGUCCAAUACAAAAUGGUUAACUGCGAGGUAUUUGUAUUGGACACGGUAAUUCACCGUGUCCAAUACAAAUAAUUGAACACGGUGAAUGAUUCACCGUGUCUAAUACAAACACCCACAACUUAGUCAUUUUUGGCUAAGUUGGAGGUAUUUGUAUUGGACACGGUGAAUCAUUCACCGUGUCUAAUACAAAACCUUGUAUUGAACACGGUGAAGAUUCACCGUGUUCAACUUAAACACAUGGCCCAGCCCCGCCCGCAUUGUGCUGACGUGGCGCUUGCGUGGCGGGGCCAGGGCCAUUUUUGCAAAUAAAAUUUUGACAGGGCCAAUUUUAAAAAUAAAAUUUAUAAGGGGGCUAUUUGCAAAAAAAACCCUUAAAAAAAAUAUUUUCAUUUUACAUAAUAUGUAGUAUUGCCGGUUUUCAGUAAUGCAAGAUACACGAUCCCCUAUCGUUAAUAUUUUCGGUAUAAUUUUGCUUGAUUUGUAAUGUUAUAUUAACGACGAGAUUAUAUAGAGGAUAAACCAAAUACGAUAAUUCUGACAGGAUUGCUUAUAAUCCAGUCAGGAUAACUUGAAACAAACGCACCUUGAAACAAACGCACCCAAAAAGGCCAAAAAAAAAAAAAAAAAAAAAAACCAAGAAAACCUUCGGUCCGCAACCCCACCUAAAAAAAGAAAAAAAAAUCACUCGAUCAAAAAGGUUUUGCCCUAACUUCUCACCCCUGCGGCCCUGCCACCGACCCCAGCCCGUAUCCCUUCCCCUCGCCCUCUUCCCUUCCGGCCGCUCGCCGAACGCCACCGGAAGCCCCCGCGGGGCCACAUCGAAGAUCGAGUUCUUCACUCUUCAGAAAUCAGAGCCCUCCUCGUCGCCUCUUCCUCUUCCUCUUCCUCUUCCGCUUCCGCUUCCGCUUCCGCUUCUGCUCUCCAACGAUGGAUCAGUAAUCGGGUGGUUCUUUACAAGAAUUUUUAUGCUUUAGUUUCUCUCUCCCUUUUCUUUAUUUCAUCUUCUCUUAAUUGCUAACUGUAUGGUUUUGAGUAACAAGACCAUGACUACAACAUGUAGCAUCAUUGUAAACAUGCAUUUAUUAAGAUUCAUUACUUAUUUUUUUUAUCUUUAAUCUCUACAGCAUACAUGAAUAAUUGAAUAUACCCAGCAUACAAGAAUAAUCAGCAAAUAAGGUUUUAAGAAUUAAGACCUCAAAAGGUUUGAUAUGCCCGGCAGGUUGUGAGUAAGGUUUUUGAAAGUCACAAGCAUAUGCAUUGAUUAAAAACCAAGGGAGAUACAGAUUUGAGUUUGCUAUUUGCUUAAUUACCCUUAUUUAUUUAUUUUGGGGCAUAAUAUAGUUUGCUAUUUUUUUUUUUUUUACUUAAUUAGCUUAAAGAAUUAUGAGUAUUUAUGCUAAUAGCAUAAAUCUUGAGAGAAAAAAAAUUUAAUUUAAUAGUCGAAUUUUUGAUCCCGAAUUUUUAAUUGGUGAACGUAUAAUAUCCGUAUAAAUCACGUAUCCGAAUAAUUGGCGAAUCCGUUUUUUAGCCGUACCUUUCAAAGAAUUUAAAAAUUAGAAAACGAAUUUUAUCCGAAUUAUAUCCGUACCGAAUUUUUGCCGAAUCCGAAUUAACUAACUAUGCUCUAGAACAUCGACUCAGGGACCUCGGCUAGGGUCUCUCUCUCUCUUCGCACCACCCUUGACAUGGCGGGCCGUGGAGAAAGCAUCAAGUCGACCUCCAUUAAUGGUGUGAAGCUCUACUCCCUCUCGGGCCAGCGCUCCACGGCCACAUGGCUCACCCCGAAGAAGCAGAGAGCCCUUCGCAAGGACAAAGGUCCUCUUCUAACCCUAUCCGAUUCAGUUUGUUCCUUCUUUCUCUUUAAUUUAUGCCUAUAAAGUAGCCCAAUUUGAUGAUUUAUAACGUUCUAGUUUAGAAAUUCUGAAAAAUUUCAUCUUUUCUUUAGGAGAUAUAAUCCUAAUUCGAUGAAUGGGAAGUUGGGUUUUCUCUCUAACGAUCAUAUUUAUAAAUUUUGUAUAGCUUCGGUUAAAUGCAUUUAAUCAUAGAGAAAUAUUGUUGGAAACUUGAAAUAAUUGUUUUUAGAUAGAAAUCGGUAGGGAUAACAUGAGGUUCAUAAAGAACAAGCAUGUGAGAAAAUUAAUACUGAGAAUUCGCUUUUGAUUUUCAUCUUUCAUUUGUCUCUAGACAUAAAUUCACAAUUCUUUUGAUUUGAUAGUAUCAAUUUUUGUUGGUAGUAUUGUUAAUAUUGAUCAUAUGGAUGGCUGUUAUGAAAAAUAAACGGAUUAACAUAUUGCGAGAGAAGCUGGAUAAGUUGCAUUACGAUGUAAUGACUGAACCCUUCAUUGUGUGAUGUUCUAAUUCUAUCAUAUCUAUAGAAACGUAAGAACCAGGGAAGACUGCAAUAAUAGGGAAAAAUUUUAUGUUCAUCAGCUACUGCUGCUUGCAUUGGCAUUUUUUUGCCACUUGCUUCCUAAACCUCCUCAAGUUUUAUGCUGACUUGAUCUAAUCUUUACCUCCUUGUUAUUUCAUUUUGUUUUUCUCGACUUUCUAUAGUUCGGUCUUUCAAUUGAAAAAUAGAUUAAUAUCAUAAACUUUCCUAUUUUUCUUUUCAGCACUUGUGCUCACUUUGGGGCUUUUGCUAAUUGCAUUGAUUUGAAAAUUGUGCUGUUUGGAUUUUAUUUAAUUGAGAAAACGUCCGUAUGUGUUACUCUAUAAUUAGCGAGCGUCCUAGGUUGGUUGCAGUAAUAUUUCUUACGUAACAGGAGGAAGGUCAAGGAAAUUGGCUGAAUGCUUGGAACCUUUUUUUUUUUUUUUUAAAUGUCUCUUAUCUUCUUUCUUCUUUGCUAUUUUUCAUGUUGUAAGAUUUUCUUUAACUGUUUUAUGAUGGCUUGAGAGAUUUUUAUGAUUUUCAACUGAUUUAAUGUUUUUCCUUUUAUCGAGGAUUAGGUUAUCAGCAAAGAGUGGACCUAAUCCAGGACCUAAGUUUUGAGACAGCAACAACUAAAAUUAAGGCAACUCCUAAUGGAGAGUAUGUUAUUGCAUCAGGUACAUGAGUUCGUAAUCAUCUUUCUUCAUAUGGUUAUAGUUAAUUUAAUGAGAGUGAAUUGUUCUCUUUUCUUGUAACUGUGAAAUCAUGCCUUUCUAGCGCAUGGUGGUGGUGGAAUUUUUGAGUACUUCUUGUGACCAUGAUUUUUUUUUAGUUGAAACAUGUUUAAUGCAGUCAUUUGGUAUUUUGUUUUAGGUAACCAUGAUUUUAUUUGAGUUGAAACAUGUUAAUGCAGUCAUUUUGUUUUAGGUAUUUAUCCUCCACAAGUAAAAGUAUAUGAGUUGAAACAGUUGUCAAUGAAGUUUGAAAGGCAUCUCAUUUCAGAAAUUAUAAAUUUCCAGGUUCCCUCUAAUGUUCUCAUUUCUUAUUUGUCUUAUUGUGUAUUUGCUUUCCAGCUAUUUUGCAGAUCAGGCAUAUUUUUUAUCUUAUUUCCACUUCUUCUGUUGCUUGUGCAAUAUUCUUUGUUAUUUUACAAACUUUAAUGCCACUUUUUGAUAGGCCAAUAAUUUUUCUUAUAUACAAGCCACUGUUAAACAUCUUUGAUUCUUUCCCUUGUGUUGUUGACGAAGCAUAGUAGCUCAAAUUUUAGUAUUUGACAGUUCAAGGUGAUAAUUUUGUUCUAAGUGGUGAUUUGCAACAAAUAAGGCUCUUUAUGAAUUUUCAUUCCUAAGGUUUGAAAAUAUAUGGAAAUAUUGGGAUAUAAGGCGGGUUCAAAGAUUUUACAGACCACAAAUUCGAAUUUGUAUUAUUAGAUGUUCACUCUGCAAUGUUUCUACUAAAGUCGAUAGUUGGGGUGUUUAAAAUUUUAUUUUUUUUAAUUGGUAUUUUUUUAAAAUUUUUUGGUGAGAAGUAUUUGUGACCCUAUCAUUUUUGUAGAUGACUUCAAAAAAAUUUAACUUACAGAUAUUGGGUGUGAGUUGAGUCUUUGCAUAAUUCUAGAGAUCCUUGCUUUUAAGUAUGAGCUCACUUCUAUGGUCAGCCUAGACCAGUACAUUUAAUCUUCAUGUUCAUAAUAGUGCUCCCAAUUGAUGAUAAAGCCACUUAACUUAACAGAGUGCUGUGAAAUCUGGAUUACGAAUUGGAGAAAUCAAAUAGCACCAAUCCAUUUUCUCUCCAUCUUGUUUUACAAUAAUGUUGGUAUCAUCAGUUGAUGUGGGCUUUUGUCUUGUAGUCAAGGAUUAAAGUGCCGCCUCAUGCUGUACGGCACGGGGCGGCACGUACCGUGCCUAGGGGGGUCUCGGACCCCCCCUCGUGCCGCGGCACACUCCGCCGUAUCACACGAGACCGUGCGUUAUGGCAGAGUGUGCCGCGGCACAGUGCCGUGUCGACAUUGUUGUUUUAUUUUUAUUUUUUGCUUUUUGCUUUUUUUUCCUUUUUGUUUUGUUCUUUGGGAUACCAAGAAACUUCCGAGUAUCCCACAUCCCCCAAAGACAUUGCAAAUCAAAAAUCUACUUGUUGAGUAAGCCAAAAAAAUUAUAAUUUAAUUUUUUUGUUUGUCAAUAUAUUGACAAAUUUUUAAUUUACAUAUCUGAUUCAUACUGCGGGGCCGAAGCCCCCCGCAUCCCCCUCGGAUGUCAGUAGUGGGCUGCGGGCUCUAGGCCCGAGCCCUCUGUUUCUACCACAAACAUCCAUUUUUUCUUUACAAAUUAUUUUAUCAAAAUUUGUCGCAUCGUGAAAUUUUUUGCGAAUUAGGGGAACAAAAUCGAACUCAAUAAACAAAUUUUGAGGCACAUCAAACAUAAAAUUUAAUUUUUGCGUUAGAAGAUUGAAAUUACUGAUAAAAUUAAAAGCUAAAUUAAAUCAAUUGAUACUUAAAUUUAUUUAAUUUGUUUGUUAUAUAAUUUAUUGCUUAAGUUUUUUAAUAGAUUUAAUAAUUUUUUGAAAAAAAUAAUUAAAAAAUAAUUUUUGAAAAUAAUUUUGAAAAUAAUUUUUUUGUAUUUUAUAAAAGGAAGACUGUAAUAUGGUUAAAAGAAAGAAAGAAAGAAAGAAAGAUGUCUUUGCAUUUUAAAAAUUUCAACAUGUAAAAAUUUUUAUUCUGCAUCAGGUAUAGUUGUACUUUACAUACAAAAAAACUUACAAUUAUAUUAAUUGAUGAGUAUAGCAAGCUAUACAUUGCAAAUAUUCAUAAUUAUUUGAUUAAAUCUUUCAAAAUAAUAUUAUAAGAACUUAUUGGAACAAAAAAAACUGAAAUAAGUCCGUGCCAAAACGUGCCAGUAGGAGGUCAUGCGUAUCCAUCGGCACGCAAGCGUAUCAUGUAUCGGCACGGAAGCGUGCCGAUGCCGUACUGUGCCAGGCAGACAGCAGCACGCUCCCGUGCCACAGCACUUUAAACUUUGCUUGUAUUAUCUUACACAUUCUGAGUGGACAAACCCAUUAGUUCUUAUCGACUAUCCAUAUAAGUAUGCUGUAUGUUUGCUUGAAAUUUGCUUGGGAAUUAAACAUAGGCAUUGUAUAAAACUAUAUGCACCUCUGAAUCAUUUAAAAUAUACAUUCCAUUAAGGUUGAAACAAUGCCGGUCCUCUUCUCUGCAUAUUCAUAACUUUCUUCUGUGCCAUUGGCACCUUCUUUGGGGAGUUCAUGAUAUUUAUGCACUUAUGUCUGUUAAUCAAGGAUCACUCUAUUUUGGCAUGGGUCAUGGCAGAAGUCAAUACAUUUCGGGAAGCUACCAUUGCAUGAGUGACAUGAGCUUGAAAUGGAUGCGAUGAGCCUACAUGAUUUAGUGCUUGUGGGACUUGGCUUCUUAUUUUGCUUUGUACUGUACUCACCUUUAGUAAAGCAUCUGAAAAACUGAAAAGUUUGUAGCUUCUGCUGUGGUGGGAAAAUUAAAUGAGAUUUUGAGGGUGCUUUAACAAUGUCAUGUUUGUUUUGCUCCGCUUCUUCUUUUGCUUUAAUCUGCAGUCACAUCUAGAAAAUUUUGUGGCUUUUGCUGAGCUUCUGAUUUUGUGAAGAGAAGCAAUUUUGGGCUCGAGUAACAAUUCAUCGAACAUCAUUAUGCCCUGAAGAAGAGAAGGGCCUAAGUAGGCCCUUAGUACAAGGUCAAUAUAAUCUGGUGCUUGUUGCUCGAAUGGUGUAUCAAGUGCUUGUAAUGUUCUGAAAUACUACAUGCUUUUUGAGUAGCCUUGAUUUACUGAAGUAAAUAAAAAAAGUCCUAGUAAGUAGCAGUCGUUACUUAGUCCAUCUGUUUACAUCUACCUGUUCAUGCAGCAUAUAAACAACUUAAAUCCAGUGUGCUUCCUAUUUUACAAAUACCUGGGUUAAGUAAAUCUAAUUAGAGUUCCUUUUCUAUUGUUUGCAAAUUGUAAUUGCUUUUUGUUGCCUGUAUUAUUCCUUGAGAAAGAUUUGCGACAAAGUUUCAAGUUGUAUCAUGCACUUCUUUAUUGGAUUCUCAGGAUAGACUCUUUGCUGAUAACCUUCUCCCUUUAUAUGUAUUUUAUAGGUAUUUUAGAUUAGUGAGCGAUCUUUUAAAUUGUAAAGUACUUAUAGUUGUCAUUGCUGUGAUAACUAAUUAGGGUCUCUUAUAUAGGUAUUAGAUGAAGACUAUUCAAAGAUAGCAUUUUUAUGUUCUGAUCGCUCUGUGUGCCUACAUGCGAAGUAUGGAAGCCACUAUAGCUUGAGACUUCCGAGGUUAGUUUAAACUCUCUCUCUCUCUCUCUCUCUCUGUGAAUAUUCUAUGAUACAAUGUUUCUUUCUGUAUUCACUUGGUAUAGGAGGGUUUAACUGCAUUGGUGUUCUGUUAUUCCUGAAAGCCUGAUUAGUCCAAGGUUGCUGUUGCCUGUUGAACUGUUGAGCUUGCAUAAAGACUAAUAUUUUUCUAUUACCAGGAUGGGAAGGGAUAUUGCAUAUGAUUGCUGGUCCUGCGACUUGCUAUGUGCUGCUUCCUCACCAGAUCUGUACAGAAUCAAUUUGGAACAGGUCACCGUAUUAUCUUUGAACUUAAUAAUUUUUUUCUUUUCUUUUCGUGCUUUUUUUAAAAAAAACCUUUUAAGCGUGCUUCAUAUAAGCUGCCUUGAAUUUUCCUUUGUGGCUACUGGCUAGGGUCUGGUGCAUGCAAAUUACAUUGUGAAAGUUGGACGUCACUGUUUUAAGCCAUAUUUAGUAGUAUUCUGAUAUUGUAUAUGAAGAGAAGGCAAAAAACUAUGUUUACUGUUUAAUUGAGGGAAACAAAAAAGAAAGGGAGGGGGGCAAUAGAUAGAUCGCUCUAUAUAUCUGUAUAUUUUUUCUGUCUGUAUAUUUAGCCAAUACAUGCAAGGAUAGUUCUAUGGCUUUUAUUGCUUUCAUCAGAUUUGUUUGGUUAAUAUUGCGGCAUUACUAGUACGCGACUGAAAUUAGUUGCUGUUGUUAUAUACAGAUGUUUUGGUCGCAAUUUUAGUAGUCUAUGAAUGGCAAUCAGGGAGAAGUUGUGAUAGUGACUUUUAGUGUGAGACAAAUGCUAGUAUCAAUAAUCCUUUUGCUCUCUUAUACUGACUAGGUCCUUUUGGCAUUGACAAAAGCCUAUCUGCAAGGCAAAAUUUUGCUUUUGGUUUUAUAUUCGACGAGGUGGAAGUUCAAAAGUUUAUUUUUUUUACUUAUUCUUUGCUCUUAGUUCCUUUCUACAUUAUAGGUAUCAUUUGGCAUUCUCUGAUUCUGAUGCAAAUACAAAAAUCCCCAGCUUAUUUUUGAUGAUUUUGGGUUACUUCAAGUGGGAUAGAGAGUCUUGUUGAUAUAGCAAAUUCAAUUUUAUAGACUGGCAAUAAGUACCAUAGUUAGUAGCAUCUUUAAAUUUUGCUGUUAGAAUCAUCAUUAUAUAGGUAACAUACUAUUUCUCGAGUCCAGUGGACCAUUUGUCCUUGUAUAAAAUGAAAUCCUAACUUUUAUUUCUAUGAUAUACAUUUUGACAGGGACGUUUUCUAUCCUCACUGACCUCUCAAUCACCUGCAAUAAAUGUUGUCUCUCGAAGGUUGGACCUGCUAUUUAUUUGCGUAUUGUCAGACGUAUUUGUUUGUUGGUAAACUGUAUAUAAAUUUUUUUUUUAUCUCCUUGGAUAAUUUCAGCAAUAUUCAUGGGCUUGUUGCUUGUGGUGGCGAGGAUGGUGCUGUUGAGUGCUUUGAUAUGAGAAAGAAAUCUUCUGUUGGUAGAAUCAGUACUGCUGCUUCUCCUGAUGACAUAGGCCAGGUAAGUGUUUUGCUUUUUUUGUCUUAGUAAUUUUCUCCCCCUUUUCUUUCAUACAGAGGAUUUUGAUUAAAAUAUUUUUGGUGUCCCCAGGAGGUAACAGCUCUGCAGUUUGAUGAAUCUCAAGGCUACCUCAUGGCUGCUGGGAGCAGUACUGGAAAGGUAUGGUUUUUACAUCAUUAUUAUUAUUUUGUUAAUUUUGGCUUCUAGUGUUUGAGAAGUUUUUCUGAAGUGACAUGCCAUAAUCUUCACAUGCUGUCAUUCCAUUAAGAUGUAAAUUGCCUUCUCCAUUGGCAUGUAUGUGUUCUUGUUUGUAUUGUACUUCUGAAAGUCUGCUUCUAUUUUCAGAUUUAUUACUGUAUGUGAAGAAGAAUACCUCGCUGGCACUAUAAAUAAGCAAUAGUAAUUCCUAUACAAAUAAAUAUGUUAAACAAAAUGUCACAUGUAGUAUAUACAUUCUAUCCAAAUUCUGUUGCAUAAUUUUAACGAAGCAAUUUUUGUUGGAAGCUAAUUGCAUAGCAAAUGAACAUGGAAUGCCUUCUCUUGUAAUAUCAAAUUUUGCUUUCAGUACCAAAGGCUUUCUGAAAUUGCAUUAUUAAUUAUCCUCAUAAUCAACAUGAAGGAAUGCUCUAAUCAUUCUCUCUUAGUGUGUGUGUAUAUAUGGACUGGAGCUAGAAUACUAUUAAUAGUAUAAGAAUAGUAUUUACUAUUCACUUUUUACACCCUUGGAUGCUUAGGGUUUGGUGGGGGUUGAUGGAAUACUAAUAAUCCAAGGGUGGAAAGGCGGAUAAUAACCACUAUUCAUAUAACUAUUAAUAGUAUCCUUGUUCAACUCUCUCUCUCUCUCUCUCUCUCUCUCUCUCUCUCUCUAUAUAUAUAUAUAUAUAUAUAUAUUUUUUUUUUUUUUAAGUUUAUAAAAGAGCUUCACAUGUGCAACUAUGUUGGGCUAGGAUGAUAUGCUCAUUCUGCAGAUACUUAGAAGUUAUAUCUUGUUAGAAUAGAUGAGACAAAUGGGAGUCCUUUUUUUGUCUAAUUGCGGAAGCAGACUUGCAAAGGCCAUAUGAGCUUAUUUGAAAACAUUUUUUUACAGCAGCCCAAGGGGCAGGAGGGCUUCGAAGUAUUGAAGUUCCACACCUCUCUUUUAUGAAUAAUACUUAACAAGACCAUUAUGUGUUCCUUUGUUUCUUUCUCUUUCCUCUGUACAACAUAAGAUAAUGCAGUGAAUACUGAGCUAAUAAUGUGAAUAGUGAGAACUUAAGGAAACACUUAUUUUCAUUAGCUUUUCAUGCCUAUAUGUUUCUGAAAAUAUGAAGUUGUUGGAAUGAUCCUACAGUGAAUAUUGAAUUAACAUCAAUAAUCAUCAAAAAGUGGUGUGAUUUAUUCAGUAAAAUCUGUUGCCAAAAACUUAGUAGCUUUGUUUCUUAGUACUUCAAUCUAUGUAGAGCAAGAUACUAAACACCAGGCCCCCAAAAUUUUUUUAAAAAAGAAGCGAAACUUCUCUAAAAUUGCAUAAAAGUCAACUCAUGGAGUUGAGCUCUAAUGAGCAAAACCAACUGCUUUCCAUGGUUUUAGGCCUGUCCUAAUCAAUGUUUUAAAUAGCAACCGCUUGUGACACCCCAAUAGUCCCACAUCGGAUGGGAAUGGGAUUGUCAUUCUCUUUAUAAGAGACUUAGACACUGGUAAUAAUAACUGGGCUUAAGCAUUUUGGGCCGGUGGUUGGGCCCAACGAGUUAUUAUUGCUAGCGGGCUGGGUCGUUACAUUUGUCAUGCCCCGGGGUCUCUUUUAGGCUAAAACACAGUGGAAAUUUUUUUUUUUCUUUUUGAAAACCUGACCUCAGGGUAUGCCAGAUCCGCCACAAAUACAGGAAAUCCACUGUUCACACGGACAGAGUCUCCCCUGUAUUUGCAUGGCGUCGCAUAAGUACAAGACGUAUAACCAGGAUACAACUACUACAAAUGAAUAUACAACAUUCAACCAUUUAUACAUUCAUACACCAUUCACCACAGAUUUACUUUCAGGGUUUAAUCAUAAAACCACAGCUAUCAGUUAAAACGUUUCCUACUCGGAAACAGGUUUUGAAAUACUAAGUUACAAAAACCACGAGAAAAUCUUUUAAAACUGUUUCCCACACGGAAACUCUUUUUUUUUUAAACACGCUACUACGAGGGGUAGAAAACCGUUUUUAUCUCAAAGAAAACCGUAAGUUCUUUAAUUCAUUUACUAAAAUCACAUUUAUUCAAUUGAACAAAAACCAACUGAACUAAUAUAUCUAAGAUAUAACAACAGAAAUAAAAAGAGUAGCAACUAAAUUAAACCAACCGGGUCGGAAGCUCUAUUGACCGCUGCGAACGUGUCUCACGUCUCGUCUCAACCCUCACCGUCCGCAAUACCUGAAAAAUGGUGGGGGAGGUGAGAACAUGUAAAUAUGUCUCCCCUCCCAGCGGGUACCGCAAGCCGACGAAGGCAAGGAGUACUCACCGAAUCAGGAAGAGAUAAACAAUAGUAUGGGUAAGUGAAAUACAGUAGCAAUGAUAAUAAACGAAUGAGAUAUAUAUAUAUAUAUAUAUAUAUAUAUAUAUAUAUAUAUAUAUAUAUAUAAAAGCACAACAACCGCUACUGUAAGGAAGAACUGAAUGCAUACAUGGAUAUUAACUAUAGUAGCAAGACAACUGUAAAGAAAGAACUGUAAGUAUGCAAGCAACAACCGCUAUUAUAGUCAUAUGCGUCAACCAGACGACAAGUCCAAAAAUACCCAAUCUGAAAACUACCCUAUUGGUCUGCAGACCUCAGGCCCAUGCCCACUGCCACUCUACCUGUAUAUAAUCCAGUUCUGACCGCUUGGCACCCAGUCCUGACCGCUGGGCUCAUAGGCUGCAUAUAAUCUAGUCUUGACCGCUGGGCUCACAGGUUGGCACAUCUAACCACUUUUCCGGAAAAGAACACCCUCUUGUGGUGGAUCAGACCGUUGGCGAUCGUGAAAUGCGAACGAGUCUCGGGCUAUCAAUGCUGAUAUGCUCAAUGGCCAACCGUCGGCAACCAGCCGACAAUCACUGCCCCUCGGGGCUAACCGACCAAUAGGUCAUCAAACUGUAAUGAAGCACAAGAAUAGACCACUCAGGUCAACUAGGAUGGAACAACUUGACAUCCUCUCAAAUGUAUGCAAGUACUGCUCAAUGUCAACUAAUAGUAUACUCAAGUACCGACCAAUAGGUCACACGAAUGUGACAUCAUGUAUCACUGAAAUCCAGAACUACCGUUAGCCACUAGCCGACAAUCCAACCCCUUAGGGUACACCGACCUCAACGGUCAUCGACGACAGAAGUCAAGGAGCCGACCGAAUAGGUCACAGAUACGAGAUACAACGAUCGACCAAUCAGGUCACGAAACAGAUGCAAUGCACUGACCGACUAGGUCACAGAUAGUCACGAAACCGCUCUACUGUAAACAUGAUAAAGGAUAUGUAAAACAGCUAAGUAGAGCAACAAGGAACAUGGUAUAGGUGCUAGGCUCAACAUAUAGUAUAAGCAUGUAUAACAACCAGGGAGUAAGGGUAAGAAACCAUCACCGAGCGUGCACCACUGUACCGACUUCGGAUCGAAGUACCUAUCUGUACAAAUGUCGCAUCUGUCUUCUGAUUGCGGAAGAAAGUAACCUGGACCUACGAAGGGUCCACCGUGUUAGUGUCUAACCCAUAACUAAUAACCACUGAAUCCACAACCCCAAAAACAAUCCCACGGAGAUCGGUUUCCUAAAAUCGAUUACUGUAACUCGCCGGAUGUCCCGAAAAUCGCAUCGGGACUCCGUCGGGACCGACAAACUGUCCCGGAACGCACCGACUCAUGCUACGAGUCACCCGCUGACACUAAACACCAUUAAUCAUGGGAUUUGGCGGCAAACACAAGGAUACAUAACCAAACAACUAUCGUCGGAUAAUUGUUCGGAUCCGGGUUCCCGGAAGUGUCAAUUUCGACACCGGAACCCACCGUCGCUCACCCGUCAUUUCCGAACUCUCGAGAUGACGCGGGUGACCAGCCAACAAGACUCAGCGACGCAACAAUUGCUAACAAGGCACUGUCGGCAGAAUUCCGAACAAAAACCGCAUUUCUUCGGUGGAUUUUGCCGACAAACGCACCGGAAAUGCAUUUCCGAUUUCUGCAAAGGUCUGGGGCCUUGGACAAUCAGUCCAGAGGUUACCCACUACUCACACGUGCUGCCAACAACAGCCGCGACAGACCAAAAAGCAUAAAAGCCUUUACUGAUAGAUGAAAUCACAUCAUUUUAUGUGAUUUCAGGGCUUUUAUGGUCCGUACACACAAACCAGGGAUCGAUUAGUCACAUCGUCGCACUCGCUGAUAGGUUUCAGCGUGCCGGAGGCCGUGCUCACCUUUCGGAGCACUGCCGGCCACUGUGACACACGCACGAGCGACGCGAAAACCUGUGAAACAGUGCGCACAUCGCUAAGGUUGCAAUUAAUGCACAAUCCAGGGCAUCUCUGUCCCUGUCGGAGGUGAGCACGAUGUUCAGCACGAGCUUUAGAUCAUCGUGCUCACUUCCCGAAGUCUAUAAGGCUUAUCGGAUCACCGGAAAGGUGACCGGAACCUCGGAAUUCAGUGCUGGAACAAAAAAACAGCCUUACCGGAGCCGGGUGGGCUAGGGUUGGUCGCCGACGGCCGGACGGCGGGCGGUCCGGCCAGGGGAGGGUGCGGACGGUCGGUGGGGUCCGGGGUACCCGCUGGCCCGCAGCUGGAGGUGGCCGGUGGCGUGGCGGCGGAGAUCAACUCCCCAAGGUUGCUCACGGGUUCAAGGGCGCCGGCAGCAAGGCGGCGGUCGGAGGAGCUCGAGGCGGCGACGGUUCGACGCCGGAGGCCGAGGGAGAGGCGGUGCACCCUUCGGUGGGCGGCGGCGGCGGCGCUUGGAAGUCGAGCGGACUCGACCUCGGCCCGCACGAGUCUGGGCGGCCGCAGGAGGUCCCAGCGGCGGCCGGCGGCGUGCGGGGACGGCUGGGGGUGCGCGCACGGGGUUGCCGGAGGUCGCNCGGGGGGGGUCCGGGGAUGGUGCUGGCCGGCGGCGGGUGGCACCCGGUGGCGCGGCGGUGGAGAUCCAACCCGCCUAGUUCCUCUCGGGUUCAAGGGCACCGGCGGCAAGGCGGCGACUGGAGGAGCUCGGGGUGGCGACGGUUCGACGCCGGAGGCCGAGGGAGAGGUAGUGCACUCGUCGGUGGGCGGCGGCGACGCUUGGAAGCCGAGGAGACUCGGCUUCGGCCCGCCCCAAAACUGGGCGGCUGCAGGGAAGCCGAGCGGCGGCCGGCGGCAUGCGGGGACGGCUGGGGGUGUGCGCACGGGGUUGCCGGAGGUCGCCGGGACCGACUGGAGGGCGGCGUGGCUGAAGGGGAGCGGUGGCCGCACGCGAAACCCGAGCUCGAGCCUGCUCGGUCUGGGCCGACCCGAGCUGGCCGCAGCUCACUUAGUUGGCUUUGGCGGAGCGCGCGCUGACGGCGGCAUCGUCCGGCGACGGUGCCGGAGGUUGGUCUCGGCCAGGGGAUGAUGGCGCUUGGACUUAGAUGACCGGUGGCCGGGGGCGCUCGCCGGCGGCCAGGGCAUGCGCACUGCACGGGCAGGGGGAAGCUAAGGGCGGCUGGUGGGCUAGGGUUAGCUGAGGUGACCUCGGGUUAGGGUUUUAGCUUGGAACCCUAGAUCAUGUAAUAUAUACAUGAUGCAAUCUUGCAUAAAACCCCCCUAGUCCAAUAGUUUUCGACCAAGCCCCCUGCCAGCAUGUGCACUUUGCGUAAAAGUCCCUUGACGUUCGAAUUUGCGCGAAACGUCGCAUAAAAUAUAGGGUCUUUUCGCGAUUAAUCAAUUUUGCCAAAUUGACCUCUCAGCGAUCAUUUCGCAAUUCCCGAAGAUCCGUCUGUCAGAUUUUCGAACGGAUUGCGCCAGCGCGUUCAGAACGACUGGGGCAUUGAAUCUAGCAUCUUGUUUCAUCUGAUUUGGUCUCCGAUUCACGACGAAAUCAACCCUCUUUGAUUCCACUAUAAGCCACAUAUAAAAACCAUAUAUAUAAAUCCAACCUCUUUCUCUCGAUAGCCGUGCCUCAGAUCUGAAAUCCGUCAGUGCCAUUAUUUCCAGAAUAGCUGAACCAUUCAAAACGAGCUAUUGGAUCGCUAUGAACGAAGUCCGAUACGCGCCGAAAGCCAACUCUACUUCGUGGCCUCUCCGGAAAACCGGAGUUACUAUUCACUUAAGUGAAUACUAAUGAUCGCGUAACUUCUCCGUUCUAACUCGUUUUCUCCUGAAACUUGAUGAGUGCUUAUGUAAUUAAAUUACACACAAAAACAUCAUCAACAGAGAGUUCAGCUACACUGCCAAAAUCUCUGUCCUUACACCGCUAUAGCAGAAUUACUAUGCUAUUGCUACGCUAUAACAUUUAGAACGAGAUUUAGCAGAGUGGAGUUGUUGCAGCUGCUUUAGCGGCGUUGGACCUGCUAAAGCAGAUGCUAUAAAGCGGGUCGAAUCGAAGUGGGUUCUAUGUGCCCAAAAGCGUGGAAAUUGCAAAUGGGUCAAACUGUCUUAUCGUGUCGGGUUUUGAAGUUAAAUAAAAUGAUCAAACACAGUAAAUUGGUUAAAGAUUUUAGAGUUUUUUUGUUUUUUUUUGGUUUGCUAAAUCAUAAUAUUUUGAAAAAAGAUAA